rnacentral:lncRNA from 1 species
AGGUGUGUGUAUGGGUUUUCCUCACCUUUUCCUGAGAAAGGUUGUUUUUGAAUAAAUUCUAUGUAUUCGGGGUCUAUCUCAAAACUAGAUGCUAUGAUAGGCUUUGAAGAUUUUGGUGGUUCGAGAUGUGUGCCCAUAGGUCUGUGAAAUUCAUAGAUAGACAUGUUUGAAUUCAUAAUAGACCAGAGAUCAAGGAUUAGAUAAGAAGAAAGAAUAGCAGAGAUGAGGCAAAGGAUAAAAGGAAUUUUUUUUAUUUAUUUUUUAUAAAAUGAUUAAACUAGUUCGUAGUCAACUCAGCAACCGUUUCCCCGGCAACGGCGCCAAAAAUGCUUGUUGACACUUGCUAACACCACUUGAAUACUAGGUUGCCAUCCCCAGCAUGGCACUAGAGUGUACUAUGGUAUUUAUACGCACACAGAUAAUCCGCAAGCGCACGGAUACCGUUGAAGCUUUUACCCGGUUAAAGGUUUUAUCGUAUCCACAGGGGAAACGGGAGAACCAACUACGCUCUUAACUUAACCAAGAUAGAUAGAUAGGUGUAAAUAGGAAAGAUGAUAGAAUCAAAUAAGAACAAUAUUAAAGGUAAGAUAACAGUGAGUGAUAAUAUGGGAAUAGAGAAUAGAGCAAUUCUAGUAUAUGGGUGAUGGUAGCAGAAUAGAGAGGAUAACUAUGGUUUCUCUACUUCAAAGGGGUAUGUCUAUGUCUGGGACGAACCACGUGAUAAGAGUACACCACAAAGGAUGCUUAUCCAUAGGCCGAUAAACCCUACCCGUCCUGCUAACGAGAGGUGGACUACAGGGGACCAACGUAACUGUCACCUACGCGGCCUACCACACGAUCCAGCUAGUCAGGGGAUAUCCACAAGUAAUCUUGGUCUAAGCACCACGCUUACACCUAUACUACAACUCUAACCUAUAGGGUCCUAUAGAUUAGAAGUACUCAAAAGAGUUGUGAACCAGAACAUACAUGAUUAGUAAUUGCAUAAUGAAUUAGAAGUAGAUUACCAGAGUCAUCCCAUGAGCAAGGUUGAUUAGAGCUUGAUCACGGCAAAGUACAACCGGAGGAAGAACCGACAGGCCGACCUCUCCUCUAAUCCUCCUUCGCUCUCCAUCUCGCUACUAUCUAGAUCUACUCUAGUUUAGAGAAGAGAGGAGAGCUCUCAUCUCUAAACCCUAGCUUUUGCUCUGUCUAUGAAUAAUGAAUAAUGAUCAAGGGGUGUGUCUCCUCCAGGGGCCAGGGGGUCUGGUUUUAUAGUCCCCUCAAGUGAACCUGGGCCGUCGGAUCAAACCGACAUUGAUUGAACGGUUAUUCUUGAUCCUUUAGGUCGGUGGAGCAUAAUCCGCGAGAUUGAGCGUGAUUGGCCGAAAAAGGUGGGCGGGCGCCCUAAGGACUUGGGCGGGCGCCCUGUCCCUGACUCCGUUCGGUCUCCGCUUCCUUCCCAUGGCUUCUGGAGUCUUCUAGAUGUAAGAUAAUUGCGCGGCACGUUGAUAUCUCUAUGUAAUCCCGACGUGUGGGCCUUUCUUCCUUAUUUCCUGAUAACCCCCUGCAGAAAUAGACAAACACCAAAACUCGUGGAAUUCUGUCAGAUAAAACCCUAAGUCUUGAUGUUGAUUUCAUUUGGAUCCUUUUCUUUGUUUAUUUGAUAGUUAAAUUUGAUACUUAAGGACCGUCAACACCAGAUACCAGCAGAAACUUCGACGCUACCACGACAAACAUGUACGUAAGAGGGACUUAAAUGUGGGCGGCCUUGUUCUACGAUGACGGCAGAGCAAUCAAGGACGCCACAAGCUGACCCCGCCAUGGGAAGGCCCGUACGUGGUGGCCGAGGUCUUGAAGCCAGGAACGUACAAGCUAGCGGACGAGAAGUGGGCAGUCUUCACCAACGCAUGGAACAGCUGCGUCGAUUCUACCCCUAGAAGUUCAAAACUUACGUUCCAACGUACAUUUUGUACCAAGACUCUGUAAACGAAUGCAUGAAUAAAUGAAGUCUUUCCCUCGAGCAACUUCUUUUUGUACCGAGGAUUUACAAGUCAUAAUCUCGACGUUAGAAGGGGGCGCCAACUAUGAGCUGUAACACCCCAAGUGUUUGUUUUGCGUUUUGGCACUUACAUUUCAUGAGCAUAAGCAUCACUUGUUCAUAUAUGAUAGUAUGAAACAUACUUUGAUGUUGUGACAAGUGAAUGCUUGAUGAUCCUGCAUAAUAAAGCUUGUGGUUGCUGAUGGUGCUUCUUUCAUGUGUAUCAUCUCCAUCUCUACCUAGGUUGAUCACUCAAAAAGUUUCGUGAAGUUUGGAUUCAAAAGGUCAAAUGAAAGGAUAAGUUACAUGAUUGUUGGAAUGACCUUAUUAAGUGAACGGAACCUUGGGUUACUAACCUAAUCUUGCAACCCUGACCAAAUGACUCUAGAUGAACUCUACAACAAAGGUCAUGAAGGGUUCAUGUUGAGCUUGUGCCAAGAAAAUGCUUUAUUUGCUCUAAAAUCCUAGUUUGAGCUUUAUCAAGUUGCUGCUUUGACCAAAGUGAAAGUUUGACUUUGGUACCAGUUAUGAGGUUGGACAUUAAAUAAAAGUUGUAGUUUUGCUUCUGUAGAACAAACAUUAUUCAAAGGUCAAGAGCUAGUUUGGUACCUAUCCUAGUCAAAUUAAGCUCACAAGAUUCAAUGCAGUGCUGUUUUGGAACCCCAGAAAUUUUGGCUAAGUCCUCAAGGUGUUCAGUUUUGGGUAUCCAUGUUGGGAGCUUUGUAUCUUCCAGCCCAAUCUGAAUCAGUACAAGGUCCUUUAGUAAAAGUUGUAGUAUAGUUUGUAUACUAUAAACUUUGUUAAAGUGCCCAAGUCUGAAUCAUCAUCUAAGCAUGCCAAAUAAUGGUCACAAGUUUGAAUCUGUUAUAGUUUCCAGCAGUUAGAAUUUCUAAGUCUGGAAUUUCAGUUCGUCAUGUUGGCAUCCCGCGUUCUCCUAAUUCUUAUGUACAACUUGUUUGGGUACCAAAAUAAAAGUUGGAGCAUAUGUUGUGGGCAAGAGCAUAUCAAAAGAUGACACCAGUUGGACUUCGUUUUGGUCAUCAAUUUUGAGUUUUGCUAAUCUUUAUCAAUUCAUUGACACUCAAGGAUUGACAUCAUGUUAUCUCUUAAUCUGUUAUUCUAAUGGCUUUGCACUCUUAAUCAAAGUUGGAGAGCAGGCCGAGCUUGGCAAACUUCGUUUUUGGCCCAUGUCCAAAUUCGGCCCAGAAAUGGUCCAAAUUCGCGUCCCACUCUGUGUACUCCGACGCGCGCCACGUGUUCGGUGAAAUGUCGCCGUGGCGACCAUGCGGAGCAGCAGCGCAUCACCCUUCCUGCCGUGUGUCCAGGCGCCCUCGCCCCUCCAAAUGUGGACGCCGAGGUCCACUCGCCCCUCUGCUCGCUCCCAGACGCUCUCUCGGCCUUCUCCCGCGCCUUAACGCCGGCGAACGGCCGCACCCCGCCAUGGCCGUCGCGGAGCUCCGAGCGCCGCUGCCGUUCUUGCUGCUGCGCUCUCUCUCCAUGUCGACCAAGCGCGUCAUCGUCAUCUCCAGCUCGGGCCGCCCCACCUGCGCCCCUUUCCUAGCCGCUGCGGCCGGCAGGAAUGCCCACCGUCGGAGGUGUCUUGGGCAUGGCCGCCGGCGCACGUGGUCGGAUCUCCUCGAGCCAUCUCAGGCAGAGCCACGGUGACCGGUGGAUGCGCCUGGUGAUGGGGGUGCUUCCCCACCACUCCAUCGCCACCGACGAGGCUGCGACUGGCCGGAACAGGGAGCUCCGGCGAGCUCCUCUGUUUUCCUCGCGACCAAGGACCUCGGGGACAAAUUCGACAAAAGCCAGGGGGUGUUCUGCAGAACUCAUGACUCAGAUGAAUAGUGCUUCGAGGACCUAUUUGUUUUGGAGAAAUGCUGGAACUUUGAAAAUCUAUAUAAAAUCAUAGACAAAUCGUAAAAUAGCAAAUGUAGACUUUUUGGAAUCCUUAUGAAAUUCUCUAUGCAGUAGAUCUAUAAUAUGCCAUGUUUUAGGUUAAAGUUUCAGCAGUGGAAAAUGAUUUAUGCAGCUAGGUUUUUAAUACUAGUUGAGUUUGUCUAUUUUUAUAACUGCUGCUGUAGAGCUCCAAAUGAAGUGAAAUUUUUGUGGCCUGCUAUCCUUGUGAUGCUUGAUGCAUGGUAAAAGUUUCAUGAUGUUUGGUUGCAGUAUGGUUGCGUUAUUGAUUUAACUUGCAUAGGGCUUGAUAAAUGGUUUAUAAUUGUAAAUUAAAAUAUAAAAAUGGAAAAUGUUGUUCCACUACCAUUCUGUGAUAUUGUUGUCUCAUGUUGAUAUAUAUUAUGGUCAUGUGUUUGAAGAAAAUGUGAGUUUUAGAUUUAUCUUUCUCUCACAUGGUUAAUUGCAAUAGCAAUUUGUCUUUUUCAUAGAGACUGCUAUGUUUGUUAAAAUACAAUGAAAUUUGUAUAAAAGUCUAUUUAUAGUAUGUAGAGGCUACUGUAAUUUUGGUGGUAUUUACUGUGUACUUUUUGUAUAUGUUCUUUAAUUCACCUUAUUAUACAAAUAAAUUAAGAAAUGCAUUAAAUAAAUUUAUUUGGUUGUGACCACUAUGUUUUCUGGUGUUCUUUAACUAUGUGUAAACUGUUGGUAACAAUGGUUUUGCUCAAAUGCAUGUUUGAAACAUAAGUUAAUAAUUAAUUGUUUGCAAUUGUUGUUUCUGGACAGUUUGUGGAACUGUUUGGAUUACAAUAUGUAAAUGGUGUUUUCUGGGAAUCUUGUUUAUAGCAAAGUUGUAGAUAGUUCACCUAUCUAGCUUCUGUUAAAAUUUGGUAUUAUUUGGCCUUGUGGUUUGUGAGUUAUGUCUGUUCAAAGUUGGAUUCCAGAAAUGGCUGCUCUCUGUUUGUCAGGGACAGAUUCUGGAACUUUAUAAUUUCGAGCAGCUUAAGUUGAGAAUCAUGUUUUGAUGUCUAAAGAUGAAAUAUAGAUAAUUUAUUAAGCUUUCCAGAAUGUCUUCUUGCAUGUCUUGUGGAGUUGUGUAACUCCAGUUAUGCUUGCUUGAAGUGCCUAUCAGUUUUCUGUCUUUAUUUGUACCCUACUGUUUGGGGACAACAUGAGCAGUUUUAAUUGUGCAACUAAUUCCAUAGUAUAAAUUAUGUUUGCUGUGAAACUUGUCUAUACAAAAGUUGUAGAUAACUCUUUCAUCUAGCUUUUUUUAGAGUUUCAUAUCAUUUGGACAAAUGGUUUGUGAGUUAUAAGGGUAUUAAGUUUAUCUGUCAAAAUGCUUGUUCUCUGGAAUUCCUGGACCAGAUUCUGUAAAUAUGCAUGUUUGACUUAGUUAACUUACUAAUCAUGCUAAGAUGAUUAAAUAUGAAUUGUAUACAAUUUUAUAAGAUUUCCAUAAUGUCUUGUUGCAUGAAUUUUGGAUCUGUAGAACUCUGGUUAUGAUUUAUUUACUCAACUGUUGCGUGUAUGUCCAGAAUUGCUAGGAUUGCAUCAAUGCUUGAUUAACUUACAUUGUGUGUGGUUUUAAGUGACUCAUGUCUUGGUGGUGUCAAUUAGUGUUAUGUGAUCCUAUGAACAUGUGUUCAUGCACUUGCAUCUUGCAUGUCAUCUAGGUACGCUAGAUGAACCACGUGAAGGACGUGAUGGUGGAUCAUCCCGAAGAUGGAAUGAUUAAGCAAGUGUUAUGAUCUUAGAUGUCACCAAGACGGAGCAAGCUAACUAAUCUGACUCGGUGUCACAUUCCAGGCAAGCCCCGGAGCAUUAUAAGCCUCCUACUUUUUGAAAGUGAAUGAGUAUAUAUUUGUUAUAUAUGUAUUGUUGCAUUAAGUAUAGGAGUUGGAUGAAACCCUUGCUGCAUAUAUAUACCCUUCCUUGUCCAGUAUAUAUAUAACCUGAAUCCUAAUUAGUUAGGAUCACGUCUCUGCUUAGCCAUGCUUAGCUCGGUAGAAGCCAGGUGAUUUCCUGUCACCUGCAGGAUAUAGGUGGAUUCCAGAUCACGGUUGGCUAUAUUUGCUAUCGUGGAAAAGAACCAUGUGUUAAUAAUAUGAAAGGAGACCGGGCGGGAUGAUGAUAGUGAAACAACAAGGCAUGGAGGUCUUGGGUGUGGAUCUAUCCCCGUCUGUGUCGGUUAAGGACCGAUCGUUGUACGUCCUCUUGUCAUGUUGAACGCAUGCCUAACACUUAGUUGGCCGGAUAACUCGUUCCGACCGCGAAGCCUAGUAGUAUGACUCAGGCCGGAAGACCGGCAAGUAUAAAGUGCGCACUACCGGAGGAAGUGCGGUGUGCGGGGGACCAUUGGCGUAAGUCCAAAGGCAGGUGAGUUAAAAUUCCUGACCUCCCUGGUAGAGUGGUAGCCCUGGGAGUGCGGCGCUGAUCGGAGCCGCGAUUCCUGAGUCGUACCAAAGGUGACCUGUUGGCUCUCCGACGGGGGAUGCUUGGGUGAGUGUUAGGAAUACCCCUCCAGCUGGAUAGGAAUCGAUUCGAAUCGCCGUCUCUCCCGGAUAGUGAGAACUUGACAGAGCAGCGGCAAACGUAGCAUUCACUAAAUAACUUAAUGGUUCUAUGAUGAUGAUGAUGAUCACGGCCUUAAUAAACCUGAUAUGGUUAUUAUUGAUUGAUAUUAAUCAAGUGAUUGCUUAGUACAGGUGCUAAUCUAGUUAAUAGGUUAAUGAGAAUUAAAUGGAUGCUAAAUAAGAAAGGUUUAACUAUUUAUACUUAAGCUUUUUAUGCAAAAUGUUGUCCAACAAGCUCCACUUAUAUAUCAGCCUUGCAUACUCCUUGGUGUCAUUUAUUUCUGGUUUAUGACGGGUAAGUCUAGCUGAGUACAUUCUCGUACUCAGGGUUUAUUCCCACUUGUUGCAGGUUGUGAUGUAUCAUAGCUACUGCAAGAUUUGGAUGACUCCUGCUUUAGGGAAGGAGUAAGAUCAUGGGCAUGAUCCUUCCUACUUACCUCAUCUAUGAUGCUUUUGUUGGAAUGGACCAUGGUACUGGCAAGUAUUUGAAAUAAAAGUGAUAUUGGUUUCAAAUUACUUUGCUUCCGCUAUUUGUAAACCUGAGUUGUAAUAACCUUAUCGAACUCCGAUGUAUUUGAACUACUUGCGAAAUGUAUGUAACGUGUGACUUGUUAUGUUGAAUCACUACGAUCUUGGCUUGUAUGUUGGUUGGUUUGAAAUCCCUCGUGAUUUUGUUGGACUACCGGAGUUAUAUGGGCUCAAGUAUGAUAAAUUGAUCGCUUCGGUGAUUGUUUUUGUACUUGUGCUCUUAUAAUUUGGACGGUUCCGUGACAUGACCCAUCAUAGUCAACACCCCCUCGGGGGCUACCAGGGGGACGACCCCCCCCCCCAAGCGUCGAAAAAGCCAAGAAAUUUCCUCUUCUUACUUAGUAAACCUUGCACGAUUCGAGUAGCUAAGGCGCCUUGAGCCCCUCAAAGGCCGAGGGACAACGAGCCUGAGAACUCCUACGCCCCCGGGCUACGGAAACUCUACUCACUUCCUUACCCUUGAGGUGAUCGAGGUUGUUUUUGACGAAAGAACGAACAAGGAAUACAAACGUAGGCGCAAAGAGAAAUAAAAGAACCUCGAGCGGAAAGACAAAUCAACACUUAGCAAUUACAAAAAGAUACUGUAUCAUUUAAAAAGCAUAUUGACAAAGUAUUAUACAAGGGGCCCCAGGCACCCUACGCAGGCUCGCAGGCCUCAGUCCAUGGCACGAUCCUCACCGCCCCCGCCUGCGCCCAAGCCAGUCUCAGGAGGAAGCACCUCAGGCUCAAAAAGCUUAGCCAGCCUUUCCCUAGGAGCCUCCGCGUCGUCGAUCAAGGCGUGGAGCCUCUCUUCGUUCUCCGCGUCGGUCUUGGAGAUGUCGGUGACGAAGCCGUGGGACACCACCUCCAUGUCAUAGGAGAAGCCCGAGCAGACAACUGCCAUAGCCCGCUUCACCCCGAUGUGGAGGGUGUCCCGCACUCGGUCUCUCAGCGUCGCGCCUAAGUAGCACAGCUGGUCGACCAGUGCGUCGCCUCGAGCUCCCUCCCUCAACUCGUCCAUAGGCUCGACCUCCCAAGAGGUCGAGAGGUCGCUUAUCGCCGUCCACACACGACGGUUCAAAGCAACCUCCGCCUCGAGCUGGGCCUUAGCAUUACGGGCCUCGACUUGGGCGGCUAGGAGUUCGUCCUUAAGCCCUGCAAACGCCAAUACAAGAAACUUUAGGAAAAACCGAGCACACCUCGAAAAAGAAAUCCGACAAAGGAAACGUACCGUGGACGCUCUCCUCUAGGGCCGUGUUUUCGCUGACUAAUCUGGUGUUGGCCCUCUCGAUCUCUCUGUUGGAACAGGCCAGCUCGGUGUUGGCGACGCGGAGAUCCUCGAUCACCUUGCCAGCCUGAGCAAUGGCCCCACUCUUCUCCAACAGUUCUCGCUUCAGACGUUCGACGUCGUCAGAAAGCCUGCGGGAUUGAGCCCGCUCCGCCUCGAGAUCUUCGAGGGCCUUCCUCUUGGCUUCCUCCGCGGCACUCCUGGCGAUCUCGCCGUUCACAUGCUCCACCUUCAUCUUCUGGAAGGACUCUCGAAGGGAGUCCAGGUCGGUCUUGAGAAGGCCCUUCUCCUUGUCCAGGUCCGCAAUAACGCUCUUGUAGCACAGGGCCUCCUCCCAGGCUCUGGAUGCAGCCUCCUCGACCGUCAGAGCCCGCUCCCGCAGUAGCGUCAUCUCCUCCUCCGCCUUCUUUGAGGCCUCUCGAGCCUCCACCAAGGCAGCCUCCCUCGCCUUCUUCUCCUCCUCGAGCGCUAUGAGGUCUUUAUAAGCCUUGAGGAGUUUCUCCUGCGACUCGAGGAGCUGAUCCUUGAGGACGGGGAGCUGCUCCCAACCGCCUCGCGUGGCGUGGAUGAAGCUCGACUUGAUGCGGGAGGUCUCUUUCAUAUCCUGUGAGCCGGCGGACGAACGGUUAGAGUGCAAAACCAAAAGGCUCCAUGGAGAUCAAAGAUCGAAAGACACUUACAAAAUAAGCAGGCCCGAGCCCGUUGUUGAUGAUGUCCGACAGGAGCCCCACCACGUGCUUCAUCUAGAGGCGGAGCUCCUCGACAUGUUCCCACUUCUCGGCCUCCUUCUUGUCGUCGAGGAAGAUGUUGGGCUCCGACGGAUCGGUGGAAGCCCGGAUACGAAUCCGAUCGGGGCACCAGUUCUCCAUCUCCCAAUCAGCCCGCGCCUUGACACCGCGAAUAAGGUUCUCGACGGUUUCGAGGGAGCCCCCGUGGCGCAAGAACAGGUCGACGAGGCAUGGGAACCGCCCUUCGUCAUCCACCGUCUUCCAGGUACCGUCCUUGCUUCCCGACGACUCGAUCUCAUCCUCCUCCGAGGGAAAACGGUCCUCCCACGCCCGACGCUCCCGGAGGAACCCUGGCGCGAUCCCGUCCAUGCCGGAGAUCGUCCUCUUGAUCUCAGACUCGGGGUCGGUGGGGGUGCGCAUCAUACAGGCGAGCGCCACCACUCCGUUCGCUCGCCCCGACUCUGCUCGGAUCGCGGCAGGGGCUCCCGGGAGGAGCCACGCUGGGGUGGGAGGGCCGUACACCGGCAAAUUUUCCCCCUGAUCGCCGGGCUCUUGCAGCGCCGGCGGCACCGAUUGGGCUGGACCUUGAGGCAGGGGCUCGAGCGGCCUUUCCUCUUGGCCCCUUGCUCCUGCUGCAGUUGCUGUUGCUGCUGCUGUUGCUGCCCCUCGGGCAUCUGCUGCUCCUGCUGGUGCUGCUCCUCCUGCUGAUGGUGCUACUGCUGCAGCUCCUGUGGCGGCCGCGUCGCCUCGAGCUCCCGCUCCUCCACCUCUUUCUCUUUCUCCUUCUGCUCCUCGAGGGCUCGAAGGCUAGCAGGCCAGGGAGUCCGUCCUAAGAUGAGAGAGGUCGACACCUCCUCCUCCAUAGGUUGGGCGUCCCUAGAAGCCUCGUUACCACCCGACGUGUCGCUGAUGGUGAUGGGAUCCGCCUCGACCCCCAGACGGGGAGGCUUGGGGGCUCCUUCCUGCCCCUGAGUUAGGGGCGCCUCGUCACGCGUCGAUACCGUCGGAGUAGGCUCAGGACGAGACGGAGCACUCCCAGCAUAGCCGGAGGUUGAGAGUCGGAGGAGCCUGCGAAAUAAAGAGUAAAGGUCGGUCACUGUAAUAACCGACGCAAGAACGGCACAAAACCCAUAAACAAACUACAAACCUGACUCCUUGGAGGCUGCUCCUACCUUGAGCCUCUUCGCCAUUGAAGGCUGGGCCUGCUCGAGCGUCCGCUUUAGCCUACAAAGAAAGCAACAAGCUUGAAAAGACCGAUAUGCGAAGAAAUGUAGAGGAAUAGGAGAACGAAAGUCACAAUAAUGAAGAGCUUACCCCACGGGAAGAACAGCUCGCCUCCCAGCGCCCCGACCGGUGGGCCUCGAGCCACCUCGUGCUAAGGCUCCAGGCCCCUCGAGGGCAGGCACUGGCCUUGGCGCAACAGCUCCCGCUUGAAGAGCACCGGGGCUGGCGCUCCUGCGGUCGGCCUCUCCCUUCUCGGAGGCCGCGGCCCGACCGCGAGUCAGAGGCCCCGUCGCCUGGAGCCUAGCAUGGCCACUCCCCCUGGGCGCAAGGGGAGGGCGCAGCGCAACCUGACUGACCGUAGGCGCAGGGGGCGUGACGGCCCGCGGGCGGUGGGAUCCGCUCGGGCCCUCCAUCGGAGUCUCCGUCCGGGGGACGUCGACGUCACCUUGAGGCGGGCCCUCGAGGAUCCGGUCAAGACGUGACGCCAUCCCCUCGGAGUCGUCGCUGCCCUUGUCAUCAUCGUCGUCGUCACUGGGGGAUUCUUCCUCAGGCUCCCCCCUCUGCCUGGAUUUGGCUCGACACGCCUCCAAUGCUUGGCGAUCGAGGUUCUUUUUCUUCUCCCCUUUCUUUGCGGAGUCCUUGGCGGACUUCAGCUUCUCAGCGGACUGGCGCCGCCUGUCACGAUCAACCUCAUCCUCCCUCACAGGGGGCCUCGAGGACCGGACAUCAAUACGUCCCUGCCAGAAUAAAGGAAAGUAAAAAAAAAGAGAAGGGGGGAUCGAGGAAAAUCCAGAAUCGGAGCUAUGUGCGAAAAGAGGACAUACCAAGUCGAUCGAGCCUUCGUCAGGCCUCAUGGGGAAGCCGUUGACGUGCUUCGAUUUGAAGUCGCCAGCGAUGGCCGCCCUAACUCGAGCGGCGGUCUCCUCGUCUGCCAGAGCCUCGUUGGACAUCCGGCAAGCCUCAAGAUCCCGGGACAAGACGCCCGGCCCCAUCUCGUCCAUCCUCAACGGCCGAGACAUCAAAGGGAGGACCCUUCGACGAUGGACGACCGAGAGGACGAGAGCGGCGGACAGGCCCUCCAGGCGUAGCUUCUUCAUGGCGUCGAGGAGGGGGUCGAGCCGCGACUGGUGCUCUUGGACGACGCCGUACGUCCAGUUGUCCGAGCGCUCUGUAAUCAGACGGCCCGUGUAAGCGGGGAAGAGACCAUCGUCGUUCCUCAAGUAGAACCACUGGGAGUCCCACCCAGCGUGGUUCGACGACAGCCCCACCGGGAUAUACUCGCGCGGCCUCUCCGUCUUCUUCGUCUUCAGCACCAGGUUAAGGCACCCGGCCCGCACGUGCUUCCUCACGCCAGUGGUUCCGGUGGGGGCGUUGAAAAGCUCGCCCCUGUAGAGGUAGAGCCAUAGAUCCCAGUGGGGCAUCAUCCCCAGAUAGCCCUCACACACCGCGGCGAAGACCGCCGCGACGGUGAUGGCGUUUGGGGAGAAAUGCUGGAGCUCCACCCCAUAGUGGAAGCAGAGGGCCCGCAUGAAGCGGCUCGGGGGAGCGCCCAGGCCGUGGCGGUGGAACUUGGCGAACGACACCACGUAGCCCUCGGGCGGCUGGGGCUCCCUGUGACUCGCCGGCGGCGCGAUCCACUCUGGCGAUGACAGUGAGGUGCGGCGGCGCAAGAGUCCCUCACUCUCCAGCUCUAGCAACCGGCGCUCCGUCAUCGACGACGGGCGCCAGUCGUUGGCGGCGACGAGUCUCACAGGCAUUUUGGUUGGAAGGACGAUGGAACCGCUGCCGCUCGAGGGGGUGCACGCGCGCGUGAGGCAGCGAGAGAGCAAAGGCAACGAGAGGAUGAAAGCGAGAAGGCGGAAGGAGGAAGAAUGGUGGCGGCGCCACGACGUAUUUAUAGGCAGCAGUCCGCCAACGGACAGAUCCGAGAAAUAAGGUAACUCCCUCCCUUAAAUGUGCCACCUAACCGUCUCUUUCCCCACAUAGGCGGGGCGCUCCGAAUUCCACGACAAAGCAGUGUCGUAACGUCACCCACCUAAAAAGGCGCGCCCAACGGGCAGAAAGGCGAACCGUCACGGCCACUUCCUUCCCUGGUAAGCCAAGGGGCGUACCCGCGAAAGUCUCGAGAGGUCGAUGGCUGGCCUGCCAAAAGGGUUCGACAGCCGAUCUCGAGCGCCAGAGUCAGGGAUCCCCAGCGAGCGGUCGAAGAUCGAGGCCCGCCUCGAGGACUCGCUGGCGAUAUCCAAUGUAGGGUCGAGAUAGUCUAGAGGAAUCCCCCCGACGGGAGGCAUCGAGCCGCCGGACUCUAUCGAAUGAGACUGGUAUCCCCGACCACGUCGAUCCCGCUUUAUGAGAACGCCUCCGGGCUACAGCUGACCCCCUCGAAAGGGGCACAGGUUCUCACUUGGACUACCCGCUAGGAACUCAAUCUGGGUAGGAGACGCUCGCUCUAUCGAGAGUACGUCGAAACCCCCGGGCAAAACGAGCCCAUCGGAACCUUCCACCACUGGUGUCGAAAGCGCUUCUGCGAAUUAGACAAUAUAACCCUCGAAGAAGUCAAAAACUCCUCCGAGGGCUCGGGGGCUACCCCCGCGGGGUCGCUCGCGCGCCCCCACGGAAAUUCGACCGCAAACAAAGCCUCCACUCGAGCGCUAGCGCUCAAAUGGAGGCUCGGGGGCUACUGUCGAGGGUAUCAGUAAGGGGUACCCUCACCGAUGCGCGUUAUGAGAUUUCCCGUAUGCUGGUCGAGGCCCUCAAUUCGACGCUCUGGUCAUACGUGCGCGCUGCCGUCGACGACCGCAACCUCGAAGACGGAAAUAGCGUCGAGCGAAUCGAUCGGGGGUCGAGCGCUAGUUACCGUCGAAUACGGAAACAGGGUCAUACGAACCGGGAGGCUUCGAGCGCAAGGACGCCGCCCGCCGCCUGACGCGCGCACGCGAGCCGGGGCAUUAAAUGCGCCUGACGCUUCCUCACCUAACACACAGGUCACGGGAGGCGUGAUAGGGAACAGGCAUCCGUCCCAUCGACCUUUUUGCAGCCUUCCCACCGAACGACCCAGGGCAUGUCAGGACGCGGGAAACAAGGAUGGAACGUCUAAUCGGGACCCCCUCGAGACAUUCAAGGUCAGCGCUCCGGAUAUCGCCACGUUACACGGCGUCCAACCCUCGACCGAAUAGGGCUCCUUCCUAGGGACGAGUGGAACGUCAACCUAUAACAACACAAGCACCCCGCCGGAUCUGCCGCUCUACCUACGAGCACGCGAUCGUAAAACCAACGCAAGACGGCGCACAGAGCAGAAUGCAGGGGCACGCGUAAUCAUCACCAGGCUGUGAAGACGGGGCAGCUCGAAGCCAUGCUGGUACGGAAGGCUCGAGUGGGUCAGCGCUCCAUGCUGCUAUCGACCCCUACUUUGACAUCUAUACAUGUACCCUGAGUCACUCCUUGGAACUAUAAAAGGAGGGACUCAGGAAUAGAACGACAACAACACUACGCCCAUACGCAGUAGAACACACACACUCCACACCACGCCUGUAUUCACCCCUAUACAAGCACUUAGGUGCAAGAUAAUACAAACCUCCCUCCCCCGCUGGACGUAGGGCCUUCUCUUGCCCGAACCAGGAUAAAUCUUUGUGUCUUCUUGCAUCACCAUCUGGAAAAGGGAGCACGCAUACAAAUUUACUCGUUGGUGUGACCCCCCGUGGGGAAAACACCGACAGUUGGCGCGCCAGGUAGGGGUCCUGCGUGUUUUUCGUCGGUUUCCCACUCCUUUCCAGAUGGCAGCUCUUGCCUCGCCGAUUCCACGCUCCACGGUGAUUUGGUUUGGGAGUCUCGAGUUCAUGUCUACGGGCUCCGGCUACGACAUGAUCUUGCUCUCAGUCAAAGGACCGGGAGGAGCCCGUGUCGCACCAGCUCGGUGACAAAGCAAGUGACUGUGUGACGAGUUCCUCAUUAGUAAUCAUGUUAUUGCAAGUUUAUCUCUAGUUUAUGCCUUGAUAGAUUUUAACCUUGUUUUCACUUUUGUCGUUCUCUUAAGAAAAAUAUAAAUAACGAUACCCGGAAUACUUUCAGGGUGAAAUGCUACAAUGAGGUAUUUUAUCUGUGCGCUUGUGGAUAGAAUAGAUUAUUUUCUAGAGAGCCUCCAUAUUCAUAAAUACCUUUGUAUACUCUGGCACCAUGCUGGGGAUGACAACCUAGUAUCCAAGUGGUGUUACUAAGUGUCAACAGGUAGCUCAACUUCAACCAAACGCCGACACAAUAUAUAUUGAUCUAUCGGCUUGGGUCCCAGCUCUGUUUAUUACCAGUUUUACAAACAUGGGUGGGAAGAAUGGAAGGAGCAUCUAUUCAGGGUAUCGGAUCAUACAUACCGCAGUAUGAUCGACUCCGAUUACGAAGUCCCCGAUAACAUUGUAAGUUCUUCACCGAUACCUUAAUUCCUGUAUUAUUUCUUAACCUCAUCGGCAACUUACUUACUCUUAUUUCAACAGGCCAGUGACCAAGCACCAACGGUGAGCAGAAGCGGGAGGCCGAUUGAGCUCCUCCAAUUAGGCCCAAUUUCUUUAGUCGGCUAUAAUGCACCGAGUCUAGCAACUCUUAUGCAUCGCAAUGUACGCUUCAAAAAGACGACCACCAAAUGGUCGAAAACAUCUCCAUCGGUCGCUGCUGCUACUCUAGCAGAGGCUUUUAAGGUAAACUCUUAAUUUUCUUUGCUUACACCGAUUUUAUCCCGUACUCAUAUCAUCCUUUCAGGGCACAUCGGCUUCAAUAGGAACUUCAUCGGUAAUUUUCAUUUUUCAUUAAAACUUCACCAGUACCUCUUCUUAUAUCCAACUCAUAAAAUUUUAUUUUCUGUAGCAGCAGACUGGUAAAUCAGCAAGAACCAAGAGUGCUCAAACAUCGGGUGCCGAUGCCCCCCAGCCCAGUCAAGCUCCAGCCAAGAGAAAGGGUCCCAAAAGCACCAAGACCCAGCCGAAUUGCCACAAGACAGCACCAUCCUCUCCACCUCGUCCAGUAUCUCCGAUCCAAGUAGCAUCAUCUCCUUCUCCAUCAAAACCCUAGAUGCAAGAAGUACCUUCUCCUCCUCAACCAGUACCCCAGCCGCAAGAAGCACCAGCCGAUGUUUCUGAACAGAUUGUCGAUCCGGCUGAUCUGGGCACAUCAUCGGCCGUCCCCCAUAAUAGACAAUCACCAUGCCCCCUCAAGGUAAAGUACUAAUCACAGAGUUAUUACCGAUGAGUUUAUCUUAUAUGCUAUAAUCAUCCUUGUAAUUUUUUAGCUGAAGUCAUUCCAUCGGCAAUCCCAGCCGUUCAAGCCCUAAUACCAGCUGCAUCUCUAUGUCAGAGACAGGAAAUUGCCUCAAGCAAGUAAGUUAUCCAAUUUUUCAGAUUUUGUACUAUCAACAGUUAAUCUUGAAUAACUUAUCUUCUCCCUUUUCUAGGAGCAAGAUUCCCCAGAUAGCCUAUUCUCCUUUGCUAUCGACAUCUCCGAUGAUGAGGGUGAAGAAGCAAGCUCUUCUUAGGCAGUUGGAAUUUCAUUGGCAGAGAUUAAGGCCAAAUUGGAAAACUUAUUAGCUCUGUUACACCAAGACACUGCUCAGCUAGUAGAUGAUUCUGGCCCGGCCAAAGUUAUAUUCAAGACCCUCCGUGGUCAAAUUCCAGCCGAUGCAGAAGAAGCUCUCUUCCAAGCUACCCAUCUAGAAAGUUGCCAACUUCGGUAUCAAAAGCCUAACCAGCGCCUUGCUGAUAGAGCUGCUCAUGCCCGGCUUAUAGAGGAGAUGCUGCAAGUAAAGCGUGCUACUGAUGAGAAACACAAAAGCAUUGGCAUUCUGCAAUCCUCAGGGGAUGAGCUGAAACAAAAUAUCUCCACUCUAUCGGCAAAAAGAGAAGCCCUGCUGGCUAAACUUAAGCAUGUGGAAGAGGCCUUGACUCAAGCUCAGCAAGAAGAAAGUCAGCUGCCUGAUGCGCUUAAAACUCUUCAGCAAGAGAGAGACAUCCAAGCCCGUAAAGCACUGUAGAUGGAGAAGAAGCUGAAGCCAGUGGAGGGUUCUGCUGAUGAAGACACUCGAGAAAUAGAAGAGGCCAACCAGAUCCGUCUGCGCACCAUACAGCCAUCCAAGCUCUGCUGAAUCUAUGAACUCUUUAUCGGCAACUUGAUUAGUUUUGCUUUCAGAAACUUUAAUCAUUUUGGUCUAGCCGAUAGGAUUGUUAUCGGCACUUAAACACUAUGCUCGGCUCCAGAUACAUUUUAUCCAGCCGAUAGGAUUAUUAUCGGCAUUUGAACUUCUAUGCAUCAACCCAGAUAAUAGGAUAAUAUAUCUUUAAAUAUUUUCCAUUUAACUCUCUAGGAAACUCAACUCCUUCGAGAGUUUCUAAAAUAUAAGCAUUGCCUGGAGCAGAUCGAUUUAUCCGAUAAGGACCCUCCCAAUUUGGAGACCAUUUUCCAAACAUUGAACUCUUAGUCCCAAUCGGUAGAAUUAACUUCCACACCAAAUCUCCAUCGGCAAACUCUUUGGCUUUUACUUUCUUAUCAUACCAUUUAGCAACUCUCUUUUUAUUUUCUUCUAUGCAAAUUAAAGCUCCCAACCAAUGCCCUGCUAAAUCAUCCAACUCAUCUUUCAUCAGAGUAGCAUAGUCAUCGGCAUUUAGCUGAUCGUGAGAAAAAAUCCGACGAGAACCAGUUUUAAUUUCCCAUGGUAACACCGCAUCAUGUCCAUACACCAAUUGACAGGGCGAUACUUUGGUUGAACCAUGACACGCCAUCUGAUACGACCAUAAGGCUUCAUUUCACAAUGCAUGCCUCCUCUUAGGACUUUCUUCAAUCUUCCAUUUAAUUAGCUUAAUAUCCCUUUGUUAGAAGCUUCGGCCUAUGUUGACAGUCCUUAAGUAAUAAAUAUAGCCAUCAAAUAAAUAAAGAAAAGGAUCCAAAUGCAACCAACACCCAGACUUAGGGUUUUAUUUGACAGAAUUCCACGAGUUUUGGUGUUUGUCUAUUUAUGCAGGGGGUUAUCAGGAAAUACGGAAGAAAGGCCCAUACGUCGAGAUUACAUAGAGAUAUCAACAUGCCGCGCAAUUAUCUUACAUCUAGAAGACUCCAGAAGCCACAUGAAGGAAGCGGAGGCCGAACGGGGCCUGGCCCUGGGCGCCCGCCCAAGUAACCAGGGUGCCCGCCCCCCUGAAGAGUCCAAUGAGAACUCUCUUUCGGGACUAAUCUCCACCGACCUAAAGGAUCAAGAAUAACCGUUCAAUCAAUGUCGGUUUGAUCCGACGGCCCAGAUUCACUUGAGGGGACUAUAUAACCAGACCCCUGGCCCCUGGAGGAGGCAACCCCUUGAUCCCUAUUCAUUAUUCAUAGACAAAGCAAAAGCUAGGGUUUGGAGAUGAGAGCUCUCCUCUCUUCUCUAAACUAGAGUAGAUCUAGAUAGUAGCGAGAUGGAGAGCGAAGGAGGAUUAGAGGAGAGGCCGGCCUGUUGGUUCUUCCUCCGGUUGUACUUCGUCAUGAUCAAGCUCUAAUCAAGCUUGCUCAUGGGAUGACUCUGGUAAUCUAUUUCUAAUUCAUUAUGCAAUUACUAAUCAUGUAUGUUCUGGUUCACAACUCUUUUGAGUACUUUAAUCUAUAGGACGCUAUAGGUGAGAGUUGUAGUAUAGCUGUAAGCAUGGUGCUUAGACCUAGAUUACUUGUGGAUAUCCCCUGUCUAGCCGGAUCGUGUGGUAGGCCGCGUAUGUGACAGCUAUGUUGGUCCUCUGUAGUCCACCUCCCGUUAGUAGGACUGGUAGGGUUUAUCGGCCUAUGGAUAAGCAUCCUUUGUGGUGUAUUCUUAUCACGUGGUUCGUCCCAGACAUAGACAUACCACUUUGAAGUAGAGAAACCAUAGUUAUCCUCUCUAUUCUGCUACCAUCGCCCAUAUACUAUAUUGCUCUACUCUCUAUUCCCAUAUUAUCACCCAUUGUUAUCUUACCUUUAAUAUUGUUCUUAUUCAAUUCUACCAUCUUUCCUAUUUACACCUAUCUACCUAUCUAGGUUAAGUUACAGUGUAAAUCAGUUCUCCCGUUUCCCUGUGGAUACGAUAAAACCUUUAACCGGGUAAAAGCUACAACGGUAUCCGUGCGCUUGCGGAUUUAUCUAUGUGCGUAUAAAUACCAUAGUACACUCUAGUGCCAUGCUGGGGAUGACAACCUAGUAUUCAAGUGGUGUUAGCAAGUGUCAACAAGCAUUUUUGGCGCCGUUCUCGGGGAAACGGUUGCUGAGUUGACUACAAACUAGCUUAAUCAUUUUCUAAAAAAAUAAAAAUAUAUAUAUAUACUUUUCCUUUUAUCUUUUGCCUUAUCUCUGCUAUUCUUUCUUCUUAUCUAAUCCUUGAUCUCUGGUCUAUCAUGAAUUCAAACAUGUCUAUCUAUGUGUUGACACCGUUUUUGGGCACGUGUCUAGGAUGGCAGGAUAAGGUGGCAGUACGAUGUUUACAAAGUGGGUUGCCGAUGAGGAUGGUUGCCGAUGAGGGAGAAGUUGAACGUGACUAAGUCCACAGGCAGUAAUAUGGUGCCGAUGGCUAGAUAAGAAACUCUGCCGAUGACUAUGGCAAAGGGUCUGCCGAUGAUGCAAAGAGGGAGUCCGGAAGCUGCCGGUCGUUAUGUGGAGGAGUUUCGGUUUGUCACGAGGGAUAGUUUUGUUAUUUCCUUAAUUAUUUGCAUCGUUUUGUAUACGGAUUCCGUGUAAUUUGGAAUUCGAAUUCUAAUCGUGUCUGGUUGUAGCACUUUGAGCAGGGUAUAAAUAUAGACCCUAGGGCCUUGUAAUAAAAAUCAAUCAAUGAAUCAAACACACAUUUUUACUCAUAUUCCAGCAUUUACUUUUCGACGACUUCGUCAUACUUUUUCCUUUUGUUACGAGUUCUUAGGAAUUCGUCGACUUAAGCUCGGCGUGUUCUCAAGUUCCGCGUGAGUUCCUCUUAGCCGUGACAUCCGGGCGCAUCGCUGUUGUCAGGACUAAAGUAUUCGAGUUAUCACCUUUGCCGAUAGCAAGGUCAAAUCGGCUGGCACGCCUUAACGUUUGAAUCGGGUAUUAGCCCUUUGUGUUUGCAGAUCAGUUUUGCAUCAACACAUCUUUUGGCACGCCCGGUGGGACAGGAUUCAAGAUCAAGAUCAACAUGUCGAUCUCUGACCUCGAUCAAGAGAACGUCAUCCCCGUGACGGAGGCCAACCUCAAGGAUGAGCAGAAGCAAGCUAUUGCCCAAGCCAUGGAAGAGUUCAAGCAGCAAUGCCUGAGGUCUUUCAGCAUAAACAGGAGCGGCGAAGUGGUCCAGAAAGAUGCACUGCCGGCACCACGGUAGGUUACCUUUGACGCCAAUCCUGGCAAGCUUCAAGAUAUGGUUGACAAUGCCAUCAAUCGAGCGUUGAUUAACCAAGCUGGUGUACUGUCUAAUACGGUUUUCAAUGCCGUGGCAAGAACUUUCAAGGAAGGACAAAUCCCACCAGAUUAUGUGGGCCCGUCCCAUCAUCAGCCAAUGGCACCAGAGGUCACGGCUCCAUCGGCUGCCUUGACGACUGCAAGUGCACAAUCUGCCGUCCCUCCAAGUACAUCGGGGACUACUGGUGCACUAUUUAUGCCGAUGACAACCAACCCACAAAUUUCAGUUGGGCAGCAUAAACUGACAACAGAUAUGUUGGCAUCGACAAUGUCAGGGUUGACUCUUCCUCCCAACUGGUGGGGUUACGGUAUGCCUCCAGAGUUGACACCGGGAACAUCACAAAUAACUGACAUGAGGGGCAAAACUCCUAUGACAUCGGCACCUCCCAAUGCGCCGGUGAACCAGAGUCCUCGGUAUACCACAACUACUACUGCAAGGCCUCACACUGGAAAUCCUCAAGAUUCAAUGUUCCAGAUGCCCAACGCAUCGGCAGAGUCAAUGCUGAUGCAACAGAGGUCUAUGGCCUAGUCGGGGUAUGUCAAUUCAACGACGGUACCCAAUUACCAAUCAUCGGCAGCACCUAUGCCGAUGAACGCUAAUAAUGGAUGGCUUGGACAGCAAGCCUUUCCACAAUCGCCCCAGCAGAGUUACCAGACUACAGGGUUCCAGCAAGGGCAGGUCUAUCCCGGGUUCCAAGGUCAGGGGAUUCCCAACCAGCCAAUGAAUUUUGGACAGCAACUCGGAGGACAGCCAAUCGGUGGACAGCAGUUUGGUGGUCCGCAGAUUGGAGGACAGGUGAUCAAUACAAUGUUCCGUGCAGAUCACGUCCCGAACAGACACGUGGAGGUUCGCCACCAAGUGCCAGAUCCGCAGCCGCCUCAUCGGCAAGAUGCCGAUGCAUAUUGGGCCGAUAAGAUUGCUGAAGUAAUGAGGGAACAAUUUGGGAUAAAACCCAAAGUCAACACUUAUUCUUAUCGGACACCGUAUCCUCCCGCGUAUGAUUUGAUCCCGCUUCCACAUCGGUACAAGGUACCGGAUUUUACAAAGUUUUCCGGGCAGGACGACACGUCAACCAUGGAGCAUGUCAACAGGUUCAUCAUUCAAUGUGGAGAGGCUGGUAACAGGGACGAAUUGAGGGUUCGUCUAUUUUCAUCAUCAUUGUCUGGAUCGGCCUUUACUUGGUUCAUAUCAUUACCUCCCAACUCACUAAUUACUUGGGCCGAUCUAGAGAAGCAAUUCCACAAAUACUUCUUCUCGGGGGUUCAUGAGAAGAAGAUCACCGACUUGGUCAAGUUGAGGCAACGUAAUGAUGAGUCGGUUGAGGGUUUUGUGCAGAUGAUAUGAGAGGUCAAGAAUAAAUGCUAUAGCUUGGUUCUGGAUGAUCGGCAGCUAGCCGAUUUGGCUUUCCAGGGUUUGUUGCCACAUAUCAGGGAUAAGUAUGCCUCUCAGGAGUUCGAAAGUUUAAGUCAUUUGGUGCAGAGGAUUUCUGAUCAAGACAUCAAGCCUUUCGAGCCUAAAAGAGCAUGGAAUAGGAAAGUGUCAUUUGUCGAUGAAGCAACAAGCUCAGAUUCUGAUGAAGAACCAGUAAUCGGCUUGGCAGAGUGGGUAAAAAACAAGAAGCCGAUGUCUUGUCCUUUUGGGCAGAAGGAACCAGAGAAGUUUGCUUUUGACACCGCUAAGGCUGAUAGGAUAUUUGACUUUCUACUUCAGGAAGGUCAGAUCAAACUGUCACCUAACCAUGUGAUCCCAUCGGCAGAAGAGUUGAAGAGGAUGAGAUAUUGCAAGUGGCAUAAUGCAACUUCCCAUGACACCAACGAGUGCAAAGUAUUCAGACAGCAGCUGCAAUCGGCUAUAGAGUCAGGGAGAAUCAAGUUUGACAGUUCCAAAGCCCAGAAGCCGAUGAAGAUAGACCAACAUCCUUUCCCGACAAACAUGUUGGAUGCUAAGGGGAAGGCUAAGGUCUUAACAUCGGAGACAGCUGAGAAGAGUGCAUCGGUAGAUCCUCAGCAUCAAGUUACUACUGCCGAUGCAAGAAGUAAGGGCUUGGUCCAGGAAGGAACUAGCUCAGGAAGGCCUCCUCGGUCUGGUAUCGUCAUAACUCAUAGAAGGCCUCGAGAAAAAUGGCAACAACGGGAAGAUCGGUAUCGGCGCCAGCAGGAAGAUUAUCGACGGGAAGAAGAAAGACGCCGACAGGAGUGGAAUCGGCACAGGGAUCAUUGGAAUUGUCCAUUCUUCAUCCAUUGUUGGGAGGAAAAUAUCAAGCUUCCUACUGUCAGAGACUGCCCUGAGUGCAACGGUUAUGUUCGGUACGAUGGGAUCGAUCGGCAUUAUCAUGAUGAUGAACGGCGAUUUAAUGGGCCGAUCAGAGGAAGGGUGUCAGUUCAUGACCGGCUGGGGUGCAGAUUUAGUGGGCACGACAGACUUAGUGACCGUGUCCAGUAUUUUCCCAGGAACCAAGAAGAGCUCGAGGAAAUGGCUGAUGCGCGGGUUCCCGAUGAAUUCAUAUUUUGCAGGGAUGCUAACACGCAUCGUAUGGAGUCAAGGGAGAACCGACGCCCGAUGGCAAGGCAAAGGCCACUUCCUCCAUGGUGCCCUGGAGGAUUAACCAAGACACAUAAAAGGAGAUUGCAACGUGAAAGGCAAGAAGAGCUAAACAAGGGAGAGAACUCUGGAAGUCGGCAGCCGUCAGACACUAAGAGGGAAGGUCCAUCGGCAGGCGUCAACAUGGUCUUCAUGUUGCCGAUGGAGUUUCUUGCACCAGCCAGUGAUGAUGAGUUGGAAUUUUCUGAUCAGAUAGCUCAGUUGGCUCUGGAUCCGAUGACGGCUAUCUUUGAGAAACCUGCCGAUGACGAGAGGCAGCAUCUUAAAGUUCUGUUCCUCAAAGGAAGGGUUGAUGGGCAGCCAAUGACCAAGAUCCUAGUUGAUGGUGGAGCUGCUAUUAAUAUUAUGCCGUAUGCAGUAUAUCGGAAGCUUGGGAAAGGGGAUCAAGAUUUGACCAAGACCGAUAUGAUGCUCAAAGACUUUGAAGGAAACGUGUCUCCAGUCAAGGGGGCGAUAUGUGCAGAGUUGACCAUCGGCAGCAAAACCUUGCUGACAACUUUUUUCGUGAUCAGCGGAAAAGGUGCUUACAACUUAUUAUUGGGAAGAGAUUGGAUUCAUGCCAAUUGUUGUAUCCCAUCUACAAUGCAUCAAUGCUUGGUUCAGUGGGUAGGUGACAAGAUUGAGAUUGUCCCAGGAGAUUCUUCUUAUGUUAUCGCAUCAGCAGAAGCAGAUACUUACGAAAGGACCAGGUGCAUUUCAGGAGAAGUUUGGGAGAAAGAUUUUCUCAAAGUUGCCGAUUAUGAGAUUCCACCGAUCCAAGCAGUCGGUUCUGACGACGGUUUUUAAUGGAUAGAUUCGCCGAUGAUGGAAAAUUAGGCCAGGGAUUCACAUCGGCCGAUGAUUUGGUAGAAGUAGAUAUAGGUAGUGGUGAUAAGCCUAGGCCUACUUUUAUUAGUGCUAAAUUAGAUCCUGAGAGUAAGCAACAAUUGACUAGUUUGUUAAAGGAAUAUAAAGAUUGCUUUGCUUGGGAUUAUACCGAGAUGCCUGGUUUAGACCGAUCAAUUGUUGAACAUCGGUUACCCAUCAAGUCUGGAUUUCGGCCACAUCAGCAACCAGCCCGCCGAUGUAAUCCUAACAUUCUACCUGAUAUUAAGGCCGAAAUCACCAAACUUAUUGAAGCUAAGUUUAUUCGGCAGUGUCGGUAUGCCGAGUGGAUUUCCAAUGUUGUUCCGGUUUACAAGAAGAACAGGAAGCUUCGGGUGUGCAUUGAUUUCAGGAAUCUCAAUAAAGCUACGCCGAUGGAUGGAUACCCAAUGCCUGUCGCCGAUCUACUGGUUGAUGCUGCGGCUGGUCAUCAGGUCAUCAGCUUCAUGGAUGGUAAUGCAGGUAACAAUCAAAUAUUCAUGGCGGAGGAGGAUAUUCCAAAAACCGCAUUCAGGUGUCCUGGUCAUGUUGGGCUAUUUGAAUGGAUAGUCAUGACUUUUGGGUUGAAGAAUGCUGGUGCUACCUAUCAAAGGGCUAUGAAUUUUAUAUUUCAUGAGUUCAUCGGCAAGCUCGUGGAGAUUUAUAUUGAUGAUGUGGUGGUUAAGUCUGGAGAUUUCUCAAAGCAUCUUGCCGAUUUACCAAAAGUGUUAGAGUGCACAAGGAAGCAUGGAUUGAAGAUGAAUCCCAACAAGUGUGCAUUAGGUGUAUCGGCAGGGCAGUUUCUUGGUUUCAUGGUACAUCAGAGAGGUAUUGAAAUUAGUCGAAGAUCUAUUGUUGCCAUCAAUAAAAUAGUGGCCCCUACCAACAAAACCGAGCUCCAAUCCUUGAUCGGCAAGGUAAAUUUUAUCAGGAGAUUUAUAUCGAAUUUGUCUGGUAGGAUUCGUGCUUUCAGUCCUCUUCUUAAAUUGAAAGCCGAUCAAGAGUUUAUUUGGGGAGAAGAACAACAGUUGGCUCUGGAUGAGAUCAAGAAGUAUCUAGUAAAUCCUCCAGUUCUAGUUCCACCUCAACAAGGGAAGCCCUUCAGAUUGUAUUUAUCUACCGAUGGAUCGGUUAUCGGUUCAGCUUUAGUUCAAGAAUUUGAAGGGAAAGAAAGGGUAAUUUAUUAUUUGAGUAGGAGGUUGAUUGAUGCUGAAACCAGGUAUUCGGCCAUUGAGAAACUAUGCUUAUGCUUAUAUUUUUCAUGUAUCAAGCUGAGACAUUACCUGUUAUCGGCCGAAUGCACUGUUGUUUGCAAAGAUGACGUGGUCCGAUACAUGCUAUCUAUGCCGAUUAUGAGUGGUAGGAUCGGUAAAUGGAUUUUAGCGCUGUCGGAGUUCGAUUUGCGUUACGAAUCGGCUAAGGCAGUCAAAGGGCAGAUUAUGGCCGAUUUUGUGACUCAACAUUGCGGUCUAGUGGAAACCUUGGAAAUUGUACCCUGGACGCUCUUCUUUGAUGGAUCUACCUGUGACCGGGGGGCAGGAAUCGGCAUUGUAUUAGUUUCCCCUAAGGGGAGGAAGUAUGAGUUUUCCUUGCCGAUUGUUGCCACAUCAACAAAUAAUCAGGCUGAGUAUCAGGCUCUGAUCAAGGGAUUGGAGUUGUCAAGAGAAGUUCAUGCUGAUGCUGUUGAAAUAUUCGGGGAUUCUAUGUUGGUUAUAAAUCAAUUGGCCGGAAGCUAUGAAUGCCGAAGUGAAGUUCUCAUAACUUAUUUCGAGAGAAGUAUGCAACUGUUAAAGGAAUUCAAGGAUUUCCGAUUGGAGCAUGUUCCCCGAUUGCAUAACGAAGACGCUAAUCGGUUAGCUCAGCAUGCCUCGGGAUAUCAGCCAAUGAUUAAUGCGACAUCGGCAGUCGGUGUCGGUGAUUGGAGGAAUGAAAUUAUUGAUUAUCUAAAAGAUCCAUCCAAAAAAGUUGAAAGACGGGUUCGAUUUCAAGCAACCAAGUAUGUGCUCCUUGAAAAUGAAUUGUAUUAUCGAACUAUCGACGAAAUUCUUCUCCGAUGCUUGGGUGAUGAUGAAGCUAGAAGUUUGAUGGGGGAAAUCCAUGAAGGAGUGUGUGGAGCGCAUCAGUCAGCUUUUAAGAUGAAGUGGAUGAUUCGAAAGAAUGGAUAUUUUUGGCCAACCAUACUUGAAGAUUGUUUUAAAUAUUUCAAGGGAUGUCAAGGUUGUCAAAAGUUUGGUAAUAUCCAGAGAGCACCCGCAUCGGCUAUGAAUCCUAUAAUAAAGCCUUGGCCGUUCCGGGGAUGGGCCAUCGAUCUGAUCGGCCAGAUUUAUCCACCAUCUAGCAAAGGGCAUAAGUUCAUUCUAGUUGCCACUGACUAUUUCACUAAGUGGGUUGAAGCUAUUCCUUUGAAGAAAGUCACAUCGGCCAAUAUGAUUGAUUUUGUGAAGGAGCAUAUUAUUUACCGAUUUGGGAUUCCCCAAACGAUUACUACCGAUCAGGGCGCCAUGUUCACAUCGGGGGAGUUCGAUGAAUUCGCAAUCGGUAUGGGAAUUAAAGUGUUGAAUUCUUCUCCUUAUUAUGCUCAAGCCAAUGGGCAGGCCGAAGCGUCUAACAAAGGAAUUAUCAAGCUUAUUAAACGAAAGAUUGAAGAAAAUCCUAAGCGGUGGCAUACAUUGUUAAAUGAAGCAUUGUGGUCUUAUCGGAUGGCUUGUCAUGGAUCGACCAAAGUAUCACCCUAUCAAUUGGUGUAUGGACAUGAUGCAGUGUUGCCUUGGGAAAUUAAGGCUGGAUCUAGGCAAUUAUCUUUUCAAGAUCAAUUAACUUCCGAUGGUUAUGCCACUUUGAUGACCGAUGAAUUGGACGAUCUAGCAGGGCAUCGGUUAAAAGCUUUAAUGAGUAUAGAAGAAAAUAAGAAGAGAGUUGCUAGAUGGUAUGAUAAGAAAGUGAAGGCUAAAGAGUUUGCCGAUGGGGAUUUGGUAUGGAAAUUAAUUUUACCAAUUGGGACCAAAAGUUCGAAGUUUGGAAAGUGGUCUCCUAAUUGGGAUGGUCCUUAUCGGAUAAGUCGAUCGGCUCCUGGUAAUGCCUACAUUCUAGAAACCCUCGAAGGAAUUGAAUUUCCCAGAGCAUUAAACGGCAAAUAUUUAAAGAAGUACUACCCCAGUAUAUGGGUCGAUGCAUAGAAGUUUAGGUGCCGAUAACACUCCUAUCGGCUGGAUCCAAAUGCUUGGGGACAAGACUUGGUGUUUCAAAAGUUUAGGUGCCGAAAACAGUCCUAUCAGCUAGACUAAAAGCUGAGGAAGCAGGAAAGCGCAGAUACAAUGCCGAUGGAAACUCUAUGUGUUAAGCAGCGUCUGGAUUGCCGAUAUAGCGCGUAGCCGAAUUUGGUUGGCUGCUUCUAUCUCCUUGAUGUCAUCAUCGGCAGAACCUUCUAUCGGCUUCAGCUUCUUGUUCAGUUGAAGUGCCUUGCGACCAUGAGCAUUUCGCUCGUGCUCAAGAAGCCCGAUGGUCUCUGGCAAUUGGCUCUCUUCCUAUUGGGCUUGGGACAGAGCGUUCUCUACUUCCUUGAGCUCCGCCAACAGGGAUUCUUUUCUUGCCGAUAGAUCGGAUAUCUUCUGCUUCAGCGCGUCUCCAGAAGAUCUCAGGAUACUGAUGUUCUUGUGCUUCUCAUCGGUCAAAAGCUUCUCUUUCCUCAUUUCAUCGGAGAGUUGAGUCUGAGCGGCUCUAUCGGCAAGCCGCCGAGAAGCUCUUUGGUACUGCAGCUGGCGACUCUCCAGAUGAGCGGCUUGGAACAGGAUUUCUUCAACAUCGGCUGGGAUUUGGCCUCUGAGAGUUCUGAACAGGGUCUUGGUAGGGUCGGAAUCAUCAACCAAUUGCGCUUUGUCCUGGUGAAGGAGAGCUAACAAUUCUUCCAGCCUGACCCUGAUCUCUGCCAAUGUGAUGCCGACCGUCCGAGAAGAGCUUGCUUCUUCACCUUCUUCUUCAGAGAGAUCGAUGGCGAAGGAGAACAGGCUAUCGGGAGAAUCUUGUUCCUGGGAGGGAAAGCAAAAUUAGCUCAUACUCAGAGAAUCGGCAAAUAGUGCUAACGGUAAACGGUGACUUACUUGCUUCAAGGCGAUCUCUUGUCUUUGACUGAGAAGUGCUGACGGAGCUGCAGGCUGAUCGGCCAAAGAUGCCGAUGGAGCUACAGGUUGAUCGGCUGAGAUUGCCGAUGGAACGAUAUCAACUGAAAGAAGACAAAAGGAGUUAUGAGACUAAAUAAGAAUAAAUUCAUCGGUAGCGAUAUUGUUAAAGUAUGUUACCUGGAGGAGGGACAACGGUUGUCUGAAUUGGGAGAACUGCCGAUGGUAUAACUGGACCCACCGGGCCAGUUGUUUGUUCACCCAUGUCAGCUGAUGUAUCUUCUGUUUGAGAUCCUUCCUGUUGGGGUUCUUCUAUCUGUGGUGCUUCCUGCAUAGGUGGGGGAGAUGGUGCUUGCUGUGGCUGGGCUUCUGGAGAAGAAGGAGAAGACUCCACCGGAAUUGGAGAUACCGGAGGAGGAGGGGGAGUUGCUACCUUCUGGCGCUUUGUUCCAGUCUUAGCACCCAUGGUGCCCUUUCUCUUGGGUUGGCUAGACUGGGGGGCAUCGGUACUCUCACACCUGGCUUUCGCCGAUGCGCCGGUUUGCUGCAAUAAUGAACAAGAGUUUAUAAGCAUAAAUAUAGCCGAUAUAAAGAUAGUCAGCAUAAAGGAAAAGAUUUGACAAAUUGCCUUGAAAGCCCGCGCAAGAGUGGGAGCAGCAACCGUUGGUGAUGUCUGGGUUCUUCUGGUGGUGACUUUCCUGAGGCGUACACCCCGAUGCACGAUGGAAGCUAGAGUGGGAGCAUUGUGGCCGAUUGAGGAAAUCGGGCCUGAUGGAAACAAGUCGAUCGGCCUGCCACUCCUGCUAACCAAUGGAGGAAUAUUGUCAACCUGCAAAAGGAAUACAAGGGUAAGCUACCGAUGGAGGUAAUAUUGAGAAAAUGAAACGUUGGUUUGAGUUACUUACAGUGUCAUCGGGAACUUCGUAUUCGGAGUCAAUCAUGCCGCGGUAUGAAAGUGCCGAUCUGCAGAAUAGAUGCUCUUUCCAUUCUGCCCACCAUAACUUGUAUGCCUGAGUGAUAAAAGCAGCCGGAACCCAUUCUGACAGAUCUACAUCUAUAUCGGCGUUUGGUGGUAGUUGGGCUGCUCGAGUCCACUCAAGAAGGUUGUUGAUAGUUUCUCUGGGUUUUAUCACAUCGGCAUAAGAAAGUGCAAUCGGCAACUGGCCGAAAGCUAACUGGCGAGCUAAUGCCGAUGGAUUGUAAAAUUCGUAAGUUUGAGGGGAGGUUUUUGUGCUACCAAAGAAAUUCACUGGAAUGAUUCUGGGAGUCACAAUUGCCAUCAUCACCUCAUUGUCCCUGUCGAGAGCUUCAUCAAAUGGAUUGAAGGUCAGAGGGAGCAUCCUAUCUGGGUCAUCAUAAGCCAACCAUGGUCGUUCGUCUCUGAUCAAACCCUCAUACAGAGUCUGGAAGAAUCGGCCGAUCUGAUCUGGAUUACCCCCUGAACCAGGCAGAACUAUGACAGCUUCGCCAAAGUUCAAGGGGGCGCGUGUUGCCGAUUCCUCUUCACCCAAUACAUGGUUUUCAGCUAUAUCUCUUGGGAAACGCUGUGUGAACAGGUUGAAGUUGAGACGUUUGUGCAGAUGCAGAUUGAGCCACAUGUUGACAAACCACCAGGGGCCUCCCAAGUUGCCAGUGGAUUGGCCGAGCAGAAGUUUCUGGGCUACUUGAUGGAGAAGGUGGUAAGCAGCGCCAAGCAAGUAUCGGCCGAGAGGGAAUCGGCCACCGUUAGCCAGUCUUUCUGCUGCCGAUAGGUAGACAGAAGUCGGUCCUGCCGAUCGACCACAGAAUACAAACUUGUCCAGCCACAUGUUCAGAAAGGUGGUUUGUUCCUUUAUGGUGACAGAUCCUUUCCCACGGUACUUCUGAAUGUACCCCGACCAACCGCCGAUAGUGCGAGUCUCCACUUUGGCACUAGGGGCAGUAUCAAAAAAGUGGGUGCUAUCGGCAGAAGAUAUAUCUAGACCAGUAAGCAUGGCUACAUCGGCAAGAGUAGGAGAAGCAGGGCCGUGGCUAAAGGCAAAAGCAUUGAGGGUGUCUGACCAAAAGUAGGAUGCAGCUAUCAGCAGUGACUCGUUCCUAUGCAUAUCGGCAAUGGACAAUCUAAUGCAUUGGGCUAGAUUCCUUUCACCCCACUGAACUUCAUUAGAGUUGCUGACCCUUAAGAACCAGUCUUUCCACCCUACAGUUGGGCUGGGCCAAGAGCGGAAGGUGUCCUUCCACAGAUCUAAGGAAAAAUUUUCGGCUCUGAAGGGGAUCCUGUUGGUUUCUGCGUUGAUAAGGUCAGUUGGAUCUGGGUCCCCUAGAGGGCCGAGGCAUUGAAGGUGUGGUUGAUCGGUGGGGAUGACAAUUUUGUUGGACAAUUCCUAGUGAUUUUGGGCGUAAAAAGAAAUACAAAGAGGAAAGAAAAGGAAGAUGUUCAGUAAAAUGAAUUGCGAGUGAACAGGGAUAUGAAGAAAAAUACAGAAGACGGGGUGGAGAUUUGACCUCAGGGACGACGAACCCGACGGCCAUCUUGCUGCGAAGGAAGCGUGCGAAGGCGCCGGAGUUGGUGAAGAGGGGUACUUGUCGGAGACCUUAGGAGUUUUUGGUGGCGCCGCCGCUGGAAAAGUAAAGUUGGGUAGUAGAAUGGUGUGAUGGGGAAGGAGUACCCAAGAAGGAACUAUUUAUAGGACAAACUGGGCAAGGGCAAAUCCGACUUAUCUCUUUGUCGCAUCCGAGAAAUCCGAGGGUACUCAGGUGGAUAUGGUAACUGUUCGCACGGUAAUCCAGGGAUUGUGCAGGUGAUUUGACGGGAAGCGGUCAUUAUCUGAAGAUAUUUUACUGUGCGAGAUCUCCUGGUCGGUCCAUCGGCAAUAUUCUAUAACGGUCAUAUUGCCGAUGGGCGGAUAGAGGGGAAGUAACCGUUUGUGCGAAUAUCCUGGUCAGAACAUCGGCAGAUCUUUGUAACGGUAUUGUUGCCGAUGUACGACUGAGAAAAAUGCCCGUUUAGGAAGUUGGGGAUUUCGAGGAAUCUGCGGAGGAAUAGGAUCAGAGUUGUUCAGAUUGAGGUUGUCGGUUACCAGAUUAGGAGCAUUAAUUGUGGGAAAAGGCAUCAUUACUGCAGAGAAUUUCGGAGCAUUAAUAGUUUUAUACUCCGAAACUGGGGGGCAUGUGUUGACACCUAUGGAUAAGCAUCCUUUGUGGUGUAUUCUUAUCACGUGGUUCAUCCCAGACAUAGACAUACCACUUUGAAGUAGAGAAACCAUAGUUAUCCUCUCUAUUCUGCUACCAUCGCCCAUAUACUAUAUUGCUCUACUCUCUAUUCCCAUAUUAUCACCCAUUGUUAUCUUACCUUUAAUAUUGUUCUUAUUCAAUUCUACCAUCUUUCCUAUUUACACCUAUCUACCUAUCUAGGUUAAGUUACAGUGUAAAUCAGUUCUCCCGUUUCCCUGUGGAUACGAUAAAACCUUUAACCGGGUAAAAGCUACAACGGUAUCCGUGCGCUUGCGGAUUUAUCUAUGUGCGUAUAAAUACCAUAGUACACUCUAGUGCCAUGCUGGGGAUGACAACCUAGUAUUCAAGUGGUGUUAGCAAGUGUCAACAAGCAUUUUUGGCGCCGUUCUCGGGGAAACGGUUGCUGAGUUGACUACAAACUAGCUUAAUCAUUUUCUAAAAAAAUAAAUAUAUAUAUAUAUAUACUUUUCCUUUUAUCUUUUGCCUUAUCUCUGCUAUUCUUUCUUCUUAUCUAAUCCUUGAUCUCUGGUCUAUCAUGAAUUCAAACAUGUCUAUCUAUGUGUUGACACCGUUUUUGGGCACGUGUCUAGGAUGGCAGGAUAAGGUGGCAGUACGAUGUUUACAAAGUGGGUUGCCGAUGAGGAUGGUUGCCGAUGAGGGAGAAGUUGAACGUGACUAAGUCCACAGGCAGUAAUAUGGUGCCGAUGGCUAGAUAAGAAAGUCUGCCGAUGACUAUGGCAAAGGGUCUGCCGAUGAUGCAAAGAGGGAGUCCGGAAGCUGCCGGUCGUUAUGUGGAGGAGUUUCGGUUUGUCACGAGGGAUAGUUUUGUUAUUUCCUUAAUUAUUUGCAUCGUUUUGUAUACGGAUUCCGUGUAAUUUGGAAUUCGAAUUCUAAUCGUGUCUGGUUGUAGCACUUUGAGCAGGGUAUAAAUAUAGACCCUAGGGCCUUGUAAUAAAAAUCAAUCAAUGAAUCAAACACACAUUUUUACUCAUAUUCCAGCAUUUACUUUUCGACGACUUCGUCAUACUUUUUCCUUUUGUUACGAGUUCUUAGGAAUUCGUCGACUUAAGCUCGGCGUGUUCUCAAGUUCCGCGUGAGUACCUCUUAGCCGUGACAUCCGGGCGCAUCGCUGUUGUCAGGACUAAAGUAUUCGAGUUAUCACCUUUGCCGAUAGCAAGGUCAAAUCGGCUGGCUCGCCUUAACGUUUGAAUCGGGUAUUAGCCCUUUGUGUUUGCAGAUCAGUUUUGCAUCAACACUAUGAAUUCCAUAGACCUACGGGCACACAUCUCGAACCACCAAAAUCUUCAAAACCUAUCAUAGCAUCUAGUCUUGAGAUAGACCCCGAAUACAUAGAAUUUGUUCAAAAACAACCUUUCUCAGGAGAAGGUGAGGAAAACCCAUACACACACCUAAGAGAGUUUUAUCGAGUCUGUGACAUCCUUCACAUAGAAGGCAUGUACGAUGAGACCCUUAAAUGGAAGCUCUUUCCAUUCUCUUUAACACGAAAAGCUAGACAUUGGUAUAAACUCAAAGUAGGGAGUGUUCAUGGAGAUUGGAAGGAGUUACAUAAUAGUUUUCUUUUUAAAUAUUUUCCAAUCUCCAAAGUGGUGGAACUUCGGCGUGAGAUUCUUUCUUUUAGACAACUGGAAGAAGAAUCUCUUGGCAAAUCAUGGGACCGUUUUAUUAACCUUACUCUCACUGGCCCAAAGCUUUCUAUUCCAAAAGAAGUUCUUCUAAUUCACUUUUUUGAGGGCCUUAGUAGGGAAAAUAAGCAAACCUUGAAUACAGCCUCUAGAGGAUCCUUCUAUCACCUACCCGCUAGUGAUGCUUGGAAUUUGAUUGAGUUAAUGAGCGGAAAGUCUCCUAGCUUUUAUAUCCCUGAGAAAGAGAAAGAACCAGUUCCUAGACAAGAAGAAGAAGUUUCGAUAGCCAGAUCACAACCACUUCAAUCCCAAACUUUAGCUAACGAUCCUAAACCAUCAAUACCCCAAAAUUCUCCAACGGAGGAAGGAAUUCCGACCUUAAAUCUUUCAGAUACUGAUGGUUUAGACUUCUGGUUCCAUAAGAGACCUUCAAGCAGGGAUAAUUCAAAUCCUUGCAAUAAUGUUUCUCUUAGAGAAUGUCCUGGUUCCUUUUAUGAAGAAGUCGAGGAUGACAUAUCAAGUGAAGGAGAGCUAAGCCAUAUAGAAAAUUCUAUCAGCUUCCCUUUCCUAAUCACAAGUUCUAAAUGGCUAGAAUGUGUAGAAUGGAUGGAUAAGGAAGAAGCCUUAAUGGAUCCUGACUUUGGCUCAAUUUCAAAUGGUGAGUUCUUGACUCCCUUUGAAGAUGAAAUUCAUCAUACUACAGAAGAGGACAUAGGUGAGACCAAUCCAGGAGAAACUCCGAAUAUUCAGAUUGGAGAUGAAGAUAACAUUAAUGAGCAUGGAAUUUAUUUCAUAGCCACUUCAUUUACUCCAUGCUCAUAUGCAACAUCUUCACAAUCUAUUGGUCUCUCCAACAUCACCACAUUUGAGAUCUCCAACUCCCUCUUCCAUUCUAUUUACAAAAACUUUAAAAGGGCGGUUGUCGAUGCAUAUGUCUAUAAUAAAUAUUGCAGAUCUCGUUGAGCUAAUCUUAAUAUACAAAGGUUGGCAUUAGAGGGGAAACCACUUUGCCAACAUAAACUGAUGGUUUCCCAAGGACAAGCUUAGUGUCCUAAAUAAGCACUGAUCAGAUCGUAACAUGAGCUUUUAAUUAUUUGCAACGUUACCCUGUGUAUUGAGCAUAUAAAGAUAAUUGUGAAAAUAUUCCUUCAGGUAUUCGUGUCACUAACCUUUCCAGGAUUGGAGCAAGAAGAUCGGAUGAAUGACAAGCACAAGGUAUGUCCAACCGAUCAUCAUACAACAUUGAAUUAAAUUCAUCCAAACUUGAAUUUUGUAAAAUUCAAGCUUGGGGGAGUACCUUACAUAAAAACAUCCUUUGUCAUAUUGCUAUGUUGGUUGUCCCUACCUUUAAGACAUGCUCAAUUUGUUAAAUACUAAUCACACUACUUCAUCUCCACUUGUGUAGAUCUUUAUAAAUGCCAUCAUGUUACCUUUAUUUAUCCUAGUAGGUGUUAGUUUGGAAGUACUGCACAUACUUCUAUUGGCUUUUAAAUUAAGCAUGGUGCUUAGGUUAAACAACCUUCCUUAAUCUGAUUAGACAUGGAGUCUAGUUCGGUUAUUUAACUAAAAACUGCUUGUGUAGACAUUGGUAUAUUUUGUCAGACUAACCCCAGCAGAAAUACUUUCAAUGUCGAUUUGGGAAGUCCUGAGAUAAACUCACAUCGGAGACAAAGAGAGAGACACAUGAAGUUUAACAAUUUACACAAGGAAGACAUAGCUCAUAAGAGAUGAUCCAUGGAGGGUGCCACAAACACGAUGCACAACCGCUAAGAAAGGAAAGGUUCCACAAGGUGAUACUGUACCAUCACUCUUCAAGUAAGGUAACAUCUUAAGGUACUUGACUAUCACUUUUAUAAGAUUCACCUUGGUUCUGGUGUUCAUAUGAAUAAAAGAGACAAACAUGUAUGAUUUACAACUCUAGAUUAACCAACCCAAUCGAUUCAACAUGUUUAGUCCUUUAAUCUUUGUUCCUAGUACUACCUCCAUGAUCCCACACUCCUAAUCAUAUGAGCUAAAAUGUUACACAUUCAAUCUUUGAGAGAUAUAAAGAAAAAGACAUAUACAUAGAUUAUCUUUUCAUAAGGUUGAGCAUUCUGAUCUGACAAAUGUUUUAAAUGCUAUACUCAUGAACUUAUCAUCCAUCAACUUUGUCUUGCUCACUAUGCUUAAGGUUAGAGAAGAAAAAAAUACACUUUUGGUUCUGUUGGUGUUUUCCACCAACAGGACCCAUGCACUUGAUCUCUGCCUUGUCUCUAUGAGCAGGUACACUUGGAACAAAUCAUGGUGGAGUUUUACAACUCCCAGACUCCACCAAGUGAAGGACCUGGAUCUACGAGCACAAACACACUGAGCAAGAUACUACCAAUGCCGCACUUCGAACUGCUGGGCAAACGAAGAACAUGGGUGACACCGUAUUAAGAGGUGCAGACGUCAAGGUCCACACCUGAAUCAAAUGACGCACCUGAAAAUGAACACGGUGAGAAGUCUUGUCCAGAAGACUUAAAACAUUGGAUCCUUGCCGGAAGGUAAAAUCGGUAUUUAUCCAUAUUUAUCUUUUCUGCAUUCCUUUUCCUUUUUUAUUCCAUCACUUGCAUUAGCAUAUUUACUUUUCUACAUUAGCAUUAGAAAAGAAAACAAAAAUAUUUGUUCAUUACACUGCAUCAUAAAAUUGUAAGCCCCAUGUGAGUAUGCUCGUGGCAUAAAACCCAUAAGUACAUUCACUGUGGUGGCAUAAAAAUAAAUACAUUUUUGUCCUUUAAAAAUGAAAAUAUAAAAAUAAGAUUAUGAUCCUACUAAAGAGAGUAAUAUUUAUUGAGGAGGCUCAACAUGAUAAAGGCUAGAUAUUUAUGCUAACACUUAACUAGUUCCACAAAGCUUUGUUCUCUAUUUGAGCUCCACAGAAUUCAAGGAUCAAAGAAGACUAGCAGACAAAGGACAUUCUAAUCGCUGUCAGGGUGCUGCUGACAUUCAAAUACACCUCCACUACCUGCUAGCUACAUCAGAAGAAUUUACGUGAAAAUCCAGCUUGGGGGAGAGCACCCCCAUUUAUCCAGCUAAGUGUUUCUACUAGUGUUCUACUCAAAUAAUAAAAAGAUGAAUAAUCAUAAAAACCCAAAUAAAGAUUUUAUGCUUAUAUAUAUAUAUAUCUUUGCUUAGUUUGCUAAAUUAAUAAAUAAAGUUUGCUAUGAACCCUCAUGAUAAGCUCUCACAUGGAAAUGAUGAAUAGUUGCUUUGCCAUGACUAGUUCUCAAAAUUGAAAUCUCUCUCAAGUUUAGGUAUGACUGUUAUGAAUUAAGAUUUGCUCUAAAAACCUGAACUCGUGGGAAGAAUACUUGAUCUAAAGUCUAAGUCAUUAACGGAUAUGAUAUGGGAAGGUUGAGCUGCUGUUUAUCUGUUCCUAGUGAUGCUAGAAUUCUGGAGAAUUUUAUCUUUAAAAAUCUUUAAAAUGUUGCAUGAUGAGUUCCUGUAUGAUGAGAGUUUAAAAUCCUACCACAGCCACAUGUACAUGCUUAUUAGACUAUGAACCAUACAUUUACUUUUUACUGCUUAUGAGCAAUGAGUGUGGUCAAGCUAUGUAGACCCUUAGGAGCUUGUCAUGUGGUUAAAAUCAAGAUCCACUUUCACGAUCACUCAUAUAUGCUGCUUCUACUCCGGAAGUACACAUCCACAUACAACCACUCAUUUCCAUAUCCAGAUUUACCCAAAAUUAUUCUACUCCUAUACAGGAGAGAAUAGCCAAAAAUAUUCUCCUAUUUCUGUUUUUCCCUGUGAAAUAAAUGCUCGAGUUAUCUUGGUUACUACCACUUGCUAUAUUAUUUCAGGAGAUGAGUGCUCUAAAAAAAGAAAAGGAAAAAAAUAAUACGAGGAAAUAAAAAGGGGCAAGUGCCUGGAACCUCGAAGAAAAGAAAAAGUGAGACGAGAGGUAAAAAUGGACAAGUGUCCGACAGUAGAAUUAGGGGUACAAGAUACCCACCUGAGAGAAAAGAAAAAGAAAAUAUAGAGCAUCUCAUUCCCCCUCAAAAAGGUUCAAAGUGCAAGAAAGGUAUGUAUCCCCUCAAAGGAGCAAAAGUAGAAUUAGACUUUGACCAUUGUUUUCAACAUUAUCACCAUCAUCACCAUACACCAUUCAUUCGCCACACAUGCACAUCUUGAUUUGACUUAUUGACUUGUUUCUCUCGAACCAUGGUUUGACUAUGCAAUAAAUGUCUUGUAAGUAUGUAUUAGUUGUAUCCCACCUAUGAGCUCCAGAUAUCAAAACCUUAUUAGAGUAGGAUGAGAGAGAAGGCAUAUACCAUCACUGCCUUGGUAAGGAUCCAGAAAUACCACAAAAGAGAGAAUUGAGAGAGUCAUACAAGGAAUCUUUGAGUUUUAUUUUGAAAAUCUACAAAAACUCCAGAGCCAUAGUUGAUCAAAGAACAGGAGACAUGGCGCUUGACUUGACCGUUCUAUUUUUUAACUGCUCAAGACACAAGUGACGGUUGCAAGCCCCAUGGUGGAAGGUAAUAUGAGUAAAUUUAAAUCUUAACAAUUUACCCUAACCUAGAGAUGGGAUCUUAUUGAAACGCAUGUGUACCUUUAAGGCAUAAAACCACUGUAGAAACUCUUGAGUCCAUCCUUGCUCAGGGACGAGCAAGGGGUAAGCUUGGGGGAGUUGUUGAUGGUCCUUAAGUACUAAAUAUAACCAUCAAAUAAAUAAAGAAAAGGAUCCAAAUGCAACCAACACCCAGACUUAGGGUUUUAUCUGACAGAAUUCCACGAGUUUUGGUGUUUGUCUAUUUUCUCAGGGGGCUAUCAGGAAAUACAGAAGAAAGGCCCACACGUCGGGAUUACAUAGAGAUAUCAACGUCUUGCGCAAUUAUCUUACAUCUAGAAGACUCUUGAAGCCACUGGAAGGAAGCGGAGGCCGAACGGGGCUUGGCCCUGGGCGCCCGCCCAGGUAACCAGGGCGCCCGCCCCCCUGAAGAGUCCAAUCAGAACUCUCUUUCGGGACUAAUCUCCACCGACCUAAAGGAUCAAUAAUAACCAUUCAAUCAAUGUCGGUUUGAUCCGACGGCCCAGAUUCACUUGACGGGACUAUAACCAGACCCCCUGGCCCCUAGAGGAGGCAACCCCUUGAUCCCUAUUCAUUAUUCAUAGACAGAGCAAAAGCUAGGGUUUGGAGAUGAGAGCUCUCCUCUUCUCUAAACUAGAGUAGAUCUAGAUAGUAGCGAGAUGGAGAGCGAAGGAGGAAUAGAGGAGAGGCCGGCCUGUCGGUUCUUCCUCCGGUUGUACUUCGUCAUGAUCAAGCUCUAAUCAAGCUUGCUCAUGGGAUGACUCUGGUAAUCUACUUCUAAUUCAUUAUGCAAUUACUAAUCAUGUAUGUUCUGGUUCACAACUCUUUUGAGUACUUUAAUCUAUAGGACGCUAUAGGUGACAGUUGUAGUAUAGGUGUAAGCAUGGUGAUUAGACCUAGAUUACUUGUGUAUAUCCCCUGUCUAGCCGGAUCGUGUGGUAGGCCGCGUAUGUGACAGCUAUGUUGGUCCUCUGUAGUCCACCUACCGUUAGCAAGACUGGUAGGGUUUAUUGGCCUAUGGAUAAGCAUCCUUUGUGGUGUAUUCUUAUCACGUGGUUCGUCCCAGACAUAGACAUACCCCUUUGAAGUAGAGAAACCAUAGUUAUCCUCUCUAUUCUGCUACCAUCGCCCAUAUACUAUAUUGCUCUACUCUCUAUUCCCAUAUUAUCACCGAUUGUUAUCUUACCUUUAAUAUUGUUCUUAUUCAAUUCUACCAUCUUUCCUAUUUACAGCUAUCUACCUAUCUAGGUUAAGUUAGAGUGUAGAUCAGUUCUCCCGUUUCCCUGUGGAUACGAUAAAACCUUUAACCGGGUAAAAGCUACAACGGUAUCCGUGCGCUUGUGGAUUUAUCUGUGUGCAUAAAAAUACCAUAGUACACUCUAGUGCCAUGCUGGGGAUGACAACCUAGUAUUCAAGUGGUGUUAGCAAGUGUCAAUAGCCUGCCCAUUAGCUUGAGCAUAGUAAGGAGAAGAAUUCAACACCUUAAUUCCCAUACCAAUUGCAAACUCAUCAAAUUCCCCAGAUGUAAACAUAGUACCCUGAUCGGUAGUAAUUGUUUGGGGAAUACCAAAUCGGUAAACAAUAUGUUCUUUUACAAAAUCAAUCAUAUUAGUCGAUGUUACUUUCUUCAAGGGAAUAGCCUCAACCCACUUGGUGAAAUAAUCAGUGGCAACUAAGAUAAACUUAUGCCCUUUGCUCAAUGCUGGAUAAAUCUGACCGAUGAGAUCAAUAGCCCAUCCCCGAAAUGGCCAAGGUUUGAUAAUAGGGUUCAUGGCCGAUGCGGGCGCCCUUUGGAUAUUGCCAAACUUCGGACACUCUUGACAUGCUUUGAAAUACUUAAAGCAAUAUUCAAGUAUUGUUGGCCAAUAAUAUCCAUUCCUCUGAAUCAUCCAUUUCAUCUUAAAAGCCGAUUGAUGUGCUCCACACACUCCUUCAUGAAUCUCACCCAUCAAGCUUCUAGAUUCAUCAUCGCCCAAACACUUAAGCAAGACUCCAUCGAUCGUUCGGUAAUAUAAUUCGAGGAGUACAUACUUUGUAGCUUGAAACCUAACACGUCUCUCAACCUUCCUGGAUGGAUCCUUUAAAUAAUCAAUAAUUUCCUUUCUCCAAUCAUCGGCACUGACUGCUGAUAAUAUGUCCAAGAUGGGUUGAUAUCCCGAGGCGUGUUGAGCCAAUGGGUUGGCUUGUUCAUUAUGUAACCGAGGAAUAUGCUCUAAUCGGAAAUCCUUGAAUUCCUUUAACAGUUGUACACAUCUUUCAUAAUAGGCUAUCAAAACUUCACUUCGGCAUUCAUAAAUUCUAGCCAACUGGUUUAUAACAAGCAUGGAAUCACCAAAAAUUUUAGCAGCAUCGGCAUGAACUUCUGUUGACACCGUUUUUGGACACGUAUCUUUUGACACGUAUCUGGGAGUUAAUGAGGUGUAGAUCGGCAGGCAAAUAAAAUGGUGACUAGUUGAUAGAGGAGUUGCCGAUAAGAGUUGAUACCGAUGAUAAAACAACAGAAUGUGGUCAAGUCCAGGAGCGGUGAUGGAUCUGUGUUGAUGACUGAUGCUGAUAAUUUCCGAUGGCUACGAAAGGUGAUUUGCCGAUUUACACAAAAGGAGGCGCAGGGAUUGUCGAUCAGAUGGUGAUGGUGUGCCGAUCGGUUGUGGUAGAUAGAUUAAUGUUUUCCAUAGUUGUUAGAGUUUGCUUUGCAUAUGGAUUCCGUUCAAUUUGGAAUUCGAGUCCUAGUCGUGUCUGAUUGUAACCCUUUUGGGCAGGGUAUAAAUAUAAUAACCUGUAGCGAUGUAAGAUACACACAAUCAAUCAAACACAAGUUUUUACAUUUAUUCCAGCAUCUACUUUUUCGACGACUUCAUCAACUCGCAUAUUUUCUUUUUACUUACGAGUUCUUAGGAAUUCAUCAAGACAAUCUCGACGAAUUCUCAAGUUCCGCAUGAAUACCUCUUGGCUGUGACAUCCGAGUGCAUCGCUUUUGUCGGGACCAAAGUAUUCGAGUAAUCACCUUUGUCGAUUGCAAGGUCAAAUCGGCUGGCACGCCUUAAUGUUGAAUCGGGUAUUAGCCCUUUGUGUUUGCAGAUCUACUUUUGCACCAACACAUCUUUUGGCACGCCCGGUGGGACAGAGAUUCAAUAUCAAGAUCAACAUGUCGAACACCGAUUUCGACUUGGAGAAUGUCAUCCCCAUGACUGAAGCCAAUCUCAGAGAUGAACAAAAGCAAGCUAUGGCAAAAGCUAUGGAGGACUACAAGCAGCUAUGCUUAAAAUCCUUCAGUAUCAAUAGGAGCGACAAUGUGAUCCAGAAGGAAGCAUUGCCGAUGCCUCGGCAGAUUACUUUUGAAGCCAAUCUUGGUAAACUACAAGAGAUCAUUGAUAGUGCUAUCAAUCGUGCUCUAAUCAAUCAAUCUGGUGUGUUGUCUAAUACAGUUUUCAAUGUUGUGGCUAGAACUUUCAAAGAAGGACAAAUACCACCAUCUUAUGUGGGCCCUGCCUAUCAUCAGCUAGGAUCAUCAUCGGUUACGGCUCCAUCGGCUACUACAGCCAUUGCGGGUACGAAAGUUACUUCUCCUCCAAGCACAUUAGGGAUGACUAAUGCGCAAUAUACACUGACGGCGACUAAUCCAUCAACAUCAGAGGAAUAGGUUAAACUCGCUACAGAUUUAUUGGCAUCGGCAAUGUCAGGAUCUGUGUUUAAAAGCUCUCAAGUUCCUCCUAAUUGGUGGGGAUAUGGUAUGCCCCUAGAGUUUAUAGCAAAUAGCUCUGGAACGUCUCAAGUGGCUGACAUGACAGGCAAGGCUCCUAUGGAAUCGGCACCCCCAAUAUCGUCGAUGACUAAGAAUCCCCAAUAUUCUACAACUACUACUGCAAGACCUUUUACUGGGAAUUCUCAAAUACCAACGUUCCAGAUGCCUAAUGCAUCGGCAGAUCCAAUGCCGACGCAGCAAUGAUUUAUGACACAAUCGGGGUAUGUCAAUUCAAUGAUGAUGCCCAAUUAUCAGCCAUCGGCAGGGCCUAUGCCGAUGAAUGUUAAUAAUGGAUGGACAGGGCAGUUUGUCUUCCCACUAGUGCCUCAGCAUAAUCAUCAGGCUAUGGGAUUUCAACAGGGAUCAAUGCAACCUGGAUUUCAGAAUCAAGGGUUAAUCAACCAGCCGAUGAAUCUUGGUCAGCAAGUUGGUGGUCAACAGGCGGUGGAUAAUCCUAUGUUCCCUGGAGAUUGUGCACCGCAGAGAGACGUGGAAGCUUAUCACCAGAUGCCAGAUCCACAACCAGCUCAUCGGCAAGAUGCCGAUGCUUAUUGGGCUGAUAAGAUAGCUGAGGUGAUGAGAGAUCAAUUUGGGAUAAAACCCAAAGUCAAUACUUACUCUUAUCGGACACCAUAUCCUCCUCCGUAUGAUUUGAUCCUGCUUCCAAAUCGGUACAAGGUGCCGGAUUUUACCAAGUUCUCUGGACAAGAUGACACGUCAACUAUGGAGCAUGUUAACAGGUUCAUCAUUCAGUGUGGGGAAGCUGCUAACAGAGAUGAGUUAAGGGUUCGUUUAUUCUCAUCAUCUUUGUCUGGAUCGGCCUUUACUUGGUUUAUUUCAUUACCUCCCAUCUCAGUGAUUACUUGGGCCGAUCUAGAGAAGCAAUUCCAUAAAUACUUGUUUUCUGGAGUUCAUGAAAAGAAGAUUACCGAUUUAGUCAGACUGAGGCAGCGCAAUGAUGAAUCGGUUGAAAGUUUUGUGCAGAGGUUACGAGAUGUUAAGAAUAAAUGGUAUAGUCUGGUUCUGGAUGAUCGGCAGCUAGCCGAUUUGGCUUUCCAAGGAUUGUUGCCACACAUUAAAGAAAAAUAUGCUUCUCAAGAGUUUGAAAGCCUGAGUCAUUUAGUGCAGAGGAUUUCUGACCAGGAUAUCAAAGUUUUUGAACCUAAGAGAGCAUGGAACAAAAAGGUGUCAUUUGUCGAUGAGGCAUCAAGCUCAGACUCUAAUGAAGAACCAGUCAUUGGCUUGGCAGAGUGGGUAAAGAAUAAGAAGUCGAUGUUUUGCCCUUUUGGGCAUAAAGAGCCAGAAAAGUUUGCAUUUGAUAUCACCAAAGCUGAUAGGAUAUUUGACUUUCUGCUUCCGGAGGGGCAAAUUAAGUUGUCACCCAAUCAUGUGAUUCCAUUGGCUGAAGAGUUAAAGAAGAUCAAGUAUUGCAACUGGCAUAAUGCAACAUCUCAUAGUACAAAUGAGUGCAAGGUUUUCAGGCAACAACUGCAAUCGGCUAUAGAAUCUAGGAGAAUUAAGUUCGAUAGCUCCAAAGCUCAAAAGUCGAUGAAGAUCGACCAACAUUCGUUCUCUACAAAUAUGUUGGAUGCUAAGGGAAAGACCAAAGUAUUGACUUCAAAGGCAGCUGAAAGAAGUGCAUCGGUAGAUCCUCAGCAUCAUAUUACUGCCGAUGAUGCCAAAGGUAAGGGCUUGAUCCAGGAAACCUGGCAUUGUAAUCACUCAUAGAAGGCAUCGGGAAACCUGGCAGCAGCGUGAAGAUCGAUAUCGGCGCCAACAGGAGGAUCGUCAUCGGGAAGAAGAACGACGCCAACAAGAGUGGAAUCGGCAUAAAGAUCAGUGGAAUUGCCCGCUCUUCAUCCACUGUUGGGAGCAAAACAUCAAGCUACCAACUGUUAGAGACUGCCCUGAGUGCAAUGGCUACAAUCGGUAUGAAAAACUGAAUCGGCAGUAUCAAGACAAUGAUCGGCGUUUUGGUGGGCCGAUUAGAGGAAGGGCGUAAGUUCAUGAUCGACUGGGGGGCAGACUCUGUGUGCAUGACAGGCUUGGUGAGCAUGUCAGUUAUUUUCCCAGGAACUAAGAAGAGCUUGAAGAAAUGGCAGAUGCACGAGUUCCCGAUGAAUUCAUAUUUUGUAUGGAUGCUAAUACUUAUCGAGUGGAAUCAAGAGAAAAUCGUCGUAAAUCGGUAAAGCAACCACAACUUCCUCCAUGGUGUCCAGAAGGGUAGACAAGGACACAGAAGAGGAGGUUGCAGCAGGAGCGACAAGAAGAACUGAGUAGAGCAGAGAAUUCUGCUAAGUCUGGAGAUCGGCAGCAGUCAGAUCCUAAAGGAAAAGGUCCAUCGGUAGAUGUUAAUAUGGUGUUUAUGUUGCCGUUGGAAUUUCUUGCGCCCUUCAGUGAUGAUGAGGGGUGGAUUUUCCCGAUCAGAUAGCUCAGUUGGCUCUAGAUCCGAUGACGGCUAUUUUUGAAAAGCCCGCCGAUAACGAGAGACAACAUCUUAAAGCUCUGUUCGUCAAAGGCAGGGUUGAUGGACAGCCGAUGACCAAGAUACUUGUUGAUCGUGUGGCUGCUAUCAAUAUUAUGCCAUACGUAGUCUAUCGGAAGCUUGGCAAAGGAGAUCAAAAUUUGACCAAGACCGAUAUGAUGUUAAAGGAUUUUGAAGAAAAUGUGUCUCCAGUCAAGGGAGCCAUAUGUGUUGAGUUGACCAUCGGCGGCAAAACCUUGCCGACAACUUUCUUUGUCAUCAGUGGAAAGGGUGCUUAUAAUUUGCUAUUGGGUAGAGAAUGGAUUCAUGCCAAUUAUUGCAUCCCAUCUAUAAUGCAUCAAUGCUUGGUUCAGUGGGUAGGUGACAAAAUUGAAAUUGUCUUAGGGGAUUCUUCAUAUGUCAUUGCAUCGGCACAAACAGAUACUUAUGAAAAGACCAGAUGCAUUUCAGGAGAGGUUUGGGAGAAGGAUUUCCUCAAGGUCGCCAAUUAUGAAAUUCCACCGAUCCAAGCAGUCGGUUCUGACGAAGAGUUUUAAUGGAUAGGUUCGCCGAUGAUAGAAAAUUAGGCCAGGGGUUUACAUCGGCCGAUGAUCUAGUAGAAGUAGAUAUAGGAAAUGGUGAUAUGCCAAGGCCUACUUUUAUUAGUGCUAAGUUAGAUUCUGAGUGUAAGCAACAAUUAUCCGAUUUGUUAAAGGAAUAUAAAGAUUGCUUUGCUUGGGAUUAUACGGAGAUACCUGUCGACGAAAGCUGGUCAGCAGUCUACCUUGGGGUAUACCCACGGUAGUAGUUUAUCGGUAGACGGUGCGCAAACUACGAACUCGAUGGUGACGCAAGACACGGACAAGCUUUUAUCCAGGUUCGGCCGCCGAGUUGGCGUAAUACCUACGUCCUGCGUCUGGUUGUAUUGAUUCGUGUUGAGAGAAUAUGAUGUCCUAGGGGGGUCCCUUGCCUCUCCUUAUAUAGUCCGGAGGGCAGGGUUAUAGAUCUGGAAACUAAUCCUAGUCGUUUACAAUUGCCAUAGAUAGUUCGAUAUCAAUUCCUAUUCUAACCGACUAGAAUCCUACUUAAUCUCCACGUCUUGUUUCCUUGCGCGAAACUCCGAGCUGUCGGAUCAAACCUUGAGCUUGUCUCGUAAUGGGCCAAGCCUCCUGGCCCAAGUCUAGCCGUAAGGGUAUAGGGGUUUAUACCCCCACAGCUAGUCCCCGAGCACCAUGUAUUGUGAAGUAACACGCCGUCUUGAGCUUCUUUGACCAAUGAAACUUAAUAUCUUCAAUCAUUAUGAAAAUUGCCCAAAUAUUUGCGACAACAGUUUGAACAAAUCUAAAAGCGUCCAAUUAACUUCAUCAUCAAAGAAGCCAACUAUUCGAAGAAUGCAUGGUGCUCUCAAGAAAAAAUAUUCCUUUUUUGGUGAAGUGUGCCCACUUUACUUUUUUCAAAAGUACAGUCCAUCAACAAGACAAGCAAAUUCACCGCAAGGUGAAGUGUGCCCACUUAGUCCCCGAGCCUGGUAGCAGGUGACGUAGUCACAUGGUGCCAGGGUCUAAAGAAGAAUCUCCAAAGCUGCUUUAUAUGUGGGAUGCAUCGCUAGAUGCAUCGUACCGAUGUAGUCCCCGAGCUUGCUGGAAGGCGAAGUAUGAACCUUGUAGCAAGGUCUUAAAAAGAACUGAAAUUAUCCAGUCCCCGGGUGUACAACGGUUGGCGAACUCUUAAGCUUGCUGAUUUCCAAACCAAUAAACUAAGCGAUCAGUCCCCGAGCAGCAAGCGCUCGGUGGUCGGAGCAGUCUUAACCAAUCUGACGACCAGUCCCCGAGCAUCGAGUGCUCGGUGGUCGGUGCGGUCUUUGAAGUUCUAAGUUAAUAGACUGGUCGACCAGUCCCCGAGCAUCCAGCGCUCGGUGGUCGGUGCAGUCGUUGAAGUUCCGAGUUAAUAGACUGGUCGACCAGUCCCCGAGCAUCAAGCGCUCGGUGGUCGGUGCAGUCGUUGAAGUUCCGAGUUAAUAGACUGUUCGACCAGUCCCCGAGCAUCAAGCGCUCGGUGGUCGGUGCAGUCGUUGAAGUUCCGAGUUAAUAGACUAGCCAACCAGUCCCCGAGCAUCGAGUGCUCGGUGGUCGGUGCAGUCCCCGGAUUGUUGACUCUCUUCCAUAUUUGUCUGCUUGUUUUGAAAAAUUUUUCCAGAAAAAGUUGACGUGAUGAGACCUCCUGACGGGAUGUCAGAUGGAUGCAUGAAAAGUUGUGCCUGGCAACUGUACGGCCGCCCUUUGCGCGGUUUGAGAAAAGGAAACCAUCAAUUUGUACGAAAACUCCGCCGCAUUAAUUGUCGAUAAUCAUUGAAAACCGAAACGCCGCAUCCACCGUAUGGCCCGCCCACUUCCCGAGGAUGCGGGAAGUGGGAGGGGUGAAGUUGUGGGUUAUAAGAGCUCGACAGUUCCCCCUAUACUGCGUACUCUGCCAUUGCCUUCCACUCUUGCCUCCUUCAAUCAUCUACACCUUCCAAACUCGAAUCCACUUCCGCGCCUCCAAUGGCGAAGAGCGAUUCAAAGAAGAGGGCCGAGCUGAUGGCCAAAGAAUGGAAGAAAUCCCGCAGCAUCGCCAAGUCCCUCGGUGACCUCGUCGACAUGGGGCUACUGCAUAGCCCGGAGCUCGGCGGCUGGAGGGCACCGGAGGGGGAGAGCUACCCCGACCCCCGCGCCGGUGAGAUCAUCGUGUUCGAGGAUUUCUUUAAGAGGGGUAUUGGGGUGCCUGUUCACCCUUUUCUUCAGGGUCUUCUUUUGUAUUAUGAGAUCGGGAUUUGCAAUCUGCACCGGUCUCAAUCCUUCUUAUUUCAACUUUUAUCCAAUUGUGCGAGGCCUAUGUAGGCAUAGAACCGCACUUCGAUAUCUUUCGCUAUCUUUUUUGUUUGAGAAAGAAGGGGGCAGUUGGAGGCUCUAAGGUUGUAGGUGGAGUAUACCUCAACCUUCGUGACGGGAUGAAGAACCGCUAUCUGCACUGCCCCUAGAACACUUCCCUGACUGAAUGGUACAGGAAGUGGUUCUACAUCAGGGAGGAACCGGGCAGCUCCACGUUCUGCGACGUGGGAUACAUCCCCGAGAAGAGAGUGAGCUGGACCGAUCGCCCAGAGUACGACGGUCAAGUGGCAGACCUGAUGCAGCUGAUCGACUGGUCGCGUCUGGACGGGCUAGGCGUGGUCGGCAACUUCGUGUGCCGUCGGGUGAUGCCCUGCCAGAAGAGGGUGCACUCGGCGUACGAGUAUGCCGGAAGCGUGGACCCGACCAGGAUGCGACCUGAGAUCUUGGAGAAGGCGGAGGUACAGCAGCUGUUGAACGAGCUGUUCAAUUUCGCGGACGGAGGCUUCAUCCGUGCCAGUGAUCGGGUGCAAGCCUUCAAGUUGGGGCGACCAGCGCCUAAGGUAUGUUAUUGAUUACUUCGCUUUAGCAUCUGUAUGUUGUCUGCAGCUGACUUAUCUUUGUUACUUUUGCAGAUCGGAGAUGUCGACCGGUGCACAGUGUAUGUAUCACUGGCACCUGGAAUGGAGAAUCCUGCGGGAGAAGAUCCGCCGGAGGAAGACGCUGCUCGGUGUACUCGUUACACUAGCAGUGAGGAAGACCAGGCCCGCCCCGUCCCGACCACCGAGGAUAGAGUGGCGGGGAAAAGGCCAAUGGCGGCGGAUCCGUCGCCGGCGCCGACGCUGCCAGCAGAGAGCAGCCGAGCGCCAAAGCGUCGUCGGUUCGUUCGGAUUACCGACGACGACGACGAGGAGGAGGAGGCCGCACCAUCAUUGGUCCGGAGGCCCCAUAGCCGUCCGGACAGCAUGCCGACCACUGCUGAUCGGAUGGCCGGGGACCCUCCUGCGCCUCGCGUUGCGGAGACGGGGGCACAGGUGCCGACCGGCCGUGCAAGGAGGAGGUUCACCGCGACCCACCGUCGCUCGGACCUGUAAGUGUUCGACUUACGCAUUUUGGCAUUUUUUUUAACUGCUGUUGAAAAUAUCCGUUUGUUAUGUAGCGCGGCGUCGGACAUCAACCCCGACCAGGCCGCGGAGCAGGGGACGGCCGCUCCUGUUGCCGCCGCUGAAGACGCCACGCCACAGGUCACAGAGCAACCUGCAGCGGCGGCGGGCGCCGAGGACCAAUCUGCCCCGGCGAGUGCUACGACGAGCACUCAGCCGAGGGGUGAGGAGGCAGCAAGGGUCCCUCCACCGAAUACUGUUGUAGAGGAGGAGAGCAGAGUCCCAACUCCUCCAGCCGAAGAAGGGAGGGUGCUGACGCCGCCCCGAGCAGGGGCUUCUUCACCCGUGGGCUCCUCUGGCCUAGGCCAGGGACCAGUGAUGCCCUCAACCGCAGCCGGAGGUAGUGCGGCAAACGAGGAGCCCCAGGAGGCCUCGCCGACGACGUGGAGGAGGUCCAGGGUCGUCCCCGUGAUGGCCGCCAGCACGUCUACGUGUGGCGCCAACGCGGGGACCACUUUAUUGGCCACGAGGAGCUUGCAGAGACGGAGCAGGCCACGAGGGUGGAGCGCACGGCUAAGCACCUCGUGGAGGAGGUUAAGGUAGGUGGUCCUGUGUCCUGCUGGGAUAACUUUUGUGCAGUGUUCCUGUUUUCGACAUGUGUUCUUUCUUGCAGGGCGCGAUGAAAACGGCGAAGUACCGAAAACGGUGCUUCGACCAGAUUGAGGGAAUUGUGGCCGAGAAUAAGGCCUUGUCCACGAGGUAGACCGGCUGCGGUCGGAAGUUGGGGAGAAGGUGGCCGAGGUGAACGCCCAAGAGGAGCGUCGUCUUGAGCUCACUCGUCGCUUGGCCGACCAGUACCGGUAGCGGUCAGGUCAGUCACGUGCUCCGAGCAGCUUUGUGUAGCUGCGUAGUUUACUUUACUGACCGGGUUGUGAUUCACGUAGACUUAGAGGAGGAGGUGGCGCGCCUCCGACAGGAGAAAGAGCAGCUCAGCCAAGAGCUUGCCAGUGCGCUGGAGACCGGGCGCCGAACAGGGGAGGAGUUGGGUCGGAAGGACCGGGAGUUGUCUGGUAAUACGCGCCGCCCCGUUAUCUGCCGCUUAUCGCCCUUUUUUGAUAUGUUGAAAAUAACAUCUUGCUUGUCUUUCAGUGCUCAAGGUGAACGCCAAGAAGCACCUGGACGAGCUGGUCAGGGACCGGGACUCCUGGAAGGUCAAUUGUUGUAAGAUCUGGAAAGGAGUGUCCCCGGUCCUGGACUUGAUCAGUCCCGAGCUCCCGGAGAGCCAGCCCCGCGCGCCGAAAUUGACUCCAGUGGAAAAGGCGCAACGGGCGUGGGACUGGCUCCAACAAAUCGUGAAGGACGCCGGGGAGUUUGCUGGCGCGCAUGUCCUUAGCAUGGUGCGCGCCCACUACCCCCUGGUCGACUUGACCAGGCUGGAGAAGGGGUAUCCCAAGGAGGUCGGCCCGCAGGAGGCGGACGAGCUUCGGGGUGGUCUGCUGGACUUGUCGUCGACGGUGAUCGGCGACAUCAAUCUAUGCGGAACGGCCACUCCGCCCGACCAGCCGGGUUUAGACAGUUCGGCUAGGGAGCUGUCGGGCGCGUCUAUUGCGGGAGAUGGGCGGUCGACGCCUGCGGUCUCGACCAGCCAGGCGCCGGUGGCCCCGACCCCUUCGUCCGGGCAGCAAGGCCAGGCGGGUGAUCAGCCCGAGCAGUAGGCCAGUAGGAGUAGACUAGUGUCCGCCCGUCACGAUGUUUAUUGUAAACUUCGUGUGUAAAGUUUGUAAUAAAGUUUUAAAUUUGUCAUGACUACUAUUUUGAGCACUGUGAAGUUGUCUGAGUGACGUGUCACUGUGCUGGAUUCAUGGUCGUUAAGAUUUCCCGUCGCAGAGGACAUUGUUGUUCUCCGCCGAAAGCUCUGCGUGUAAACAAAGUAUAGCCAAAAAAGAAAAAACUUUUAUUACUGCCGACUAUAAGAGACUUACAAGCAAAAGUUACUGGAAUUUAUGGAUAAAAUCGGCGCAGUUUGUCUAUGUGCCAAGAGUUAGGCACGCGUGUUCCAUCUGGAUACGCCAAUCUGUAGGAUGUGGGUCGUGUGACUUCAACGACCACAAAGGGUCCCUCCCAGGGAGUGGAUAGCUUGUGCAUUCAUUCCUGGCUUGUCUUCCACCUGAGUACCAGAUCGCCAACCACGUAAGAACGGUCCUUGACGUUCCUGUUAUGGUAGCGCCUGACUGCCACAAGAUACUUUGCUGUUCGGAGACAAGAAUUCAGACGCUUUUCCUCCAUGCAAUUGAUUUCGAGCUCUCUGGCGUUGUCGGCUGUUGACUGGUCGAAGUUUUCAAUCCUAGGAGAACCGAAGGUUAUGUCAGACGGCAGGACUGCCUCGGUGCCGUAAACCAUGAAGUAGGGUGACACUCCUGUGUUCCGACUGGUCUGAGUUCGGAGGCCCCAAACCACGGCCGGUAACUCUUUCAUCCAUCGUCCGGGAGCUCUGUCAUUCUCGGUGUACAGCCUUUUCUUUAGGGCGUCGAUGAUCAUUUCGUUUGCGCGCUCAACUUGACCAUUGGCCCGUGGGUGAGCUACUGACACAUAUUUUAUGACUAUGCCCUUGUCAUCGCAGAAGUCCCAAAAUGUGGUGCCAGUAAACUGAGUACCCAGGUCAAUGAUUAUACUGUUUGGGAUCCCGAACCUGUGUAUGAUUUGAUUAAGGAACUCCACAGCCUUCUCGGAGGUUGCUUUGACCAGUGGCAUGUAUUCAAUCCACUUGGAGAACUUGUCGAUUAACACGAAAACAAACUUGAAGUUGCCGGGGGCUGGUUUGAAUGGCCCGAUCAUGUCGAGCCCCCAGCAGGCGAAGGGCCAGGAUGUCGGGAUGGUUUGAAUCUCAUGAGUAGGUACGUGGGUCCUUUUAGCGAAGAACUGACAUCCCUCGCAGUGUCGGACCAGUUUUUCUGCGUCGUGGACCGCUGUUGGCCAAUAAAAACCUGCUCGGAAGGCUUUCCCGACCAGCGUUCUGGAUGCAGCGUGAUUGCCGCAGGAUCCGGUGUGUAUGUCCUCUAGGAGCUUGAUGCCAUCAUCUUGGGAUAUGCAUUUGAGCAGUACUUCGAAACUUGCAUUUUUUCGCAUAAGUUUGUCGUCCACCAAUAUGUAGUUCUUUGAUCGUCGAAUGAGGCGUUCAUUCUCUGUUUUGCCCUGAAAGCCUGACCCGUCCGAUAUAUAUCUUAUGAACGGUGUGCGCCAAUCGCGGCCACUGGUUGUCGGAGUGGCAUCGUCUAUGAGCAGUGCCUCAGUUAGUUGCUUUUCAACCAGGGCUGUGCUCACACUUGGCUCAUGGAUGUCCUGGACGAAAAUACCCCGCGGGAUUUGGGCCCGAGACGACCCUAACUUCGACAACGCAUCUGCUGCCUGGUUCUUAUCCCGGACCACGUGGAUGUACUCUAUGCCGUAGAAGUUGGUUUCCCAUUUGUGAAUUUCUUUGCAGUAGAGAUCCAUCUUCUCGUGGGUUGCGUCCCACUCCUUGUUGAGCUGGUUGAUAACUAAAGCAGAGUCGCCAUAGACGUAGAGGCGUUUGACUCCCAACUCAACGGCUAGCCUUAUGCCAUGCAGGCAUGCUUCGUAUUCGGUGACAUUGUUUGAUGCCGGAAAGAGGUACGUAACGCAGUUUGUCCUUGUUGGGCGACACGAAUAGUAUCCUAGCUCCGGCGCCGUUGAUGUUCAAGGAUCCGUCAAAGAACAUUGACCAGUGGUCGGAGACAUCGGGAACGGGAGGCUCGUUGAGAUCCGUCCAUUCAGUAAUGAAAUCGACCAGGGCCUGAGACUUGACUGUGGUGCGGCUCUGGAACUCUGGGGAAAAUGGGCAUAAUUCCAUCGCCCAUUUUACGAUUCUGCCGUUGGCGUCUUUAUUGCGCAGAAUGUCCCCGAGAGGGAAACUGGUGGUUACCAAGACUCGAUGGCCGUCGAAGUAGUGCUUCAGCUUUCUUGACGUUAUUAGAAUGGCGUAUAUGAGCUUCUGUAUUUGUGGGUACCUUGCCUUGGACUCGUUUAAGACUUCGCUUAUGAAGUAAACAGGUCUCUGGACCUUGUAGACAUGACCUGGCUCAUCUCGUUCGACCACUAUUGCCGUGGAAACAACCCUGUCGGUUGCAGCAAUGUAAAGGAGUAGGUCUUCAUUGGGCUGAGGCGCUGUAAGAACAGGUGGUGAAGUGAGGAAAGUCUUAAGCUGAGUGAACGCGGCGUCGGCUUCCUCUGUCCAAGAAAAUUUUUCCGACGCUUUCAAGAGUUUGAAGAAAGGGAGGCCUUUUUCUCCUAGUCUUGAGAUGAAGCGACUGAGGGCGGCCAUACAUCCGGUGAGCUUCUGAAUAUCCUUGAUGUUUUUAGGUGGCCGCAUGUCGAGUACUGCUUUUACUUUUGAAGGAUUUGGCCGUAUGCCGUCACGACUGACAACGUUGCCGAGCAGCAGACCAGAAGGGACACCGAAGAUGCACUUUUUGGGGUUAAGCUUCCACUUGUACCUAUUAAGCGCCUUAAAAGUUCAGUCUAAGUUGUCGAUUAGGGUGCUUGCAUCCUUCGUUUUGAUGACGACGUCAUCUACAUAGGCCUCGACGAGGUCGUCACGAAUCUCGUCGUGGAGGCAUUGCUGUAUGGCCCGUUGAUAAGUGGCUCCGGCAUUUUUGAGUCCGAAUGACAUAGUCGUGUAGCAAUAUCCACCGAAAGGAGUAAUGAAAGAUGUUUUUAUCUGAUCGUCUUCCUUUAGCGAGAUCUGGUGAUAACGAGAGUAGCAGUCUAGAAAAGAGAGGAGUUCGCAUCCGGCCGUUGAGUCGACCACCUCGUCGAUGUGAGGGAGACCAAAAGGAUCUUUAGGACAGUGUUUAUUGAGAUCGGUGUAAUCAACGCACAUUCUCCAUUCAUUAUUCUUUUUGCGUACAAGAACCGGAUUGGCAAGCCAAUCGGGAUGAUACACUUCUUUUAUGAAUCCGGCUGCUAGAAGCCGUGUUAUUUCUGUCCUAAUAGCCUCCUUUUUGUCACGAGCGAACCAUCGCAGCUUUUGCUUGAUUGGUCUUGCGGUCAUCGAGACAUUUAAGGAGUGCUCGAUCAGGUUUCGUGGGACGCCGGGCAUAUUUGCGGGUUUCCAUGCGAAAACGCUUACGUUGUCCCUUAGAAACCUGACGAGCGCAUCUUCCUAUUUGGGGUCCAGAUUGGCCCCGAUGAGGGCCAUCUUCUCGGGGCUGCCGUCGACCAGUUGUACUUCUUUAUACUCCAUGGAUUUUGAAUUCUUCCUGGCAGUCUCCUACUCGGGUAAUCGGAGCUGGUCGGGAGGCAGCUGCGCGGCUUGGGUUGCUGUUUCUGUCAUGCGAAUUGAGAGGUCGAUUGCCUCGGUGAUCUUGAAGCUUUCCUCUUUGCAGGUAUAUGCGGUGUAGACAUUGCCCCUGACGGUUAGGACGCCCUUCUCCGUGGGCAUUUUAAGGACUAGGUAUGAGUAGUGCGGGACUGCCAUGAACUUUGUCAGCGAUGGUCGGCCUAGUAUAGCGUGGUAGGUCCCGUCGAAGUCUGCCACCACAAAGUUGACGAACUCUGUCCGAAAGUGGUCGGGUGUGCCGAAUUGGACAGGCAAUGUUAUCUGUCCGAGGGGCACUGAACUCUGACCUGGCAAAACUCCCCAGAAUUGAGCAUCGUAGGGUUUUAGUUGUGCAGGAGAUAUCUUGAGAGCGGGCAGACUGUUGCGGAAGAGGAUGUCAAUGGAGCUUCCUCCUUCCACGAGCACGCGCUCGAAUCUGAUGCGGUUGAUGCAAGGGUCCAGGAUUAGAGGGAAACGUCUUGGCUCUGGGAUAGCGGCCCAUUGAUCCUUCCUGCUGAAGGAGAUCUCCUUGUGCGACCACGGGGGAAAUUUCGGGUCUGGGAUCAGCCCGUCCGAGCUGUCUAUGUUGAGGCAGGCUCUUUUUAAUAGCUUUCUUUCUCGCUUAGAUUCGAUGGAGACCUUGCCCCCGAAGAUGGAGUGGACCAUGUCAGUGGGGCUGACGUAUUGGUGUCGAGGGUCCCUAUCUUGGUCCUCGUCCUCGUCUUCGUGGUCGUGCCCGUCUCGCUUGCCGUUUUUCUUGGCGGAGUCGUCUUGGGCGGCCCGCCGUGUAUAGAUGUUUUUGAGGACGCGGCACUCUUCCAUGGUAUGAUUAGAUUUUGGAUGUAGUUGGCACGGCCCCUUCAACGUUUUGUUGUAGUCUUCUUGGUAGUCUCUCCGCCCGUUGGGACGCUUGACCGUAUUCACUUCAUGGUCGUGGUCGCGGGGGCGCUUUCCUCUGAAGUCGUCGCGAUUAUCGCGCCGCCGAUCCCAGCCUUCUCUAUGAUCGCGGUUGUCGGAGCGGCGGUGGUUCCUGUUGUCGAAAGGACCGUGACCGUCAUCUCGCCGGGGAGGCUGGUCGGGACCUCUCGCAUCGUCCCGGAUUAGUUUCUCUGCAUCGUCGACAUUGGCGUAAUUUUUAGCCGUGGCGAGGAGCUCCGCCAUCGUUGUUGGCCUUUUGCGCAACAGUUUGUUCCUCAGUGCUUCAUGGAAACGUAGGCCCUUGAUGAAGGCAGAGAUGGCCUCAUCGUGGGAAAUCUUCGGGAUCUUAAGGCGCAUAUCCGAGAAUCGUCGGAUGUAAUCACGUAAAGGUUCGUUUUUCCUGUCCCUUAUCCUUUCGAGGUCAUACUUGUUUCCAGGCUGCUCGCAUGUGGCGAUGAAGUUGUUAAUAAAAGCCUGGCGUAGCUCUUCCCAGGAGUCGAAGGAGUCCUCGGGCAAGCCAAGAAGCCACUGAUGACCAGCCUGGUCGAGGACUACUGGGAAGUAGUUGGCCAUGACGUGCUCAUCCCCCGCUGCUGAUCGGACGGCGAUUUCAUAGAGAGUGAUCCAGUUCUCCGGAUUUUCCUUGCCGUCGUAUUUUUUGAUUUUCUCGAGCUUGAAAUUGCGGGGCCACACGACCUGGUGGAGGUGUGAGGAGAACUGUCUUAGGCCCGGGGGGCUGUGCGUUGCAUCGUACUCGAUACGGCGCAGGUUUUUGUGGACUGCUCUCUCCGUGGCGCGUCUGUUGAUGUGGUCCCGGGUAUCUUUGGGAGGGAUGUUAUAUCGAAGAUCCCUGUGCUGGUUUACUUCUUGACCGCGCCUGCGGUUCUGCUCACGGUGACCGUCAGCAUCCCAACCACCAUCGUCACGCCGUGAAUCCUUUCGAUGGUUGUCGGGGGAACGGCUUCGGUGAUGCCUGCUGGGAGGCGGUGAGGUCCGGCUACGGUUAGUCUGGUCGGAGAUGGCUUCCGUAUAAGAGACGGCCUGGACUCUUUUGAGCAGAGUGGCUGUCUGUCCCAUUGCAGCGAUCAGAUGCGCUCGGACGCUGGUUCGGACUCCCUGGCACUCAGGAGUAUCGGGGAGCCGAUCCAGGUUAGCCAUGGCGACAGCCACGUUGGCGCUUGGCGUUUUGUAGACUGGCUGGUCCCCGACCAUAUCAAAGGCGUCGCUGAGAUUAUGUGGUGGAAUUUGUCGUUCCUCAUCCGCGCGUCGUCGGGCGCAAUCGGCGUUACGCUGCUCGCGGAGCUGCCUUUGCUCGUCUGUUUCUCCAUCAACGACCGGCUCGUCGGCGCUGACGUUAAAAACAAUGUCUCCUCGCCGGGGGGGAAUACCGGGAAACAAGAGAAACCCGGAGGAUGUGAAAGCAAAUCCAGGUCGUAGUCCUCGUCUUCGGAGUUUAUGACUUCGGUGGGGAUGGAACCAGUGCUCGAAUUGGUGCUAGAAGCCUGGCCGUCUCGUAGUUCGCGGAUUGUCACCAUGUUGACGUAGUGACGAGCAGAUUGACCGUUCCUCUUUGGCAACCAACCCUCCUUGUUGAAAAGGGAUUGGACGUGCCGUGAGUAGAGAGAGGCCGAGUUGUUCAGGCCACAGGGAUAAUCUUCCUCCGGGUUAGCCUUGAGUUUGACGGAUCGCCCUGAGGGGGUUGAGGUUAUCGUCAGAGACACUCCUAGCCAUUCGUGUGUAGCGACACGAGUUGGCCGGUGGGAUUUGAAAAAAUCCGCUGGGGCGGAUAGGCUUGCGCAAGGUCCCAUCUACUAGUCGGGAAGCUUCAAGUAGCUUGGAAUCGGCGCGAUCAAGUGCCUGGAGAAGGCCCGAGCAGUCGAUCUUCUUUCCCUUGUAAAGCGGGAGCGGUGGUCGGGCGCUCGGAGCCGUCACCCGGGUGGUCGGAGCCGACGUGAUCCCGGAUUGGAUCUGAGUUUCUUCCAGAAACGUGGUCGUGAGACCGCCGCCGCGCGUUGUCCACGUGAUCUGGCUGACGGUGAACGUGAGGCCUUCAGGCACGGCCGCGGAAGCUGGGAUCGUGACCAUCUUGUUCGCUGGAGAAGUUGCACGCACACCCCCUACCUGGCGCGCCACUGUCGACGAAAGUUGGUCGGCAGUCUACCUUGGGGUAUACCCACGGUAGUAGUUUAUCGGUAGACGGUGCGCAAACUACGAACUCGAUGGUGACGCAAGACACGGACAAGCUUUUAUCCAGGUUCGGCCACCGAGUUGGCGUAAUACCUACGUCCUACGUCUGGUUGUAUUGAUUUGUGUUGAGAGAAUAUGAUGUCCUAGGGGGGUCCCUUGCCUCUCCUUAUAUAGUCCGGAGGGCAGGGUUACAGAUCUGGAAACUAAUCCUAGUCGGUUACAAUUGCCAUAGAUAGUUCGAUAUCAAUUCCUAUUCUAACCGACUGGAAUCCUACUUGAUCUCCACGUCUUGUUUCCUUGCGCGAAACUCCGAGCUGUCGGAUCAAACCUUGAGCUUGUCUCGUAAUGGGCCAAGCCUCCUGGCCCAAGUCUAGCCGUAAGGGUAUAGGGGUUUAUACCCCCACAAUACCUGGUUUAGACCGAUCGAUUGUUGAACAUCGGUUACCUAUCAAAUCUGGAUUUCAGACGCAUCAACAGCCAGCUCGCCGAUGCAAUCCUAAUAUUCUUCCUGAUAUUAAGGCGAAAAUAACUAAACUCAUUGAGGCCAAAUUUAUUUGGCAAUAUUGGUAUGCCGAGUGGAUUUCUAAUGUCGUUCUAGUUUACAAGAAGAAUGGAUGCUUCGUGUGUGCAUUGAUUUCAGGACUCUUAACAAGGCUACACCGAUGGAUGGUUAUCCAAUGCCAGUUGCCGAUUUGCUAGUUGAUGCUGCAGCUGGACAUCGGAUCAUUAGCUUUAUGGAUGGCAAUGCAGGAUAUAAUCAAAUAUUCAUGGCUGAAGAAGAUAUUCCAAAGACUGCAUUUAGAUGUCCUGGUCAUGUUGGGUUGUUCGAAUGGAUAGUCAUGACCUUUGGCUUGAAAAAUGCUGGUGCUACUUAUGAGAGGGCUAUGAAUUUUAUCUUUCAUGAGUUCAUUGGCAAGUUGGUGGAAAUCUAUAUUGAUGAUGUGGUGGUUAAGUCUAGAGAUUUCACAAAGCAUCCUGUCGAUCUACGAAAGGUGUUGGAGUGCACAAGGAAACAUGGUUUAAAGUCGAAUCCCAAUAAUUGUGCAUUUGGUGUAUCGGCACGACAAUUUCUUGGUUUCAUGGUGCAUUAGAGAGGAAUUGAAAUUAGUAGGAGAUCUAUUGAUGCUAUCAACAAAAUAGUUGCUCCCACCAACAAGACUGAACUCCAAUCUCUGAUCGGCAAGAUAAAUUUUAUCAGGCAAUUUAUAUCUAAUUUGUCUGGUAAGAUUCGUGCUUUUAGUCCUUUACUUAAGUUGAAAGCCGAUCAAGAGUUUGUAUGGGGAAGAGAGCAACAGUUAGCAUUGAAUGAAAUUAAGAAUUAUUUGACAAAUCCUCCUGUUUUGAUUCUAUCUCAACAAGGAAAGUCUUUCAAAUUAUAUUUGUCUACUGAUGAGAUGGUCAUCGGUUCGGCUCUAAUUCAAUAAUUUGAAGGGAAGGAGCGUGUGAUUUAUUACCUAAGAAGAAGAUUGGUGGAUGCCGAGACAAGGUAUUCGGCAAUUGAAAAACUAUGCUUAUGCCUAUACUUUUCAUGUGUCAAAUUGAGACACUAUUUAUUAUCGGCCGAAUGCACUGUUAUAUGCAAAGAUUACGUAGUUUGGUACAUCUUAUCAAUGCCGAUUAUUAGUGGUAGAAUCGGCCAAUGGAUUUUGGCCUUGUCAGAGUUUGAUCUGCGUCAUGAAUCGGCUAAGGCAGUUAAAGGGCAAAUUAUGGCUGAUUUUGUAACUUAGCAUUGCGGUAUGGUAGGCACUUUAGAAAUCGUUCCUUGGACGCUCUUCUUUGAUGGAUCCACGUGCGAAUGGGGGGCAGGAUUCGGCAUAGUACUAAUUUCUCCUCAAGGAAAGAAGUAUGAUUUUUCUUUGCCGAUUGUGGCCACGUCGACAAAUAAUCAAGCCGAGUACCAAGCUUUAAUCAAGGGGUUGGAAUUGUUAAAAGAGGUUCGUGCCGAUGCUGUUGAGAUCUUCGGCGAUUCUAUGCUUGUUAUAAAUCAAUUGGUUGGGAUUUAUGAAUGCUGAUGUGAGGUUUUGAUACCCUAUUAUGAAAAAAGUAUGCAACUGUUAAGGGAAUUCAAGAAUUUCCGAUUAGAGCAUGUUCCUCGAUUACAUAAUGAAGAAGCUAAUCGGUUGGCUCAACACGCCUUGGGAUAUCAACCCAUCUUAAAUAUGUUAUCGGCAAUCAGUGCUGAUGAUUGGAGAAAAGAAAUCAUUGAUUAUUUAAAAGAUCCAUCUAAAAAGGUUGAGAGGCGUGUUAGGUUUCAAGCUACCAAGUGUGUACUCCUUGAAAAAGAAUUAUAUUUUCGAACGAUAGAUGGGGUUUUACUCAAAUGCUUGGUUGAUGAUGAGGCUAGAAGCUUGAUGGGUGAGAUCCAUGAAGGGGUGUGUGGGGCACAUCAGUCGGCUUUUAAGAUGAAGUGGAUGAUUAGAAGUAAUGGAUAUUAUUGGCCGACUAUACUUGAAGAUUGCUUUAAAUACUUCAAAGGAUGUCAAGGAUUUCAGAAAUUUGACAAUAUUCAAAGGGCACCCGCAUCGGCCAUGAAUCCUAUUAUUAAGCCUUGGCCGUUUAGGGGAUGGGCUAUUGAUCUAAUCGGCCAGAUUUAUUCGCCAUCAAGCAAGGGGCAUAAGUUCAUUCUAGAUGCCACUGAUUAUUUUACUAAGUGGGUUGAAGCUAUUCCUUUGAAGAAAGUAACAUCGGCUAACAUGAUUGAUUUUGUGAAAGAGCAUAUUGUUUACCGAUUUGGUAUUCCUCAAACAAUCACUACUGAUCAGGGUACUAUGUUCACAUCAGGAGAGUUUGAUGAAUUUGCAAUCGGUAUGGGGAUUAAAGUGUUGAAUUCCUCUCCUUAUUAUGCUCAAGCCAAUGGACAAGCCGAAGCAUCUAACAAAGGAAUUAUUAAGCUCAUCAAGCGAAAGAUUGAAGAAAAUCCUAAAAGGUGGCAUACAUUGUUGAAUGAAGCUUUGUGGUCAUAUCGGAUGGCAUGUCAUGGAUUGAUCAAAGUUUCACCUUAUCAGUUGGUAUAUGGACACGAUGCGGUGCUACCAUGGGAAAUUAAGACUGGAUCUAGGCGGGCCUCUUUUCAAGAUCAAUUGGCUGCCGAUGACUAUGCUACUUUGAUGAAGGAUGAGUUGGAUGAUUUGGCAGAGCAUCAGUUGAGGGCUUUGAUAAGUAUAGAAGAAAAUAAAAAGAAAGUUGCUAAAUGGUAUGAUAAAAAAGUAAAAGCUAAAGAGUUUGACGACGGAGAUUUGGUAUGGAAAUUAAUUUUACCGAUUGGGACAAAAAGUUCAAAGUUUGGAAAAUGGUCUCCUAAUUGGGAAGGUCCUUAUCGGAGAAAUCGAUCUUCUCCUGGUAAUGCUUAUAUUUUGGAGACUCUCAAAGGAGUUGAAUUCCCCAGAGCAUUGAAUGGAAAAUAUCUAAAGAAGUAUUACCCAAGCAUCUGGUGGAUGCAUAAAAGUUUAAGUGCCGAUAACACUCCUAUCGGCAGGAUGAAAUGUAUCUGAGGUCAUGCAUAACGUUUUAAAAAGUGCUGAUAACAGUCCUAUCGGGUAGACCAGAAUGAUCAGAAGUUUCUAAGGGCAGAACAAAACAAGCCGCCGAUGGAGAGCUUACAGAUUUAGCAGGGCUUGAAUGGUCGAUAUGGCGCGUAGGCGAAUCUGGUCAGCCUCUUCUAUCUCUCGAAUGUCCUCAUCGGCAGAACCCUCUACUGGCUUCAGCUUCUUUUUCAUAUGCAAUGCCUUACGAGCCUGGAUGUUUCGUUCUUGUUGAAGAGUCUUGAGCAUCUCAGGCAACUGGCUUUCUUCUUGCUGAGCUUGGUUUAGGGCUUCUUCUACUUGUUUGAGCUCAGCUAGUAGGACUUCUCUUCUUGCCGAUAGGUCGGAGAUAUUUUGCUUCAGUGUGUCUCCCGAGGACUACAGAAUGCCGAUGCUCUUGUGCUUCUCAUCAGCAAUACGCUUUACUUGCAUUACUUCCUCUGAAAGUUAAGCGUAAGCAGCUCUAUCGGCAAGACGCUGAGUAGCCUUUUGAUAUUGGAGCUGGCAAUUCUCCAAGUGUGCAGCCUGAAAUAGAGCUUCUUCUGCAUCGGCUGGGAUCUAGCCCCUAAGGGUCUUAAACAAAGCUUCGGCUGGGUCAGAAUCAUUGACAAGCUGAGCGGUAUCUUGAUGCAGUAGAGCCAGCAGUCCUCCAGUUUAGGCUCGAUUUCUGCCGAUGAGAUCCCCACUGCUUGAGAGGAGCUUGCCUCUUCACCCUCGUCAUCGGAGAUGUCGAUAGCAAAGGAGAACAAUCUGUCUGGAGAGUCUUGUUCCUAAAAAGGGGAUAGAGAUGAGUUACCCGAUGACCAAAUGUUGAUAAUAAAGAGUGAAGAUCAGAAACUUACUUGCUUCAGAGCGAUUUCGCGCCUAUGACGAGGAGAUGCGGCCGGUACUAUAGGUUGAUCGGUUGGAGUUGCCGAUGGGAUGAUGUCAACUAAGAAAUAACAAGGGUAAUUAUAAUUUGAAAAAGUAAAUCCAUCGGUGAUAAUUUUGUGGUUAGUACUUUACCUUGAGGGGGUGCAGUGCUUGUUUGUUCUAGAGGAAUAACCGAUGAUACGAUCAGAUCCGCUGGAUCGGUAGUCUGCUCAAGCACAUCGGCUGGUGCUUCUUGUGGCUGAGGUGCUAGUUGAGGAGGGGAUAGUACUUGCUGUGUCUGGAUCUCUGGUGAUGAAGGUGAUGAUUCUACAUGGAUCGGUGACACUGGCUGAGGAGGAGAAGAUGGUGCUAUCUUCUGGCGCUUUGGCUGUGAUUUGGUGCUCUUGGGGCCUUUUCUCUUGACUUGGCUAGACUGGGGGCAUCGGCACUUGUUUGAGCACUUCUGGUCUUUGUCGAUUUGCCAGUCUGCUGUUAUAACAACCAAGAUUUCAUGAGUCCAAAUAUAAAAAAAUGUUGAUGAAAUCUUAUUUAAAAAUAAAGGUUACCGAUGAAGUUCCCAUAACAGCCGAUGUAUCCUGAAAAGAUUACGUGAGUAUGGAACAGAAUCGGUAUAGGUAAAAGGAAGUCAAAAGUUUAUCUUAAAAGCCUGUGCCAGGGUAGCAGCGGCAACCGAUGGGGAUGUCAUUGACCACUUGGUAGAUAUCUUCUUGAAACGCACAUUUGGAUGCAUUAGAGCUGCCAGACUUGGUGCGUUGUUACCAAUCAGAGAGAUUGGACCUGAUGGGAGGAGUUCAAUCGGUCUUCCACUUCUACUGACUGUUGGUGGUGGGUUGUCAACCUGUUUAGAAAGGAGAGAGUAAGUUACCGAUAAGGUUAGAAACAAUAAAAGAACUGAGGUAUCGGUUGAAGACUUACAAUGUUAUCGGGACCUUGUAGUUAGGGUCAAUCAUGCCACGGUAUGUCAGAGCCGAUGAGCAGAACAUGUGUUCUUUCCACUCUUCCCACCACUGUUUGUACACAUGAGUAAUGAAGAGGGCUAGAAUCCAUGCUGAUAGAUCAAUGUCUGACGUAUUCGCAUUUGGUUGAAGCUAGGCUAUUCUUAUCAACUCAAGUCCACUGGUUAUAGUUUCCCUUGGUUUCACCACAUCGGCAUAACAGAGUCUAAUCGGCAGCUGCCCAAAAGCCAGUUGAUGAGCCAAUGCCGAUGGAUUGUAAAACUCAUAAGUAGGACUAGAGUUUUUUCCGCUACCAAAGGUGUUUACUGGGAUAGCCCUUGGAGUAAUGAUUGCCAUCAUCAAAUCGGUAUCUUUGUUGAGGGCAACAUCAAAGGGGUGGAAGACCAGCGGGUAUCUGGUUUCUGGAUCUUUGUAAGGCAUCCAUGCUCAUUGGUCCUUGGGAAGACCCUCAUAUAGGGUCUGGAAGAAUCGGCUGACCUGGUCUUCAUUACCGCCAGUGCCAGGAAGAACUAUAGCUGCUUCACCAAAAUUCAGGUGUGGACGAGUAGUCGAUUCUUCAUCGGCCUGUUCAUACUCUUCGGUGAUAUCUCAGGGAAAUCAUUGUGCAAAAAGGUCGAACCGAAGACGUUUGUGCAUGUGGACAUUUAGCCACAUGUUUAUAAACCACCAUGGACCUCCUAGGUUGCCGAUGGGUUGGCCCAACAAGAGCUUCUGAGCUACUUGAUGGAGGAGGUGAUAGGCGGAGGUGAGCAGAUAUCGGCCAAGAGGAAAUCGGCCGCCAUCGGGUAAUCUUUCUGUUGCCGAUAAGUAGACGGAGGUUGGUACUACCGAUCGGCCACAGAAGAUGAACUUAUCCAGCCACAUAUUCAGAAAAAUAGCAUGUUCCCUCUGCCCGAUUGGUCCUAUCUUCUGGUACUUUUGAAUGUACCCUGACCAGCCGCCGAUAUUAUGGGUUUCUACUUUGUGCUCGGGUUUGCGAUCAUAUAGGUGGCUAUCAUCGGCAGUGGAUAUGUCCAAACUAGUGAGCAUGAGCACAUCAGCAAGGGUAGGUGAAGCAGGGCCAUGGCCAAACAAGAAAGCAUUGACGGUGUCUGACCAAAAAUACAAAGCCGCUAUCAGUAGCGAUUCAUUUCUUUCCAUAUCGGCAAUGGAUAGCCUAAUGCACUGGUCUAGUUUACGCUCACCCCAUAGGACUUCGUUUGAAUUGCCGAUUCUCAGGAACCAAUCUCUCCACCCCUUAGUAGAAAUGGGCCAGGAUCAAAAGGUGUCUUUCCACAGAUCUAAUGAGAAGUUCUCGGCUCUAAAGGGGAUCCUAUUUGUUUCUGCAUUUAUCAAAUUGGUAGGAUCCGGAUUCCCCAAUAUACCAAGGCAUUGAAGGUGGGGUUGAUCAGUGGGGAUGACAAUUUUCUCGACCAAUUCCUAAAGGAUUGAAGGUUGGAAAAACAGAGAAAAUAAAAGGAGAAAAUACCAAAUAAAUAACCGUGCAAAAACCAAAAGUACGGUAAAAAAGAGAAAGGUAAUGCUGAAUUGACAUUAGGGAUGACGAAGUUGAUGGCCAUUUCUUCCUGAAAGGAGGAAGAGAUUGAGGGCUCGAAGAGUCGUUGGAGGAUAUCCUCGCUGGAGUUCUUGAGUUUCUCGAACAGUGCCAUCGCCAGGAAGGAGGGAUUGAGGAUGCAGGAUGACAAGAUGAACGAAGAGUACCAAGGAAGGUAGUAUUUAUAGGGUGAAGUGAGCAGGGGCAAUUUUGACUUAUCUCUUUGCCGUAUCUGUGAAAUCCAAAGGUGUUUAGGUGGAUAUGGUAACUGUUCACACGGUAAUCAAGGGAUUGUACAGAUGAUUUGACAGCAAGCGGUCAUGAUUUUGAAGAUAUCUUACUGUGGAGGAUCUCCUAGUCGGCUCAUCGGCAGUCUUCUCUAACAAAAAUGUUGCCGAUGAACGUAUAUUUAGGAGAUUUGGUUCAAGAAGUUGAGAAAUUCGAGGAUCAUGUUGGAGAAUCGGGCUAAGGUUGUUUGGAUUUGGCAAUUGAUCGCUGUUAGGAGGGAGUAAUUACGAAAAGACAUCAUUGUUAAGGAGAAUUUUAGAGCAUUAAUGAUUUUAUAUUCUGAAAUUGGGGGGCAUGUGUUCACACCGUUUUUGGACACAUAUCUUUAGACACAUAUCUGGGAGUUAAUGAGGUGUAGAUCUGCAGGCGAAUAAAAUGGUGACUAGUUGAUAGAUGAGUUGCCGAUAAGGGUUGAUACCGACCGAUGAUAAAACAAUAGAAUGUGGUCAAGUCCAGGAGCGGUGAUGGAUCUGUGCCGAUGACUGAUGCUGAUAGUUGCUGAUGGCUACGAAAGGUGAUUUGCCGAUGGACACAAAAGGAGGCGCAGGGAUUGUCGAUCAGAUGGUGAUGGUGUGCCGAUCGGUUCUGGUAGAUAGAUUAAUGUUUUCCAUUGUUGUUAGAGUUUGCUUUGCAUAUGGAUUCUGUUCAAUUUGGAAUUCGAGUCCUAGUCAUGUCUGAUUGUAACCCAUUUCGGCAGGGUAUAAAUAUAAGACCCCGUAGCGAUGUAAGAUACACACAAUCAAUCAAACACAAGUUUUUACAAUUAUUCUAGCAUCUACUUUUUCGACGACUUCGUCAACUCGCAUAUUUUCUUUUUACUUACGAGUUCUUAGGAAUUCAUCGAGUCAAUCUUGACAAAUUCUCAAGUUCCGCGUGAAUACCUCUUGGCCGUGAAAUCCGAGCGCAUCGCUAUUGUUGGGACCAAAGUAUUCGAGUUAUCACCUUUGUCGAUUGAAAGGUCAAAUCGGCUGGCACGCCUUAACGUUGAAUCGGGUAUUAGCCCUUUGUGUUUGCAGAUCUACUUUGGCACCAACAACUUCUUUUAAUAAUUCCAAUCCUUUGAUUAAAGCUUGGUACUCAGCUUGAUUAUUCGUCGAGGUGGCAACAAUCGGUCAAAAAAACUCGUAUUUCUUUCCUCGAGGAGAAAUUAGAACUACACCGAUUCCUUCCCCUCGAUCACAUGUAGAUGCAUCAAAGAAGAGCGUCCAAUGAACAAUUUCCAAAACAUUCACUACACCGCAAUGCUGAGUUACAAAAUCGGCCAUAAUCUGCCCUUUAACCGCUUUAGCCGAUUCGUAGCGUAGAUCAAAUUCUGACAAUACUAAUAUCAACUUGCCGAUUUUACCACUCAUAAUCGGCAUUGAUAACAUGUAUCGAACCACAUCAUCUUUGCAUAUGACAGUGCAUUCGGCCGAUAGUAAGUAAUGUCUCAAUUUAAUGCAAGAAAAGUAUAAACAUAAGCACAACUUCUCAAUUGCCGAAUACCUUGUUUCAGCAUCCGCCAAUCUUCUACUUAGAUAAUAAAUCACACGCUCCUUCCCUUCAAAUUCCUGAAUGAGUGUCGAACCGAUGACCAUAUCAUCGGUAGACAAAUAUAAUCUGAAGGGCUUUCCUUAUUGCGGUGGAACCAAAACUGGAGGGUUUGUCAAAUGGUUCUUGAUUUCCUCCAAGGCUAACUGUUGCUCCUUUCCCCACACAAAUUCUUGAUCGGCUUUUAACUUAAGCAAAGGGCUGAAAGCACGAAUUUUUCCUGACAAAUUAGAUAUAAAUCAUCUGAUAAAAUUAAUCUUGCCGAUCAACGAUUGAAGUUCAGUUUUAUUGGUGGGAGCAACUAUUUUAUUAAUGGCAUCAAUGGAUCUCCUACUAAUUUCAAUUCCUCUUUGAUGCACCAUGAAACCAAGAAACUGCCCUACCGAUACGCCGAAAGCACCUUUAUUAGGAUUCAUCUUCAAGCCAUGUUUCCUCAUGCACUCCAAUACUUUUCAUAGAUUGGCUAGAUGCUUUAUGAAAUCUCCAGACUUGACCACCAUGUCAUCAAUAUAUAUUUCUACCAAAUUGCCGAUAAAUUCGUGGAAAAUAAAAUUCAUAGCCCUCUGAUAAGUAGCACCAGCAUUUUUCAAGCCAAAAGUCAUGACUAUCCACUCAAACAAUCCAACAUGACUAGGACAUCUAAAUGCAGUCUUGGGAAUAUCUUCUUCAGCCAUGAAUAUUUGAUUGUACCCUGCAUUAUCAUCCACGAAGCUAAUAAUUCGAUGUCCAACCGCAGCAUCAACCAACAAAUCGGCAACUGGCAUUGGAUAACCAUCUAUCGACGUAGCUUUAUUAAGAUUCCUAAAGUCAAUGCAAACAUGAAGCUUUCCAUUCUUUUUAUAAACAGGGACAACAUUACAAAUCCAUUCGACAUACCGACAUUGCCAAAUAAACUUAGCUUCAAUAAGUUUGGUUAUUUCGGCUUUAAUAUCAAGGAGAAUAUUUAGAUUGCAUCGGCGUGCUGGUUGCUGAUGCGGCCGAAAUACAAACUUAAUAGGCAAACGAUGUUCAACAAUCGAUCGGUCUAAACUAGGCAUCUCGGUAUAAUCCCAAGCAAAGCAAUCUUUAUAUUCUUUCAACUAAUCGGUCAAUUGUUGUUUUCAUUCAGAACUUAACUUAGCACUAAUAAAAGUAAGUCUUGGUUUAUCCAUUGUCUACUUCUACUAAAUCAUCAGCUGAUGUAAACCCUUGACCUAACUUUCCAUCAUCGGUGAAUCUAUCCAUUAAAACUCAUCAUCAGAACUGACUGCUUGGAUCGGUGGAAUUUCAUAAUCGGCAACUUUGAGGAUGUCUUUAUCCCAAAUUUCCCCUAAAAUUCAUCUGGUCCUCUCAUAAGUGUCUGAUUCUGCCGAUGCAAUGACAUAUGAAGAAUCUCUGGAGACAAUUUCAAUCUUGUCACCUACCCACUGAACCAAGCACUGGCGCAUUGUAGAAGGAAUACAACAAUUGGCUGAAUCCAAUCUCUUCCCAAUAACAAAUUAUGUGCACCUUUUCCGCUGAUGACGAAGAAAGUCGUCGGCAAAGUCUUGCUGUCGAUGGUUAGUUCAACACAUAUAGCCCCCUUAAUCGGAGAUACAUUCCCUUCAAAUUCUUUUAACAUCAUAUCGGUCUUGGUCAAAUCGUGAUCUCCUUUGCCAAGCUUCUGAUACACUGCAUACGGCAUAAUGUUAAUUGCAGACCCUCCAUCAAUGAGUAUUUUGGAAAUCGACUGCCCAUCAACCCUACCUUUGACAAACAGAGCCUUCAAAUGUUGUCUUUCAUCGUCAGAAGGCUUCUCAAAGAUAGCUAUCAUCGAGUCAAGUGCUAACUGAGCUAUUUGAUCUGGGAAAUCUACUUCCUCAUCAUCACUAAAAGGGGCAACAAAUUUCAUUGGCAACAUGAAUACCAUGUUAACAUCUGUCGAUGGCCCUUUUCCCUUGGGAUUUGAUUGUUGUCGAUCCUCAAACUUGGAAGAACUUUCCUCCCUAUUCAAUUCUUCUUGGCGUUCUUGCUGCAUCCUCCUCUUCUGCGUUCUUGUCAAUCCUUCUAGGCAGCAUUUAAGAAGCUGUGUCUUCCGCACUGGUUGAUAACGAACCUCCCUUGAUUCCACCCGAUAAGUAUUAGCAUCUCUGCAAAAUAUAAAUUCAUCGGGAACUCGUGCAUUUGCUAUCUCUUCAAGCUUUUCUUGGUUUCUUAGAAAAUGGCCGACACGUUCACCAAGCCUGUCAUGCACACAGAGCCUGCCCUUUAGCCGAUCAUGAACUGACAUUGUUCCUCUAAUUGGCCCAUUAAAUCGUUGAUCAUCGUUCUGAUAUCACCGAUCUGAUCGAUCAUGCCGAUUAUAACCAUUGCACUCAGGGCAGUCUCUGACAGUUGGUAACUUGAUGUUUUGCUCCCAACAGUGAAUAAAGAAUGGACAAUUCCAGUGAUCUCUAUGCCAAUUCCAUUCUUUUCGGCGUCUUUCUUCCUCUCGGCAUCGAUCCUGUUGCUGACAGCGAUACCGAUCUUCUCGUUUUUGCCAUGUCUCCCAGAGCUGCUGCCCUCCUGAAUCAAGCCUUUGACAUUAGCAUCGUCGGCAGUGAUCUGGUGUUGGGGAUCUACCGAUCGCUCUUCUCAGCUGCUUCUGAUGUUAGGACUUUAGUUUUACCCUUGGCAUCCAGCAUGUUUGCAAGAAAAGGGUGUUGGUCAAUCUUCAUCGGCUUCUAAGCUUUGGAAUUUUCAAACUUAAUCCUCCCGGAUUCUAUAGACGAUUGCAACUGUUGCCUGAAUACUUUGCACUCAUUUGUGCUAUGUGAUGUUGCGUUAUGCCAAUUGCAAUACUUGAUCCUAUUCAACUCGUCUGUCGAUGGGAUCACAUGAUUUGGCGACAAUUUAAUCUAUCCCUCCUAAAGCAAAAAUCAAAUAUCCUAUCGGCCUUAGUAAUAUCAAAAGCAAACUUCUCUGGUUCUUUCUAGCCAAAAGGACAAGACAUCGGUUUUUUGUUCUUCACCCAUUCUGCUAAGCUAAUGAUUGGUUCUUCAUCAGAAUCUGAACUUGCUACCUCAUCGACAAAUGACACCUUUUUGUUCCAUGUUCUCCUUGGUUCAAAAGCCUUGAUAUCUUGGUCAGAAAUCCUCUGCACCAAAUGACUCAGACUCUCAAAUUCUUAAGAAGCGUAUUUAUCUUUGAUGUGUGGCAACAAUGCUUGGAAAGCCAAAUCAGCUAACUAUCUGAUAUGACCAUGCCACCAAGCAAGAUGUCACAAGCUCCAAGUCAAGCUACACCCACUCAAAUUUCACCUACACCGACACCAGCCCAAGUCAUCGAUGGACCGAUUACACGUAGUCGUGCAAAGAAGCUACAACAAGAGGUCCACGCGCUACUUUGUGAGUUUCAUUUUAAUAUUAAUGAGAAUUAUAUACUACCUAAGUGUUGUACCUUGAUUGUACUCAGGUAUAUAGAAGAAGAGAAGGAUGCAUCGGACACUGAAGAACGGACCAGUGCAAGUUCCAGAAGAAGUCAAAAACGGACCAGUGGAAGUCAAAAAUGGACCAGUGCAAAGAAAUCUUCAUAAUUUUUUACUCACAAAAGCUAUGAAGGUCCAUGAGAACUUGUUGGAAAGCUUGACGAGUCUACUUUCCAAUGAAUCUAGUGGCGACCAGUUUGGAUACUGCAUAUUGCCUCUAGACCAGACUGCUCAGAAGGUCAACAGUCUAUCGUGAUAGAAUGUUGGUACAACUUGCCAAGUAAAACUGUACAACUCUACAAUAUUUCGUGCUGGUUGGCAUACAUUGCUGCAAAGCCCUUUGAGUCUAGUUCCACACCCAAGAAAUGGUUCAUCAUUUGGACUUUCCAAUAAAAAGUUAUGGUCAGUUUAUUGGAAACUGCUCUGGAGGCCAACAGUCACGCGAAGCCACUUCGAGAAUCCAUUUCGAGGGGACCUUUCACAUUGACUUCCCUCAGAAACUCUAUUUCGUUUUCAUACCUAUCUAGCAGGGCUAUUGCUAGUAUAAAUACCCCCUAAGACUCAUUGUAAUCCAAGACUUUUGAUAAUUGAAAUACAGAACCCCUUUGUUCAGCUGCGUGCUAACAAAUCCAGAGAGUGAUCUCUACCCCUUUGCUCUUGUGAUUUUCUCGCGGGAUUACGUAGGCGGCGGCUUCAUCCGCUCCCAAUUGGUGCUCCUACUCCCUUCAAGGUAUUCCUUGAUUGAUUGUAGGCUUUGUUGGUUGGUUCCUUGAGAGUGUCGUUGGGCGAAUCCUCGAUUCAGGUUGUCGGUUAAAGACGGUGGUUGGCUUCGAGUUUUAUUUGCCAGGUUGCACUCGUUAUCGCUGCUUGCAGCAAGUUAUCUGGCUGUUCUUCAGCUAGUUAUCGGUGUUCUUCCUACGUCGUGAAGAUCGGGACAACGUGACCCAUCAUCUGGUAUCAAAGCUUUCGUUACCACGGUAGGAAUUUUAUCCCUAACUACAUAUAUAUUUUUGCUUCGUCCUAUCCACCAAAAAGCCAGAAAAAUAUAUUGCUUAGACCUUUGUUUCAAUCUGUUAUUUUAGUGAGUUCGGUUAAAUCGCAGUCCAUUAGAGUCUUUGUUUUAGUUGCUGAUCAUUUAUCCUUCGCGUGUUCUUUGUGCCUCUUUUAUAUCUAAAAAUCCUCACAAAAAAUCUCUAUAGCCUAUAUCAUCCUUUGUGUUAACUUUGAUCCUAUCUAGCUACUGGUUGUUGUUUUAUUUCAGUCUUUAGUUGUGCAAGUGUCAUAAUCUGAUUCCUGUGUUUAGUUCUAUAUAAAAAGAAAAAAAAAAGUGUAAAAAAAAGUGAAGUAAAAAAAAGUUGAGAAAGGUUCAGAGAGAAAGUCUAAAAGAUUAGUUGGUUUAUGUGCACAAGUGCUGAAAGUUUCAUAUCAAGUUCUGCAGCCAGUUUGCUAUCUUUGUUUGGUGCAAAACUUUGGUUGGGUCUGAUUGCAACACUUGCAUCCCAAUCAUACUCCUUUGCAUCAAUUCUGAAAUUUCUUUGUGUGUGUGAUCUAUUUAUACACUUCGAAUCUUUUGAUCAGCACUAGGCAGAGAACUUCUAGUUUGGAUCGUUACUUAACUUUACUACAACUAGAAUUCAGAUUGCAUUCCUUGUGUAUUACUCCCCACCAAGCUCCAAAUAAAAACCAUCGUAAUCGUUACUCUCUGUUCUUGUAUUCGCCUUGCCAUCACUUUCAGUUGCCACCACACAUUUGUUUUCCUUGUAAUCUGCAGCAGAGGAAUUCAUAAGAGCUUCGGUGGUUAGAGAGGUGAGUUGUGAGGGCCACCAAAUUUUUCAUAUUCCACAAAUACAAAUUAUUUGUAUUCAGCUAACCUUACAGGAAGAUGGGUCAAGUGGACAUCAAAGAUCGUGUUACCAUAGCACAAUUUAAUAAACUCUGACAAAGCAUGGAAGAAAAGCAAGAUAGGUUGACACAAGAUCUUCAGAAUCUUAUGACUGAAAUCAGAAGGCAUCGUCCACCUCAUGAUGGUGCAAGCAACUAUUGUGGAGAUAGAGAAGAUAGUGAUGGAAGAAGAGGAGGUCGGAGGAACCGGAGGGCUGCUCAUGGUAGAGGAAGAAGACAUAGUCGAAGAAAUGAUGAUGAAUCUGAAGAUGAGGCUGAUGACAACCGCUUCCAACUCAGUAUUGGUCGCCGAUGUCAUAGAAGAGGCAACCAUGAAGAAAGAUUUGGCAAACUAAAAUUUACCAUGCCAAAAUUUGCUGCUGAACCAUCCACGAGGAAUUUCUCGGGAGGAAGCAAAUCAAACACAAAGUUUGCAGCUGAACCAUCCACGGUAAAAGGCUCAAGUGGAGGCUCACAAUCUAAUUUUCAGGGUACUUUUUGUGGAAAGAACACUGCUGUCUCAAGUUCAAAACCAGCAGCAUCAACCACAACUUCAGUGGGUUCUACUUCCAGGAGUAGUGGAAUUCAGAGCUUCAAGUGUGGAGGCCAUGGGCAUAUAAGUAAGGAGUGCCCAAAUAAUCAGGUGAACAUUGUGAAUUAUGAUGGAGCAUAUGAAUCAGCUAGUGAAGAGGCAGUUAAGAAGGAAACCCACGGAGAUGAGGUCUUUACUGACUGUGAGUUUGAGCAAGGAGCUGCUCUUGAGGUGACUCAAAUCUUGAGUGUUCAGGCAAAUAAAGCUGAAAAUGGGCAGCGACACAAAUUAUUCCAAACUAGAGCAAAGGUGCAUGAUAAAGAGGUGAAGGUGAUUAUUGAUGGAGGGAGCUGCCAUAAUCUUGCUAGUUGUGAGAUGGGUGAUAAACUUGGCUUGAAGCUGCUACGACACCCUCAUCCAUAUCAUGUACAGUGGCUGAAUGAUUCAAAAGAUAUCAAGAUUGGAUAUAAAGAGAACAUUCCAUUCAAGAUUGGUGAAUAUGUUAACACAAUAGAGUGUGAUGUGGCACCUAUAUCGGUGUGUCACUUGCUGCUUGGAAGGCCAUGGCAAUAUGAUCGAUAUAGCCAACAUUGUGGGAGAACAAAUCAGUUUAAUAUCAAUCUAAAGGGGAAGAAAUUUGUUCUCAAGCCUAUGACACCCCAACAAAUCAUGGCUGAACAUUUACAAAAGAAAUCUGAAAUUGUUCCAGUGAGUAGAGAGGAAGGAGAGCAAUAGAAAUUGAGUGCCAUCCACAAUUCGGUGAGUGAGUGCCACAAGCCAAAUUUGAGGGAGAAAAAAGAAAGGAGAGGGAGAGAAUUUAGUCAUGUUAGCCACAAAAUCUGAAAUGAGAGAAGUGAGGAACAACCCCGAACAAGUGCUCUUUGUACUUAUGUACAAAGACAUUUUAAUUUCAGCUAACGACAUGACCUCUCUUCCUAGUGUUGUGUCUCAUCUUUUGCAUGACUAUGGAGAUGUCUUUCCAGAAGAAACACCAGCAGGACUACCUCUAAUUCAUGGGAUUGAGCAUCAAAUUGAUCUCAUUCCAGGGGCUGCACUACCUAAUCGACCACCAUACCGAACCAAUUGAAGGGUCGAGAUGGCGGACUAGAGGGGGGUGAAUAGUCCUUUCUAAAACUUAUUACGCCGGCUAACCGAAAGAAAUGCGGAAUUAAAACUAUCGGUCUAGCCAAGACUACACCCCUCUAUCUAAGUUCUCUAGCACCUUGAAAAGAUCCUAAACUAGCAAGCAAGGUGCUACCUUAGCAAGAGCUCACCUAACCAAAUCUAGAAGCAAGGUCACACAAACCUAUGCAACUAGUACUUUGCAAACCGGGGGAGCUCCUACACAAACUAGUGAGGCAAAGCGCACAAAGCCUAAGCUCACUAGCAAGCUCAAUAACAAGGCAACUAAUGCCAAAUUAGAGAGCGCAACUUACUUAGCUACACAAACUAAGCAAAGUGACUAACAGAGUUACACAAACCAAAUUAGUCACGCAAGGGAACUACUUCUAGCUACACAAGCAAGAAGAUAACUAGCAAGCUACACAAGCUAACUAAUUACAAGAGCAACUACACAAGCACAAAUAUAUGAAUGUAAAUACAAGCUUGUGUUAGGGACUUGCAAACCAACAGGAAGAACAAAGUUGACACGAUGAUUUUCUCCUGAGGUUCACUUGGUUGCCACCAAGCUACGUCCCCGUUGAGACAAGCUCCAAGGUUGUCGCCGGUCCUCUUGCUAGUGGUGACCCGCAAGUCACACUCUCCCAUGUGGAGUGCUUACCACAAGCUCUAGCACUUGACCCGGCCGAACCACUUGUCGCUCUUCAUGUCUCGCUCAACUAGGUUGCUCUUCGCGAUCCCCGCGGGGUGAGCACCGUACCCCUCACAAUCUCUUCUAUGGAGCACCGCACAAUCUCCUUGCGUCCUUCGACAGAGUCACAAGACACCAAGCCGUCUAGGAGGUGGCAACCUCCAAGAGUAACAAGCACCAUCGGCUUGCAACACGAACACCUAGUGCCACUCGAUGCAAUCUCUCAAUGCAACGCACUAGAAUCGCUCACUCACACAAUCGGAUGAUCACUAUCAAGCAUAUGUGAGUUAGAGGCUUCACUAGCACUCCCCAAGCAUGGACACUAAGUCCCAAGGGUGCUCAGCAUCGGCCAAGGCCGGCCACCACUUCUAUUUAUAGCCCCAAGGGCUAAACUAGCCGUUGCCCCUUCACUGGGCAAAACACGUGGGCACCGGACGCUCAACCCCAGCGUCCGGUGCUCAGGCGUCAGCCACGUGUCACUAGCCGUUAGAAAACGACCGCUGCCACCAACGGCUACUACGUACGCGCGCCUGCAUAGCACCACCGGACGCUCUACUGAGUCACACCGGACCCGUGCGUAGAGAACUCCGCAAACUCACAAGGUCACCGGACGCAAGCCACCGGACGCACCCUGAGCGUCCGGUGCUCACCGGACUCAUGCGCAGAGAGGGUCGCCAAAAUGCCCACACACCGGACGCUGAGCACCGGACUCUCUCCGGUGCGUCCGGUGCACUCUGCUGCACCCGACAGCACACCGGACGCUAAAGGCCAGCGUCCGGUGCCUCCGCGCAGAGCGUCCGGUGAGUGUUUCCUACUGAGAAACACUACCACGACUUCUCCAAGCUUCCCACUAGCACAAUAGAAAAUAUACACUUAAUUUUCUCAAAAGCGCCGAAUCCCGCCUCGCAAGCUCGGCGGGAGGGAGAGAGAAAUCUACACCUCUCUCAACCCUAGGAACUCCACCUCCUUUGCAAAUGUGCCAACACCACCAAGUGUACACCACCAUGUGCAUGUGUGUUAGCAUUUUCACAAACAUUUUCCCAAAGGAGUUAGCCUCUCAAACUUGCCACACCACUCGAUCCUAACACGUAUGCAAAGUUAGAUCGCUCAAGUGGCACUAGAUAACCGAUAUGCAAACAAGUUUGACCCUCUUGAUAGUACGGCCAUCUAUCCUAAAUCCGGUCAUAAACUUCUCUACACACCUAUGACCGGUGAAAUGGAAAAGCCCUAGGUUAUACCUUUGCCUUGCGCUUUCCAUUCCAUCUCCUCCAAUGUUGAUGCAACACAUGCACUAACCAAUCACCAAAUGAUAUGAUCCACUUCAUAUCUGUAACAGAACCGACCAAAUUAUAAGAGAUUAAGCCUAAUAGUGACCAUUUGCAUAGUCGAACUGUCACGCUUAAGCCCAUAUAAUCCCGGUAGUCCGUGAAAUCUCGAAGGAUUUCAAACCACACAUCACAUAACAGCCAAGAUCGUAAUAAGUUUAGCGGUCGCCAUCCACAAGCACAUCCAGAUUACAACAUUCAUAAAAUACAUCGGAGUGCUUAAAGUUAUUACAAACCAAGUUCUUCAAGUAGCGGAAGCUUCAUAGUUUGAAAUUACAACACACACGAUAAGUCUGAUACAGUGCCAUAGUUCGGUCAUUCCCACAAAAGCAAAGAAGAGACGGAGUGACCAUCGCCCUUGGUCUAGUCAUCACCCAUAGCUGGGUACAGACAGAGGAUGCAAUAACCAUAGUACAUUUGACCAUCUGCAAAACAACAUGGGAAUAGAACCCUGAGUACGAGAAGGUACUCAGCUAGACUUACCCGUCAUAAACUUAAAAUAAAGACUCAUCGAGGAUCAUGAGGGCUAUUUAGUGGGGUAGCUGACAACCAUUUUGCAAAGACCGCAAGGUUUUAUUACCCGAACCUACAUAAAUCUUUUCUUCUUUUAAUCUGCUCAAGUUGAAAGUAUCAUUAUCUAUUAUCUAGGUUUGCUCCUGUGCUAUUACAAGCAAGUAUGAGACUAUGAUAGUACCUCAUCACAGCAGUCAUAAACCCGUUUCAUUAUAACCCAAGUGUUCCAUAGUCCUUACUACGAGGACGAAGCUCAUGUCAAGUGCUCACUAUCCAGGAGCGAUGGCGAUUCGAAUCGAUUUCUAACCAGCUGGCGAGGUAUUCCCCACACAAACCACACUCACUGAUCAAGUGAGCUACAGAUCACCGUAUUACACUAUCCAGGACCAAUUCGCGGGUUCGGCAGGCACCGCCAGUACCCGAGGACCGUUCCGGCGACCGAGGUAUCCAAGGUAUACCAAGGUUGCGCGCUGCGCCCUCGUCGUUCUCCUCAACCAUCACCAAUACAGCGCAUGGCGGCUCGAUUCCCGGCCCGGAUAGUGUUCAGGCUUCGCGGUCGGAACGACUUAUCCUUCCAGCUAAGUGUGGGGCAUGCGUUCAACAUGACAAGAGGGCCGUCAACGAUCGGUCCUUAAUCGACACAGGUAGGGGCACCAUGGUCAACCCACCAUAAGACCCCGCCCGGUAUUCUUUUCCCCGAGCAACCAAUGCUUAAUCAAGCAGGUAUCCACCUAUAUCUUGCAGGUGACAGGGAAUCACCCGACUUCUACCGAACUAAGCAAGCUAAGCAUAGACUUCGUGCCUAUCUACAUAGGACAAGGUAGUUGAAUGAGUAGGAAUAACAAGGAGUACUCAUGCAUCAACGGUAUCAGGCAACUCCUUGUUGACGGUAUUUAUACCAUGUUUUCUACUAUCAUAACCGUCAACAUAAGACUCAUUUUGGGAGAAAACAACCAAACAAAGUAGUAAUAUAGGUACAUAUAACCUAGUUCCACAUGUACAUGCUACUAUUUGGUUGCAGGAGUAAGAACAGGUACUUUUCAAGGGUCCAAACACUAAGAAGGGGUGAAUAACUAAAGAUCAGUGACACCAGUAACCAAGACAACAUUAUAGUCAUGAAGAGGAAGACAUGUAGGACAGGGCUGACACCCUAACCCCAUAGAAUUGGGGUCGGGCGACCCCACUUUGGUGGGUCCCACAGGUCAGCUCAACUCCACUGACAUCAGAGAGCCUCCAGGACACUGCAGGUGGGCCCAACCAGCCAGAUAGGGGGUCGGCCGACCCCACUUCAUGGCGGUUCCAGGGUCGGUUGGCCUCCCACCGACCUUGCCCACAUGUUGCACAUGUUAGUUUGCCUCUACCGUUGAUCAGAUGGCGGUUGUGAAGUCGGUUUGAUCCAAUGGUGCAUGAUGAAGAUGACGCGGAUCGCUGACGUGGCACCGGAGUAGCCCCUACUCCAUCUCCCACUAUAAAUACCCCCCUAUUCCUUCACUUAAAUGUCAUGUAUCUUAGGAGUAAACUACUUUAGUAGCUUAGUGCUAUCACAGUGAGUAGAGAGUGAGGAGUUCCAAGGAGGAGUCCCGGCCUGUCGGGAGUCUUCUUCGCGGAGCACCUCAGCGGAAGCAGGUCUUCUUGUAAGUCUUACUUCUGAGUCUUUUCUAGUAUUUAAUAUUUGGUCUGGUACUUUAAGUAUAAGAAUCCUUUACUGGCACAUUGCUUGAUCUUGAGUGCUCUUAGCUUUAGCUAAGCUUAGGGUAGCAAGAGCUAGUUUAGACGUGGUGUCUAGACUACUUCUUGCCAGUGUGGACUCCUUGUCGCAGUUGUGUAGACACCUAGUGUGAGAGUGACAGUCCUCGCUAGGCGGAAAGUUCCUCGCAUCUGUUGUAGGCAAGUUGCAAAUAAUAGUUGGGCUGAGCAGGGUAGUCGCUUAGGAGACGAGGAGGUGAAAAACUUCGUUAACUCAAUCCUCCUUUUCGGGUAUCGCCCUCAGUAAAGAGUUAGGUGAAAAACCUUGACUAUACUUAAUUACCAAGACCAGGCAUUAAUACUAGUUAGACCUCUCUACCCCAUUAUCCUAGACCCUUUGAUCAUCACCUAACGAUCUAAAGCCUAGUUAAUUCACUUCGCGUUCCCCGUGGAAAUCACGAUACCUGGAAUACUCCCGGUGAAGGCUACAUUGACUACCGUACGCUUGCGGUAUAACCGUUUGCCACUUCUGGUGUCAACAAGCUUUCUGGCGCCGUUGCCGGGGAACAGUAGCUGUUUUAACUAGGACAAAAAAAUCGUUAAGUUAUCUUUGUUUGAUUUAAAACUUUAUACACAUAUCCAAAUGGAUCAAACAACCCUCUUCGAUUACGCUGCUCCAACGGGCGCUGAGUUGGAGCCAGCGAGUUCAUCAAAAGCCAUUUUGGCCUGUCACUAUGAGCUUCGCCCGAGUCUCGUAACGAUGGUUCAGGAGAAUCCCUUUUCGGGAGAAGGAGAUGAAAAUCCUUACACACACCUACGAGAUUUCGAACAACUUUGUUCAUGCAUCCACAUCCAAGGGAUGAGGCGAGUUACCCUCAAGUGGAAGCUCUUUCCGUUCUCUUUGACAGGAAAGGCCAAACGGUGGUACACUCGCUAUGCAGGUAGUGUAGGAGGAGAAUGGGAAAAGCUGCAACCAAAUUCUGCCUCACCUACUUUCCCAUCUCUAGAAUAGCUCGUCUCCGUAGAGAAGUCCUAGACUUCAAGCAAGAAGGGAAGGAGUCUCUAGGUGCGGCCUGGGCGCGUCUCACCGACUUAACAUCAUCUGGCCCAGACUUAGGUAUAACCGAGCCAAUUCUUAUGCAACAUUUUUACCUCGGACUUAGCCAACAAUCCGCACAAUUCCUUGAUUUAGCCUCUAAGGGAGCAUUCCUUCAUUUACCUAUCAGUGAAGGUAAGGCCAUUCUUGGGACUAUUCUCGAGAAUACCCCUUACACUGAUGAUCAUAUUGAAGCUCCUGAGGAAGAUCGAACUCCUAGGGAUGAACCUUCGACAGCCAAAACUCCUUUAGCCGCAACCCAAGCUGUCAAACCUGAACCAAUACCACAAGCACCUCCAAGGGAAGAAGUAAUUCAUCCCUUGGAUUACCCACUUAACAUCGAGACUGAUCUAUUUGCCGAUUUUGGCAAUGUCUCGAAUCAACCUGUGCAAAGGAGAUCUACAGCACGCAGAGCUCCGAAUAGCCAUAUCCCAGCUCAUCUUGAGGCUGGUUACCUCAGGGCAACUGCCCAAGAACUCACGGCUAUUAUGAGUAAUGAAUGGGUUAGAGAAGCUGAGACAUCAUCUGAUGUCAUCAAACUUCUUUCGAGUUUUACACCCAUUCCCUGUGUCAUAAACUCCACUCCUAUAGAAUCCCUUUAUGACCCUGCUGUAGGAGUAAGCCUAAUGUCCAAAUCAUAAGUACCGACACUCCUAGGCGAGGAACCAUUAACCCCGACCAGCAAAUUUCUUAAAUUACCCUCUGGGGAAAUGGUCGAGAGUUGUGGGAUUGCACAGAAUAUUUCUGUCUCCAUUAACAAAGUCAACAUUCUGCUAAACUUCUUUAUCUUUGAUAUGAAAGAAGUUGACUUGUUAAUCGGGCACCCCAUCAUGAGGUUCCUAAAUGGAUUUCAUGAAGGGCGUUUUAAGGGUAACCUCGGGAAGGGCUUAGACCUUUCUAUGCCUUUUGCCGGCUCUAUUAAUUCUAAAGCCGAGACCCCGCCCGAGCCUGACCCAAUAGAGGAGGUGAUAUCGGCAUCUCUUCUGGACACUUCUCAGCCUGACUUAGAAGAAGACGCCGAAAACUUCAUCCAAGAAGAAGAGAACAAAUUAGAAGAACCAUUAGACUUGGAUGAAUCUAAACCACCACCAAAACCCUCUAUAGAACUUAAGCCACUUCCCUCUGGACUUAAGUACGCCUUCCUUAAUGGUGAUAGAGAGACUCCGGUAAUCAUUAGUGAUCAACUGACAGAAGAAGAAGUCACCAAACUCAUCACCGUCUUAGAAGAACGCCGCUUUGUCUUAAAACUAUUGCAUGCAGGCAUAAUCUACCCUGUUCCGAACAGUGAGUGGGUCAGCCCCGUUCAAGUAGUUCCUAAGAAAGGAGGAAUGACGGUCGUUAAAAAUGACAACAAUGAACUCAUUCCUCAACGGACCGUCACGGGAUGGAGAAUGUGCAUAGACUACCGAAAACUUAACAAGGCCACUAAGAAAGACCACUUUCCGUUGCCAUUCAUCGAUGAGAUGUUGGAACGGUUAGCCAAACACUCUUUCUUCUGCUUCCUUGAUGGGUAUUCGGGUUACCAUCAAAUCCCAAUCCAUCCCGACGACCAAAGUAAGACUACAUUCACAUGCCCCUACGGAACAUAUGCAUAUAGGCGCAUGUCUUUUGGCCUAUGCAAUGCUCCUGCCUCUUUUCAAAGGUGCAUGAUGUCCAUCUUCUCCGAUAUGAUCGAGGAAAUCAUGGAAGUUUUCAUGGACGACUUCUCCGUCUAUGGGAAAACUUUUGAUUAUUGCCUAAAGAACCUGGACCGAGUCUUACAAAGGUGCCAAGAGAAGCACUUGAUCUUGAACUGGGAAAAGUGCCAUUUUAUGGUUCGAGAAGGGAUAGUGUUAGGACAUAGAGUGUCCGAACGUGGGAUAGAGGUAGAUAGAGCUAAAAUUGAAGUUAUAGAACAGCUCCCUCCUCCCACAAAUGUUAGGGGCGUCCGUAGCUUUCUUGGCCAUGCAGGCUUUUAUAGAAGGUUCAUACAAGAUUUCUCUCAAAUUGCUAGACAUUUAACAAACCUGUUAGCUAAGGAUGCACCCUUUGAUUUUAAUGAUGAGUGCUUGGAUUCCUUUUACUAUCUUAAGAAAGCACUUAUCUCUGCACCAAUCAUUCAACCCCCUGAUUGGUCGCUACCUUUUGAGAUAAUGUGUGAUGCUAGUGAUUACGCUGUAGGUGCUGUCUUAGGACAGACUAAAGAUAAGAAGCAUCAUGCAAUAUCUUAUGCUAGCAAAACACUAACAGGACCACAACUGAAUUAUGCAACAACUGAAAAAGAACUGUUGGCUGUAGUGUUUGCUAUAGACAAGUUUAGAUCUUAUUUAGUUGGAGCAAAGGUGAUUGUUUACUCCGAUCACGCAGCUCUAAAAUACUUGCUCACUAAAAAAGAUGCUAAACCAAGAUUAAUAAGAUGGAUCCUACUACUCCAAGAAUUUGACUUAGAAAUUAGAGAUAAAAAGGGAGUAGAAAACUCGGUAGCCGAUCACUUGUCUAGGAUGCAAAUCGAGGAUAAACAGGAUCCACCUAUCAACGACUACCUUCGAGACGACACACUCCUCCGAGUCUCAGAAGCCUACCCAUGGUAUGCAAACAUAGUCAACUACCUGGCGUCCGGAUACAUACCACCUGGGGUAGACAAGAAGAAGCUUGUUAAAGAGAGUAGGGUGCACCUAUGGGACGAUCCUUACCUCUACAGAGUCUGUCAAGAUGGCAUACUCAGGAGAUGUGUUCCCAUGGACGAGGCAGUAAAAAUAAUGGAAAAAUGCCAUGGGGCAGAGUACGGAGGCCACUAUGGAGCAUUCAGGACCCAUGCCAAGAUAUGGCAGAGUGGAUUCUACUGGCCUACCAUGUACGAAGAUACAAAGAACUUCGUGAGGAGAUGUGCAAGGUGUCAGAAGCAUGGGAACAUCAAUACUCGUGAUGCAAUGCCACUCACAAACAACUUACAAGUCGAGAUAUUCGAUGCUUGGGGCAUAGACUACAUGGGGCCAUUCCCUUUGUCACAAGGGUGUGAGUACAUCCUAGUGGCAGUAGACUAUGUGUCCAAGUGGGUCGAAGCAAUGCCCUGCAGAGCAGCCGACUCUACACAUUCGAUAAAGAUGUUCAAGGAAGUCAUAUUUCCACGCUUCGGCACCCCCAGACUAGUUAUCAAUGAUGGAGGGAGCCACUUCAUUGACAGAAGAUUCCGACGGUUCUUAGCUGAAGUGGGGAUACGGCACAACAUUGGAACACCCUAUCACCCUCAAACGAGCGGACAAGCAGAAACAUCUAACAAAGAAAUCAAGAACAUUCUGCAGAAGACUGUCACUAAGAUGGGAACCGGCUGGAAAAGCCAUCUACCAGAUGCACUUUGGGCAUAUAGGACCGCAUACAAGACCCCAAUUGGUAUGACACCAUACCAACUUGUAUACGGUAAGACAUGCCAUCUACCGGUAGAGCUAGAGCAUAGAGCUCACUGGGCAAUCAAGAAAUGGAACAUGGAUUUGCCCUCGGCUGGAAGAAAUAGAAAGCUCCAAAUCUCCGAACUAGAAGAAUGGAGAGAUAAAGCCUAUCACAAUGCCAGGAUCUACAAAGAGAGAACAAAAAGAUGGCAUGAUAAAAGGAUCAAGCAAAAGGAAUUUCAUCCUGGGGAUAAGGUUCUCAUGUUCAACUCAAGGGUCAAGUUAUUUGGCCAUGGAAAGCUAAGGAGCAAAUGGGAAGGACCAUUCUUCGUUGUUGACGCCGCGACUCAUGGAGCGGUAACGCUGCGGGACGACGACGGCAACACCUUUAGGGUAAAUGGUCAUCGUCUUAAAGUUUUCCAUGAACAUGAACCUUUAGAAGAAGAAGUUGAUAUGGUAGAAUUUGAAUCUGACACAAAGUCUUAAAAUCCACAUGUCCUUCUUUUUACCCCCUUUUUGUUUAAAUAAUUGCUAAAUCAAUAUAUUUAGUUCCUUUUUGUUUUGAAAUAGGUUUGUAAAGGGUUUUAGAUGACGUAGGAUCAAAGUUGGGCCGCCGAACACCCCAAAUGGGGGUCGGCCGACCCCUCUUCUAGGGGUUUUGGCCCAAGGGGGGAUAGGUUUAGAAAGAGGGGAAUGAAUAGAGUUCGGUGCUGAAAUUCAAAAUUCAAAAUCCUGAAAUAUAGGGGUCGCCCGACCCCAAUAUUUUGAGUUUUGAAAUCCCCUGGAGUCUCGGAUCGUCCCUCAAAUGUUCCACGACGCUCCUUUUCAAAAUUCAAACUCUCAGGCUCCAAACACAUCUAUUUAUCCCCCCUCUUCUUCUUCUUCCUCCUCUCAAUUCAUUCCUUCUCAUCUUCACCUCGAACCAGACUCUCCUAGCCUCCAUUCCUUGCCAAGAGAUUCAUCUCCAUGGCUCCUCCAACUAAAUCUUCCAACCAAGCCAUUCGCUCCAACUCCCCACGUCCGCAAAGGUCUCUAACUGAGAGCCUGGAGCUUGCCCUAGCCGUCAACGUGCUGGAGCCUGAACCACGAGCCAUGGUGCCGCCGGCUGGAGGGCCGACGGGCCCCAUGUGGGGGUCGCCCGACCCCAAGAGGGGUCGCCCGACCUCGACCCGGGUGACGCAGCGCUCCGCGUCGGCCUCUCGUUCGCUCACACCGCGCAGGGGCAUCGGCAAGUCCCCUACUCGAGCCGUAACGCCGGUUCGACCUACCACGGGCCAACUUGCGCUGCGGGAGAAGGCGCCGAUGGCCACCAAGCAGGCCAUCACCAUCUCCUCCGACACGAUCCACACCUCUUCCUACUCGCCGUCCACCCCAACCUUUUGGAGGAACCACCAAGUGGCGGGCGGUGGGCCGGGAAAGGGGAAGGUGCUGAUCCCGCCGUUGAACUCUAAGGAAAAGAUGGAGUUGCGAGAGUCCUUUGACUCGUCAGCAAGUCCAUCCAUCCGGCGGAAGAUGGAUCCACCUCCGAUCAACGGUGCGCCUGGCAAAUACGAAGAAGAUCCAGAAAAAGGCGACAUCGAGAAGCUCCUAGAAGUCACAGCUAGCCUUAGAAAGAAAAAUAGGAUCUUAGAGGAGACAGUGUCGGAGCUCAGGAUGGAGAAUCUUGAGUUAGAAGAUCACUUCCGCCACCUGCGCAUUAGCACCAGCGCUAAAAUCAAGCGUUUGGCACAAGCAAUUGGGCGGGAGGAUCUCCUCAAACCUCCAUCUCCCUAAAUAAAUUAGUUAGUUUAGGUUAUAGGCACUAUUUGAUUAUUUAGGUUUGAUUACUCAAUUUUAUUUUUCAAUUUGUCACUUUGAAUUUCGCAAUGUAAAAGUGCCUAUACAAUUGAAAUUUGAUUUAAUGGAGUCGUUUUUGGUCCUGCUGGUGUGUUGCCACCAGCAGGACAUCUGCAUUUGAUCGUCUCUCUCUGUUUUAAGUUCAGCUGCACGAAAACUGCAAGUGUGGGGGGUCGCCCGACCCCCCAACUUCAUCUCUGAACUGCCGUGAGCAUGGAACAACACUGCAUACACCUUGGGACGUCAUGGCACCAAAAACAGGCGCGAUGAGGGGGUCGCCCGACCCCCUUUCUAUGGCAAAAGGAAACGACACAAGUGCAGAAAGACUUCCCGAGGGACGUAGAAUCGAGUGGCAGGGCCAGGAACCUCCAGGUGGGGUCGGCCGACCCCUCCAUAGAGCCCUGGGCCCACCAGGAAGCUUCUAUACGACGAAACACAUCUUUCCUGCCCGGUUUGCUAACUCUUCCCCCUCUCAGUCUGUCCAAUUCUUUACCUUUGUGUCACAAUUAAAAUAAAAUUUGAUAGUUUAAACUUGUUUGCAAAAUAAAAAGUGAACUGGUUCAUGAUUUAAGAGAAAUAGUGACAUAAAGUAUAGUUCUUACAAUUGUUCAUCCUCAUGGGUAAAAAUCUAUAGGAACCAUAUUGACUAAGUUGUUGAUGAAAGUGAUAUAACUCUUGGCUAAGAAUUCAUAACAUUUCUAUUCAAGGUACUUAGAGAUUUGUUUCAAAAAUAUCACAAAACCAUAGUAUCAUUUACUCCUCAUUAGCAAGAAAUUCCCACUAAAAGCCAUACACUUAGAUAUUCAAGUAACCAUUUUAUGAAAUGCAACCUGCUUUUGUAAUGAGUUUUGUCAAAACCUUGUUGACCCUAGUGAGAGUUGUAUCAUAGUCACAAGAUCAAGAUCACGUACACACCACAUAUAUAUAUGCUGCUUCUACACUGGAAGUACGCAACCACAUGUAUUGUGCAUCCACUAAAUAGGUUGCUCCAUACUCUAAGUGUUAGAACACCUCUCUAAAUAUUGUUUAGAAAAUGAGACAUAAAAGGGCUUGGCAAAAUAAAAGAAAAAAAAAAGAUGGACAUGUGCAAGUCCAUGAAAAAAAAAAUUGAGCACAUAAAGCUCGAAGAAAAAGAAAAUCUAGCCAUGUCUCAAUAUACAAGUAGAGAGAGUGUAGUAAAUAAAGGAGCAACCUAGUCCACCAUAUAACACACUUGCACAUCUUGAUCUAUGACUAUGACACUCCUCUCUUUGGAUCCUUGUUUUUGACUUAACAAUAUUUGCAAAGUAGAGUAUGCUACCUUGUUUGUCCCUACCAAGCCCCAUAUAAGCCUAUAAUUAUAGGAUGAAACAAGUUGGCAUUCAUGCCUUGGUGAGGACUACUAAAAAACUUUGAGUGAUGUAGAGCGCUAAAUGAGGAGUAGGAUUGAACUAUGUGACUUAUUUUAAAAAGUGUCAUAAAAACUCUAAGUACCAAGAAUAUGAAAUUGGAAUUUGAUCUUGUUCUGAGAGUUGUUCCUUUUCUCAACCUCUGAAGGAUAUAUGCUAGACACUUACACAAAAACCCAUUUGGAUGAACUAUGUUCGAACUAGCAUUUUAUGCUCACUACUAUCUUAAGUUAGAAACCAUUGAUCACUCAUUUUUAACCUUUACUCGAGGACGAGCAAAGACUCAAGUGUGGGGGGUCUUGUUGACGGUAUUUAUACCAUGUUUUCUACUAUCAUAACCGUCAACAUAAGACUCAUUUUGGGAGAAAACAACCAAACAAAGUAGUAAUAUAGGUACAUAUAACCUAGUUCCACAUGUACAUGCUACUAUUUGGUUGCAGGAGUAAGAACAGGUACUUUUCAAGGGUCCAAACACUAAGAAGGGGUGAAUAACUAAAGAUCAGUGACACCAGUAACCAAGACAACAUUAUAGUCAUGAAGAGGAAGACAUGUAGGACAGGGCUGACACCCUAACCCCAUAGAAUUGGGGUCGGGCGACCCCACUUUGGUGGGUCCCACAGGUCAGCUCAACUCCACCGACAUCAGAGAGCCUCCAGGACACUGCAGGUGGGCCCAACCAGCCAGAUAGGGGGUCGGCCGACCCCACUUCAUGGCGGUUCCAGGGUCGGUUGGCCUCCCACCGACCUUGCCCACAUGUUGCACAUGUUAGUUUGCCUCUACCGUUGAUCAGAUGGCGGUUGUGAAGUCGGUUUGAUCCAAUGGUGCAUGAUGAAGAUGACGCGGAUCGCUGACGUGGCACCGGAGUAGCCCCUACUCCAUCUCCCACUAUAAAUACCCCCCUAUUCCUUCACUUAAAUGUCAUGUAUCUUAGGAGUAAACUACUUUAGUAGCUUAGUGCUAUCAUAGUGAGUAGAGAGUGAGGAGUUCCAAGGAGGAGUCCCGGCCUGUCGGGAGUCUUCUUCGCGGAGCACCUCAGCGGAAGCAGGUCUUCUUGUAAGUCUUACUUCUGAGUCUUUUCUAGUAUUUAAUAUUUGGUCUGGUACUUUAAGUAUAAGAAUCCUUUACUGGCACCUUGCUUGAUCUUGAGUGCUCUUAGCUUUAGCUAAGCUUAGGGUAGCAAGAGCUAGUUUAGACGUGGUGUCUAGACUACUUCUUGCCAGUGUGGACUCCUUGUCGCAGUUGUGUAGACACCUAGUGUGAGAGUGACAGUCCUCGCUAGGCGGAAAGUUCCUCGCAUCUGUUGUAGGCAAGUUGCAAAUAAUAGUUGGGCUGAGCAGGGUAGUCGCUUAGGAGACGAGGAGGUGAAAAACUUCGUUAACUCAAUCCUCCUUUUCGGGUAUCGCCCUCAGUAAAGAGUUAGGUGAAAAACCUUGACUAUACUUAAUUACCAAGACCAGGCAUUAAUACUAGUUAGACCUCUCAACCCCAUUAUCCUAGACCCUUUGAUCAUCACCUAAUGAUCUAAAGCCUAGUUAAUUCACUUCGCGUUCCCCGUGGAAAUCACGAUACUUGGAAUACUCCCGGUGAAGGCUACAUUGACUACCGUACGCUUGCGGUAUAACCGUUUGCCACUUCUGGUGUCAACACUCCUAUCACUUAAUAUGCAAUACAGUAGAACAAGUAUAGCACUUUAUAUAAGUUAGCGAGAAUAGAGAGGCUUAGAAUGCUCCAGGGCUUGCCUUUCUCAAACGUGCUGGGUCGGUGAUCCGGACACUCCUGCAGUUCCUCUCCUGGUUCCUGUGCUUCCGGAGGUUCCUACUCCUGAAGCUCCUCGGGUUCCUCGGUUCCCACCUCGUUCUCCUGCGAGCCUGUAUGAUGCAUAUAUGCUCAUGAGUGGAGUGCGAGAUGCCCGAGUGGAUGCUUACAUGAGGGAGUACCAAAGGAGUCAUGUUAUGAUGCAUAGGUAAUGCACUUGGUCAUGCUUAUUACAAGGUAGUCAACAUCAUCCAAGAAUAAACAAUUGAAUCAAACAUCUAUUGCAUUCUCUUCUAUAAUUAUUUUUCAAAUGAAAUCAGCAACCUACAUGAUGCUUCAAAGAUACACCAAACCCAACUUAGUCCAUUCAACCCACAUACCCAACCAUUCAUAAUUUUCUUUAUUCGUUUCUAAGCCCAUUAAAAAUCACAUGCAAUUCUGUUCAUCAAUAAAUUCCAGAAAAAUUACAGGAGACUACUAGCUAAUCAUAAAGUCUACUGUAAAUUUUUCAUAAUUUUUGGUUACAUAUUUUGAGCCACAAAAAUCACAAGAUUAAUGGAUAAGGCAAGUAUAAUCACCCUACUGUGAUAUAAGUGUCAAACAACAGAUUUCAUAUUAUUAAAAUUUAUCUAAUAUCAUAAGAAAUACCCUCAAAAUUUUCCAGAUUUAUUGCAUGACCCAUUUAAUUAUUAAAAAUCAUAAAGCACUGCCAUGCAAGCAUUUAAAUUACCAUAAAUUCAUUUAUACACCAAAUAAUAUGUAACAAUAUUUUCUCAGUGAUUAAACACACAUGCAGAGCCAGCAAAACAAGUUUUACAUUUUUCUGAAUCCUAUUUUAUUUACUAUGCAUUUUCCAAGUUUAGGAAAAACAUGGAUUAAUUAUAUUCUUACAGGAAAGUUACUCAAACAUGACAUGCAAUCAUACUAGGCUAUAGAUCUGGAAUUAAGGAACACACCAAAAUUUAUUUCACCAUUUUUGGAGCUAUAUUCAUCAAGAUAUGGAUUUUUGAACAUUUAAAUCAUUUCCUAGAAAAACUUUUAAAACGGAAAGUCACCCAAAACGCUAAACGCACCCGGAUUCAAACCCUCGGAGUCACUGACAGGCGGGACACGCGAGUCAGGGGACCCCACCUGUCAUCCACUCUGUGACCCCGCGGCCAAAGAUCGGCCGGAAUCUCGCCGCCGGUGAGGUUUCCGGCGACACCGUGAGCACCUACAGCUUCGCGCGAACGAGACGAGUCCAGCCGUACCCUCUUUGGCACCGGAUGAGCACCGGAACUACCUCGCCGUCGUGAAUGGCGGACGCGGCGGCGCUGCUCGCCGUGGUCCGGCCGUUUCACGGCGGUAGAGCGUGAGCUAGUGACGGGAAAAGGUGCGCGAGGCCAAGGCGGAUCCAAAGCACUUUCGAGCGCAAGCAGAGACAGAGAGGAGAGGGAGAACCGUGCGAGCCGAGAGGUCGCCGGAGCUCUGACUCACUCCGGUGAGCUCUAGCGGGCACGCAGGGCUUACCGAGCGCGGAAGAGCGCAAGCACGAGACGCGGAAGGACGAGGCGGAGCCGGUGGUGGUCGCGAAGGGGAAGGAGAGGGCCGGAGCUGGCCGGUAGGGAAGCUCCGAGCCGUCGGCGGCUAUGGCGUGCGGCGGAGCGGCGAGCGUUGCGCGAGGGCAAGCAGAGAGGCGAGAGCGAGCGGUGGAGGGCGCAAAUGGGAGCGGGGGCUUCGGCGGGCGCGUCCAGGGGCUCCUGGUGGCCGACCAGGGCGUCUCCAUGCGGCCGCAUGCCCGCCACGCGGCGGCCAGGCUCUGCCGGCGCGCCACGGCGGCACGGCGAGGCCGUCCGCGCGCGCGGACGCGGGCGCGAGCGCGAGGAGGGAGAAGGGGAAGGCGCGGGCGGGCCAGGCCGGCUUCGGCCAGCGGGCCAGAAGCGAGGCCGCGGCCUGCUAGCGUCCCCUUUCCCUUUUCUAUAUUUUUUUUUUGAAUUUCUUUUCUCAAAUUCUCCCAUAAAUUCAUUUUGGCCAUUUUCAAAUCAUUUUCACUACUUUCUCCCAAAAGCUAAGUGGUGCCAAACUAAAAACUCUACAACUUUGCUUUAAUAGGUAAGACCAAAUUCUAAAUAGAAUUUGAAUUACAAAUUAAAACUUAGUUCUAGGUUUUUAAAUAAAGUUAUUUUGGAUAUUUUGUAUAAAUUCCAUUUCUCAAUUUCCAUAGCUCCAAAAAUUGCACAAAAAUGUUCUUAAUUCUUCUUACACAUAAAGCAACCUAAUUUGAAUUUUUCACAAUUUUAGAAGCAAGCAUCAUAUUUUUAACAUAUUUAGAACACAUGAGAUGAUGCACAUAAAAUCAUACUUUAAAAAGAGUGUCAUGCUCAUGAUGCUUAUGCUUGAUGGGAAUGCUUAUGCAUGACUUUGGUAAGACUAAGUGCAUGCUUAACACCUAGGGUGUUACAGCCCUUCCCCCCUUAGGGAAAUCUCGUCCCGAGAUUUUGGGUUACUAACCAUUUCUUAUGAAACUUUGGGUAAACUGUUUUUAAGUAAUCCUCUGUUUCCCAGGUGGCAUCCCUAUCGUCAUGAUGACUCCACACCACCUUUUAUGUUCUGACAAUUCUGUUUCGGGUUACUCGCUCCUUGGUAUCCACGAUUCCCACUGGCUGCUCUUUAUACUCUAAGUCUGCUUUUAUUUUGAUCCCUCGGGGUUCAAUUCUUUGCUCAGGCACUUUCAAACAUUUCCGUAGUUGCGACACAUGGAAGACCGGAAAGAUCGAGCUCAUCUCUACAGGUAACUGAAUCUUAUAGGCCACUGGGCCUUUCCUCUCUAGCACUUGGUAUGGUCCCACAUAUCUGGGUGCAAGCUUGCUUCGAACUCGGAAACGUUGAACUUUCUUCAUUGGCGUAACCUUGAGGUACACAUAGUCACCUAUGUUGAAUUCAAGUGGCCUUCUUCUUUUAUCAGCAUAACUCUUUUGUCGUGACUGUGCCGCUUGCAUAUGUUGCUGUAUGAUCUGCACCUUUUUCUCUGCUUCAUUCACGAAGUCGAUACCAUAGUAUCUUCUUUCACCAGGUUCAACCCAGUUUAACGGAGUUCGACAUCUCCGCCCAUACAAAGCUUCGAACGGGGCCAUCUUGAUGCUCUCUUGAUAACUAUUAUUGUAUGAGAACUCAGCCAGAGGUAACCAUGAUUCCCACGAUCCCCUGGAUGAUAGCACACAGGCUCUCAGCAUAUCUUCUAACACUUGAUUUAGCCUCUCGGUUUGACCUGAAGUCUGGGGAUGAUACGCCGUGCUUCUUAUCAGACUGGUCCCCAAGCUCUUAUGCAUGCGCUCCCAGAAGUGAGCAGUGAACUGCGGUCCUCUAUCCGAUAUGAUAGUUUUGGGAAUACCAUGCAAUUUGACGAUCUCAGCCAUAUAUAUAUCAGCAUACUCGGGAGGUCUGUAUGUGUUCUUGACUGGAAUGAAAUGAGCCGACUUGGUUAAUCGAUCUAUGAUUACCCAAAUUGAGUCAUUCCCCUUCCUGGUUGUCGGUAAGCCGGUGAUAAAGUCCAUACUGACCUCUUCCCAUUUCCACUCCGGAACUGAUAACGGUUGUAACAGACCUGCAGGUUUCAUAUGGAUGGCCUUAACUCUGCAACACGUGUCACAACGGGCCACAUAAGCGGCUAUUUCUUUCUUCAUCUUGGUCCACCAAAAGUGGGGCCUUAGAUCUUGAUACAUUUUGCUGCUGCCAGGAUGAAUAGAAAGCUUAGAGAGAUGGGCUUCAUCCAUGAUGCGAUUCUUCAACUCCCGAUCUUUUGGGACCACUAACCGCUGUUGAAACCACAGUACCCCCUUCUCAUCAACCCGAAACUGAGUCUUUGGGUCAUCUUUGAUCUUCUCUUUGAUGUGGAAAAUACCCUUGUCUGUUUUCUGACCUUCAAUGACUUGACUCUCGAGUGAACAACUGAGUUGUAUAUGACAUAAGACCUCAGGAUGCAUAAGAUUGAACCCAUCUUCAAACAACGGUUGAACCAUUUGAUAGUGCGGUUUGCGACUCAAAGCAUCUGCGACCACAUUAGCUUUGCCUGGAUGAUAGUGAACUUCCAGGUCAUAAUCCUUGAUUAGCUCUAACCACCGUCGUUGCCUCAUGUUCAGCUCGGACUGAGUGAAGAUGUACUUCAAACUCUUGUGAUCGGUGCAAAUGUGACACUUAUUUCCUAGCAGAUAAUGUCUCCAGAUCUUCAAAGCAUGUACCACUGCUGCUAACUCAAGGUCGUGCGUUGGAUAGUUGACUUCAUGCUUUCUCAACUGUCGGGAAGCAUAAGCUAUCACCCUACCAUCUUGCAUCAACACACACCCCAGGCCACUCUUCGAUGCGUCACAAAACACAUCAAAAGGCUUCUCUAUAUUAGGUUGUGCCAGAACGGGAGCAGUGGUUAGCAACUUUCGCAAGGUGCGGAAGGCUAACUCACACCCUUCCGUCCAGACGAACUUAUGAUCCUUUUGUAGCAAACUUGUCAUUGACUUAGCAAUCUUGGAGAAGUCAGGUAUGAAACGACGAUAAUACCCGGCCAGACCAAGAAAACUUCUAACUUCCGAGACAGAAGUUGGUGCCUUCCAGUCCAUGACUUCCUGCACUUUUGAUGGAUCUACGGCAAUCCCUUCUUCAGACAAAAUGUGCCCUAGGAACGGAACUUUCUUCAACCAGAACUCACACUUGCUGAACUUGGCAUAUAACUGAUGCUCUCGUAAUCGUGUCAGCACGAUUCUCAGAUGUUCGGCGUGAUCUUGCUCAUUAUCUGAAUACACCAGGAUAUCAUCGAUAAACACUACAACAAACUUAUCCAAUUCAGGCAUAAAGACUGAAUUCAUCAGAUACAUAAAGUAUGCAGGAGCAUUUGUCAAUCCAAAGGACAUGACAAGAUACUCAUACAACCCAUAUCUGGUGGAAAAAGCAGUCUUCAGGAUAUCUUGCGGACGAAUCUUGAUUUGGUGAUACCCAGAUCUCAAAUCUAUCUUAGAGAACACUCUUGCCUUGGAUAACUGAUCAAACAAGAUAUCAAUCCUUGGCAAGGGAUACUUAUUUUUGAUUGUCACUGCAUGGAGUGGACGAUAGUCCACGCACAUGCGCAACGACUGAUCCUUCUUUUUCACAAACAACGCUGGACAACCCCAUUCCGACGAGCUGGGCCGGAUGAACCCUUUUUCUAGUAACUCCUUCAGUUGUUUCUUCAACUCUGCGAGUUCGUUUGGUGGCAUCCGGUACGGCCUUCUAGAUAUUGGUGCUGUACCUGGUAUCAACUCGAUUACAAACUCUACCUCCCUAUCUGGGGGAAGUCCUGGUAACUCCUCGGGAAACACAUCGGGGAACUCACAGACCACUGGGAUCUGUGGUAAAGGGACCACGUGCGUAGCACAGGAGAUGCUAGCAAAGUCAAGACGACGGGGCAGAGGUACUUGAAAAGAGUUACAGCCCUGUGGUUCUCUGAGAGAUAACAUCCUCUUUCCAGUAUCUAUGACCGCAUCCCAUUCUCUCAUCCAUUUCAUGCCCAUGAUAACAUCCAAAACUAACCCAGGCAUGACCACUAGAUUUACCCGAAAGACUCGGCCACUUAUCUCCAGGGUUGCCCCUCGGACCACUCUAUUGGGCAACACAUCUGCCCCUGCUGAGCUGAUGCGGUAGCCAUAGCCCAGAUCUGUAACUGGUUGAUUAUGCUUUUGUGCAAAUGCUUGACUCAUGAAAGAAUGCGACGAUCCAGAAUUAAACAAAACAACUGCAAGAUGUUGGUUGACAGAAAACAUACCAGCUGUUACCGGUUCUCCUUCCGGGAUUUCAUCAAUCGAGGUAUGACGCACACGAGCUGGAUAUGUUGGCUGCUGCCUCUUGGGGUAGGGACAUUCCUUAGCAAAGUGCCCCAUCUUGUGGCAGUUAUAGCACGGACCCUUGGGCGCAUUGUUGACGGCAGGUGCUGCAGCUUGAAUUGCCUUUGGCUUGGCAGGAGCUAUCGCCACCUUGUACGGCUUCUGUUGUGUUGGAUGUCCGGUGUUCCUUCUCUGCGGUGGUCGGAACCUAGCACCCGGGGCAGGAGGACGAUACUGCUAUCGCCCUGCCACUGGUGCCCUGGACUGGGAUGAUCCUGCUUCAAAAGCUCUUUUACGUGACUUGGAUGCACUGUAGUUGUUGUUAUUGUUCUCUUGGGUCAGACAGUCACUGAUAUAGGCAUUGAAAGUAGCCCUGGCCCCUGUACCCAUGGUCUUCAGCAUCUUUGGAUUCAAGCCCCUCUGGAAACUAGCAAUCUUCUUGGCCUCCGUGUUCACAAACUCAUGGGCAUAGCGAGCGAGAUUAUUGAAGGCAUGUAGAUACUCUUUCACAGAUUUCGUCCCUUGGGACAGCCUCAUGAACUCCCCAACCUUCAUUUCAACCACACCAGGAGGAAUGUAAUUUCCCCGGAAAGCAGUGGUGAAGCGGUUCCAGGUGAUUGGUGUCCGCUCUGGGUAGGUGGUACGGUGAUGGGACCACCAAAUCCCAGCGGGUCCUUGCAACUGAUGUGCCGCAUACUCAGCCUUGAGUUCUUCUGUCAUUCGGAGAAGACGAAACUUCUGCUCCAUAGUGUUGAUCCACUCAUCUGCUUCGAGCGGUUCCAAGGCCUCCUUAAAGAUUGGUGGCUUGGUAUCCAUGAAGUCCUUGAACGAACUGUACUGGUUGACCUCCCGACCACCCUGAUUAUCUCCACGACGGGUGUUGUCAGCUAUGUUGCGCAAAGCUUCUUCCAUGUUGCGCUGCAUCUGUUCCAUGUUGCGUUGGCUUCCCAGAAACUGCGCGAAAAACACAUCCGCAGUGUACGGGGGAGGCGGUGGUGGUGGCGGUGUUGGUGCUCUGUCCUCAUUCCGUUGAGCCCCACCUCCGGAUGUACCUGCUCCAAGGCCCGGAUUGCUGUUACCCCCGCCACGUGUUUGUACCAUCUGCAUACGCCAAUGAUAAGCAAUCGUUAGGAGUUGCCAUCAACCGGUAGAAAAUGUGUAAAAUCGUGCCAUACUGAAUUUACUGAGGGAAUAAAUUCACACAAUAAACAAAGGCACAACAACUCAUCAUCCAUGCACAACAUCACCAACAGAUUACUUAACUUUCACGCAACAAGGUUCGCGUACAUCCAACUUGCCAGCAUACAUACACUGGACUUUCAGCAUCAACUCAUAAAGUCUUACACAGCCCAGAUCCAAAAGUACAUGACAUGCCAUGCAACAUACAUCACAAAAGAGGAAAGACUAGCUCUAGAGCCCUAGCAUCUACUCGUUGUGGUCACUGUCCAUGCCGGAGCCAUCCUCAUCUUCAUCACCACUAGCAGCCGCUCCUAUCUCGGGAUCCGCGUCCAUCUCGUCCUCAGAGUCUAGCUCCGCUGCUCCAGGCAGGUGGUGAGGGUGGAGCUGGUUAUGCAGCUGGUGGAUCUCCCCAUGCAAGUUCUCAUUGUACUCCUCGGCAUUAGCUAGCUGCUGCUCUAGCUCUAGCUGUCGGGCCCUCAAAGUGUCCUCCUCGUGCCAGGCUUCAUUCCUCUGUCCAAGCACAUGGACUAGCAUGCGCUCGCAGUUCCUGUGAGCAGUAGUCACCCUGUCCUUCUGCUCCCGUACUACAAGCAGGUCCUGACUCAGCUCACUGUUCUUCUGGACUGCCUGGUCUCUCUCUCUGGUCACACGAGCCAACUCUGCCUGUAGCCUCUCAACCUCAGAGUCAAACUCACGCUGCAACUGACGCUUCUCAUCCUGGACGGUGAGAAGAGACCCGGACAAGCGACCCAAACAACGCUCCAGGCCUCCAUAGGUCUUCAUCAACGCGUACAUGGCACUCAUAGCUGCACUGUCACUGUGCUGGUCCUCAUCCGCACUCCUCUCUAGAGCAUUCACCUCGGACUGAUCCCACACCGAAGUGUAAGGGUCACCCCGGGGAAACACCCCAGUGAAGGCCUGGGCCAGCUCCUGUGGAAACCUCUCCAAGAGGUCCCUCAAAACUGUGAAAGCUGCCCUGCUGGCACCGUGGAAAGGCGUGACACCUCGGGACUCGUACACCCAACCGCCCCAAGCAGGGUCUCCUCCACUGGUAGGGACAACUGCCUCGAUCCCCACCAGGGUCUCAUCCCCAAGCGGCUCCUUAUCCCAAUAGUAGCGAGGCUCCCUUCCUUCGGGAUACCCCAUCGAACUGAGCACCCUCCAAAGCAAAGUGGGCAUCCCAAACUCCUCUAGGAACUUGCUCUUAUGUCGCGAGCUCCUAGCUGCCAACGGACGGCGAGGGGCCCGCCCACCAGUGGACUUGCGAGCGGUGAGCCUAGUGCGUGCCAUCUGCUGCAAAUGGAAUACCGUGGGUAAGAGCGAGGAUUACCUUUAAUUAUUUCAUUUAAAAUUGGGACAGAUUAAAUUAAGGGGGAAAGUAAGCAAUGAUAUGAAAUGCACAUGAUGCAUGUACGAACUUACGAUCUCACAAACUUAGAAAACAAAGGUUAACACUAGGCGGCAUAUGCGGUGGCACACAACGUUCUCCCAUAACGUAACUAGCGUUCUAAGCGAGAACGUGGUUAGGGUACCUGCAGAAAACUCAUUUCAGCCCACCCACAGUAUGAUCGUGCAGAACAAAAUUUAAAACUAUACACUUCACAUACACAGACACCCGUCCAUGCAUGCGAUGUGUCACUACCCACAUCAUCGCCCUAAUGACGGCAUCGCCUCUCAGGACGGAAUCCCCAGCAUGCGGUACUGUUCCCAAGACACACCAACAUGUGUGCAUGACGCAGCACCUGACAACACUUCCCUAGACCGGCAGUGUAUCCGAUCAUGCUCUCACAACUCCCACUUACCAUGGCGUAGAGGAAGAAUUGAUCCAUACAUUACCACUCAAAUGAAUGGCACUCAUACUAUUGCACGCCGUAUGAGCGACGAAAUAAAAAUAUGAUGCAUUAACCCCUAAGUCAGUACUUAGCUAGCCACCUUAGAGUCCUUAACUGGGCAUAAAGGAUAUGACCAUGGCACACUAGAUAAUUUUCCCAAAACUUAGUUUAACACCUUGAUCAUUAUUAAUUAAUUAAUAAGAUCUUUUACUAAACCGGUUUAGAUUUUUUUUUUGUUUAAAACGUACUUAUGAACAGUAACUCGCUAAACCUUGCUCCGAUGCCAGCUGUAACAGAACCGACCAAAUUAUAAGAGAUUAAGCCUAAUAGUGACCAUUUGCAUAGUCGAACUGUCACGCUUAAGCCCAUAUAAUCCCGGUAGUCCGUGAAAUCUCGAAGGAUUUCAAACCACACAUCACAUAACAGCCAAGAUCGUAAUAAGUUUAGCGGUCGCCAUCCACAAGCACAUCCAGAUUACAACAUUCAUAAAAUACAUCGGAGUGCUUAAAGUUAUUACAAACCAAGUUCUUCAAGUAGCGGAAGCUUCAUAGUUUGAAAUUACAACACACACGAUAAGUCUGAUACAGUGCCAUAGUUCGGUCAUUCCAACAAAAGCAAAGAAGAGACGGAGUGACCAUCGCCCUUGGUCUAGUCAUCACCCAUAGCUGGGUACAGACAGAGGAUGCAAUAACCAUAGUACAUUUGACCAUCUGCAAAACAACAUGGGAAUAGAACCCUGAGUACGAGAAGGUACUCAGCUAGACUUACCCGUCAUAAACUUAAAAUAAAGACUCAUCGAGGAUCAUGAGGGCUAUUUAGUGGGGUAGCUGACAACCAUUUUGCAAAGACCGCAAGGUUUUAUUACCCGAACCUACAUAAAUCUUUUCUUCUUUUAAUCUGCUCAAGUUGAAAGUAUCAUUAUCUAUUAUCUAGGUUUGCUCCUGUGCUAUUACAAGCAAGUAUGAGACUAUGAUAGUACCUCAUCACAGCAGUCAUAAACCCGUUUCAUUAUAACCCAAGUGUUCCAUAGUCCUUACUACGAGGACGAAGCUCAUGUCAAGUGCUCACUAUCCAGGAGCGAUGGCGAUUCGAAUCGAUUUCUAACCAGCUGGCGAGGUAUUCCCCACACAAACCACACUCACUGAUCAAGUGAGCUACAGAUCACCGUAUUACACUAUCCAGGACCAAUUCGCGGGUUCGGCAGGCACCGCCAGUACCCGAGGACCGUUCCGGCGACCGAGGUAUCCAAGGUAUACCAAGGUUGCGCGCCGCGCCCUCGUCGUUCUCCUCAACCAUCACCAAUACAGCGCAUGGCGGCUCGAUUCCCGGCCCGGAUAGUGUUCAGGCUUCGCGGUCGGAACGACUUAUCCUUCCAGCUAAGUGUGGGGCAUGCGUUCAACAUGACAAGAGGGCCGUCAACGAUCGGUCCUUAAUCGACACAGGCAGGGGCACCAUGGUCAACCCACCAUAAGACCCCGCCCGGUCUCCAAAUUCGUUCCACACUUGGUUAUUCUUUUCCCCGAGCAACCAAUGCUUAAUCAAGCAGGUAUCCACCUAUAUCUCGCAGGUGACAGGGAAUCACCCGACUUCUACCGAACUAAGCAAGCUAAGCAUAGACUUCGUGCCUAUCUACAUAGGACAAGGUAGUUGAAUGAGUAGGAAUAACAAGGAGUACUCAUGCAGCAACGGUAUCAGGCAACUCCUAUCACUUAAUAUGCAAUACAGUAGAACAAGUAUAGCACUUUAUAUAAGUUAGCGAGAAUAGGGAGGCUUAGAAUGCUCCGGGGCUUGCCUUUCUCAAACGUGCUGGGUCGGUGAUCCGGACACUCCUGCAGUUCCUCUCCUGGUUCCUGUGCUUCCGGAGGUUCCUACUCCUGAAGCUCCUCGGGUUCCUCGGUUCCCACCUCGUUCUCCUGCGAGCCUGUAUGAUGCAUAUAUGCUCAUGAGUGGAGUGCGAGAUGCCCGAGUGGAUGCUUACAUGAGGGAGUACCAAAGGAGUCAUGUUAUGAUGCAUAGGUAAUGCACUUGGUCAUGCUUAUUACAAGGUAGUCAACAUCAUCCAAGAAUAAACAAUUGAAUCAAACAUCUAUUACAUUCUCUUCUAUAAUUAUUUUUCAAAUGAAAUCAGCAACCUACAUGAUGCUUCAAAGAUACACCAAACCCAACUUAGUCCAUUCAACCCACAUACCCAACGAUUCAUAAUUUUCUUUAUUCGUUUCUAAGCCCAUUAAAAAUCACAUGCAAUUCUGUUCAUCAAUAAAUUCCAGAAAAAUUACAGGAGACUACUAGCUAAUCAUAAAGUCUACUGUAAAUUUUUCAUAAUUUUUGGUUACAUAUUUUGAGCCACAAAAAUCACAAGAUUAAUGGAUAAGGCAAGUAUAAUCACCCUACUGUGAUAUAAGUGUCAAACAACAGAUUUCAUAUUAUUAAAAUUUAUCUAAUAUCAUAAGAAAUACCCUCAAAAUUUUCCAGAUUUAUUGCAUGACCCAUUUAAUUAUUAAAAAUCAUAAAGCACUGCCAUGCAAGCAUUUAAAUUACCAUAAAUUCAUUUAUACACCAAAUAAUAUGUAACAAUAUUUUCUCAGUGAUUAAACACACAUGCAGAGCUAGCAAAACAAGUUUUACAUUUUUCUGAACCCUAUUUUAUUUACUAUGCAUUUUCAAAGUUUAGGAAAAACAUGGAUUAAUUAUAUUCUUACAGGAAAGUUACUCAAACAUGACAUGCAAUCAUACUAGGCAAUAGAUCUGGAAUUAAGGAACACACCAAAAUUUAUUUCACCAUUUUUGGAGCUAUAUUCAUCAAGAUAUGGAUUUUUGAACAUUUAAAUCAUUUCCUGGAAAAACUUUUAAAACGGAAAGUCACCCAAAACGCUAAACGCACCCGGAUUCAAACCCUCGGAGUCACUGACAGGCGGGACACGCGAGUCAGGGGACCCCACCUGUCAUCCACUCUGUGACCCCGCGGCCAAAGAUCGGCCGGAAUCUCGCCUCCGGUGAGGUUUCCGGCGACACCGUGAGCACCUACAGCUUCGCGCGAACGAGACGAGUCCAGCCGUACCCUCUUUGGCACCGGACGAGCAACAGAACUACCUCGCCGUCGUGAAUGGCGGACGCGGCGGCGCUGCUCGCCGUGGUCCAGCCGUUUCACGGCAGUAGAGCGUGAGCUAGUGACGGGAAAAGGUGCGCGAGGCCAAGACGGAUCCAAAGCACCUUCGAGCGCAAGCAGAGACAGAGAGGAGAGGGAGAACCGUGCGAGCCGAGAGGUCGCCGAAGCUCUGACUCACUCCGGUGAGCUCUAGCGGGCACGCAGGGCUUACCGAGCGCGGAAGAGCGCAAGCACGAGACGCGGAAGGACGAGGCGGAGCCGGUGGUGGUCGCGAAGGGGAAGGAGAGGGCCGGAGCUGGCCGGGAGGGAAGCUCCGAGCCGUCGGCGGCUAUGGUGUGCGGCGGAGCGGCGAGCGUUGCGCGAGGGCGAGCAGAGAGGCGAGAGCGAGCGGUGGAGGGCGCAAAUGGGAGCGGGGGCUUCGGCGGGCGCGUCCAGGGGCUCCUGGUGGCCGACCAGGGCGUCUCCAUGCCGCCGCAUGCCCGCCACGCGGCGGCCAGGCUCUGCCGGCGCGCCACGGCGGCACGGCGAGGCCGUCCGCGCGCGCGGACGCGGGCGCGAGCGCGAGGAGGGAGAAGGGGAAGGCGCGGGCGGGCCAGGCCGGCUUCGGCCAGCGGGCCAGAAGCGAGGCCGCGGCCUGCUAGCGUCCCCUUUCCCUUUUCUAUAUUUUUUUUUUGAAUUUCUUUUCUCAAAUUCUCCCAUAAAUUCAUUUUGGCCAUUUUCAAAUCAUUUUCACUACUUUCUCCCAAAAGCUAAGUGGUGCCAAACUAAAAACUCUACAACUUUGCUUUAAUAGGUAAGACCAAAUUCUAAAUAGAAUUUGAAUUACAAAUUAAAACUUAGUUCUAGGUUUUUAAAUAAAGUUAUUUUGGAUAUUUUGUAUAAAUUCCAUUUCUCAAUUUCCAUAGCUCCAAAAAUUGCACAAAAAUGUUCUUAAUUCUUCUUACACAUAAAGGAACCUAAUUUGAAUUUUUCACAAUUUUAGAAGCAAGCAUCAUAUUUUUAACAUAUUUAGAACACAUGAGAUGAUGCACAUAAAAUCAUACUUUAAAAAGAGUGUCAUGCUCAUGAUGCUUAUGCUUGAUGGGAAUGCUUAUGCAUGACUUUGGUAAGACUAAGUGCAUGCUUAACACCUAGGGUGUUACAAUAUCAUCACGUGACCGUAUUGGUUCAUCGAUCUUGACCUCACUUGCUCUUCACCGUUGCCUCGGUCCAUCGGUGCCAAGUCUUGCUCAAGCUUCACCGUCACACGCGGUCCCUUGCUUCAAAGCCUCCGACUUGCCCUUCACUCUUGCAACCAGUCUAUCGAGCCAAGCCUCAUCUUGAUCUUCUCCACCUUGGUCACAUGACUCCAUGUCAUGUCUCAUACGCAAUGAGCUCCUCCAUCAUCACAUAAUCAUCAGUGGACUAAUGUCCUGUGUAUCUCACAUAAACACUAUUAGUCCACCUAAGUUGUCACUCAAUUACCAAAACCAAACAAGGACCUUUCACCAAUCCAGAAGAAACAAAGGAGAUACAAAGGCAAGUGCAAGAACUUCUUGAUAAAGGUUUUGUUCGUGAAAGUUCAAGUCCUUGUGUUGUUCUUGUAAUUUUAGUACCUAAGAAAGAUGGUUCUUGGAGAAUGUGUGUUGAUUGUAGAGCUAUAAAUAACAUCAUUGUUCGCUAUCGCCAUCCUAUCCCACGUUUAGAUGACAUGCUUGAUGAAUUAAGUGGUUCCACCAUAUUCACUAAAAUUGAUUUGAGAAGUGGAUACCAUCAGAUAAGAAUGAAAAUAGGGGAUGAAUGGAAAAUUGCAUUUAAAACAAAAUUUGGGUUGUAUGAAUGGUUAGUUAUGCCUUUUGGUUUGACUAAUGCUCCUAGUACUUUCAUGAGAUUAAUGAACCAUGUCUUGAGAGCUUUCAUUGGAAAAUUUGUUGUUGUCUACUUCGAUGAUAUCUUAAUUUACAGCAAGUCUUUUGAGGAACAUGUGAAUCAUAUUCAGCAAGUCUUGGAAGAGCUUAGAAAGGAGAAAUUAUUUGAUAAUCUUGAGAAGUGUAGUUUUUGCACAGACCAUGUUGUGUUUCUUUGCUUUGUUGUUUCAGGAAAGGGCAUAGAAGUGGACGAAAGCAAGGUGAAAGCCAUCAAGGAUUGGCCAACUCCAACAAAUGUAAGUCAAGUAAGAAGUUUUCAUGGCCUUUGUGGUUUUUAUAGGAGGUUUGUGAGAGAUUUCAGUACCAUCGCUACUCCUUUGAAUGAAUUGAUAAAGAAAGGUGUUGACUUUAAAUGGGGAAAAUCACAACAAAAUGCAUUUCAAGAAUUAAAGAAACGUUUGACUCAAGCACCUGUACUUGUUCUUCCUGAUUUCACUAAAACUUUUGAAGUAGAAUGUGAUGCUAGUGGAAUUGGGAUAGGAGGAGUUUUAAUGCAACAAGGAAAACCUGUAGCAUAUUUUAGUGAAAAACUAGGAGGUGCACAACUGAAUUAUUUUGUGUAUGAUAAAGAAUUAUAUGCUUUGGUGCGUGUGCUUGAAACAUGGCAGCACUACUUAUGGCCAAAAGAAUUUGUUAUUCACUCUGAUCAUGAAGCUUUGAAGUACUUGAAAGGACAAGCAAAACUAAACCAUCGUCAUGACAAAAUGGGUUGAGUUCAUUGAAACAUUUCCAUACAUUGUGAAAUAUAAGAAAGGUAAGGACAAUGUUGUUGCGGAUGCUCUAUCACGAAAGAGUGUGUUGCUAAACCAACUUGAGGUAAAGGUUUUGGGACAUGAAAGUUUGAAAGAACUAUACAGUAAUGACCCUGAAUUUUCAGAACCAUAUAAUCAUUGUAAAAAUGGAAAAGGUUGGGAAAAUUAUCAUAUACAUGAUGGAUUUUUGUUUAGAGCUUACAAAAUCUGUGUUCCAAAUUCUUCGGUUAGAUUGCUUUUGUUGCACGAGUCUCAUGGGGGAGGAUUGACAGGCCAGUUUGGACAAAGGAAAACCUAUGAGCUGCUAGAAGAUCAUUUUUACUGGCCCAAGAUGAGAAGAGAUGUCAUCAGAUUCGUGGAGAGAUGCGUCACCUGUCACAAAGCUAAGUCUAAACUGAACCCUCAUGGUUUAUAUACUCCUUUACCUACUCCUAAAACUCCUUGGGAAGACAUAAGCAUGGAUUUUGUCUUGGGGUUGCCUAGAACUCAGAAAGGAAAAGAUUCAAUUUUUUUUGUGGUUGAUAGAUUUUCAAAGAUGGCUCAUUUUAUUCCUUGUAACAAGAGCGACGAUGCUUCGCAUAUUGCUAAUUUGUUCUUCAGGGAAAUUGUGCGGCUGCAUGGAAUGCCUAGAACCAUUUUAUCUGAUCGUGAUGUCAAGUUUGUGAGCUAUUUGUGGAAAACAUUAUGGGCAAAGCUUGGAACCAAGCUUUUGUUCUCCACCACUUGUCACCCUCAACCCGAUGGACAAACUGAAGUGGUGAACCGCACAUUGUCAAUGUUGCUGCGAACUAUGGUGAAAAAGAACAUGAAGGUUUGAGAGGAAUGCUUGCCAUAUGUGGAGUUUGCAUAUAACAGGGCAGUACACUCUACCACUAAUAUGUGUCCUUUUGAAAUUGUAUAUGGGUUGAAACCUAUUGCUCCGAUAGAUUUGUUGCCCCUUCCAUUGCAGGAAAGAACCAAUAUGGAAGCCUCCAAGCGUGCUGCAUACAUCAAGAAGGUACACGAGAAGACCAAGGAAGCAAUUGAACUCAAGGAAGGACGCAAGGCUGCAAUUAUGAACAAACAUAGGAAGAAGGUGUUAUUUGAACCCGGAGACUUGUUGUGGAUAUACUUGCGCAAGGAUCGCUUUCCUCAGGAGCGCAAAUCAAAAUUGCUGCCACGAGGAGAUGGUACAUUUCGUGUUCUUGCAAGUUAUGGCGUGAGCAACUCCUUCAAUGUUGCUGAUCUCUCACCAUUCACAAGUGAAGACAAUUUAGAGUCGAGGACGACUCCUUUUCAAGGCGGGGAGGAUGAUAUGACCAUGCCACCAAGCAAGAUGUCACAAGCUCUAAGUCAAGCUACACCCACUCAAAAUCACCUACACCGACACCAGCCCAAGUCAUUGAUGGACCGAUUACACGUAGUCGUGCAAAGAAACUACAACAAGAGGUUCACGCGCUACUUUGUGAGAUUCAUUUUAAUAUUAAUAAGAAUUAUAUACUACCUAAGUGUUGUACCUUGAUUGUACUCAGGUAUAUAGGAGAAGAGAAGGAUGAAUCAGACCCUGAAGAACAGACCAGUGCAAGUUCCAGAAGAAGUCAAAAACAGACCAGUGGAAGUCAAAAACGGACCAGUGCAAAGAAAUGUUCAUAACUUUUUACUCACAAAAGCUAUGAAGGUCCAUGAGAACUUGUUGAAAAUCUUGACGAGUCUACUUUCCAAUGAAUCUAGUGGUGACCAGUUUGGAUACUCCAUAUUGCCUCUAGACCAGAAUUAGUACAGACUGCUCAGAAGGUCAACAGUCUGUCGUGACAGAAUGUUGGUACAAAUUGCCAAGUAAAAUUAUAGGAAUCUACAAUGUUUUGUGCUGGUUGGCAUACAUUUCUAGAAAGCCCUUUGAGUCUAGUUUCAUACCCAAGAAACGGUUCAUCAUUUGGACUUCUCAAUAAAAAGUUAUGGUCAGUUUAUUGGAAAUUUCUCUGGAGGCCAACAGUCACGUGAAGCCACUUCGAGAAUCCAUUUCGAGGGGACCUUUCACAUUGCCUUCCCUCAAAAACUCUAUUUCGUUUUGAUACCUAUCUAGCAGGGCUAUUGCUAGUAUAAAUACCCCCUAAGACUCAUUGUAAUCCAAGACUUUUGAUAAUUGAAAUACAGAACCCCUUUGUUCAGCUACGUGCUAACAAAUCCAGAGAGUGAUCUCUACCCCUUUGCUCUUGUGAUUUCCUCGUGGGAUUACAUAGGCGGCGGCUUCAUCCGCUCCCAAUUGGUGCUCCUACUCCCUUCAAGGUAUUUCUUGAUUGAUUGUAGGCUGUGUUGGUUGGUUCCUUGAGAGUGUGGUUGGGCGAAUCCACGAUUCAGGUUGCCGGUUCAAGAUGGUGGUUGGCUUCGAGUUUUAUUUACCAGGUUGCACUAGUUAUCGCUGCUUGUAGCAAGUUAUCCAGCUGUUCUUGAGCUAGUUAUCGGAGUUCAUCCUACAUCGUGGAGAUCGGGACAACGUGACGCAUCACUGUCGAUCAUCUAGAACCAGGCUGUAGCAUUUGUUCUUAACAUCCGCAACCUCUAAAGAAAGCUUUCAACCGAUUCAUCAUUGCGUUGCCUCAGCCUUACUUAAUCGGUAAUUUUCUUCUGAUGAACCCUAGAGAAGAAAUACUUGUGGAACUGCUUCUCUAGAUCGGCCCAAGUAAUUACUGAGUUUGGAGGUAGAGAAAUAAACCAAGUAAAGGCCGAUCCUGACAAAGAUGAUGAGAACAAAAGAACUCUUAACUCAUCUCGGUUGGCAGCUUCUCCACACUGGAUGAUGAACCGAUUAACAUGUUCCAUGAUGGACGUGUCAUCUUGUCCAGAGAAUUUAGUGAAAUCCGGCACCUUGUACCGAUUUGGAAGUGGAAUCAAGUCGUACGCAGGAGGAUACGGUGUCCGAUAAGAAUAAGUAUUAACCUUUGGUUUUAUUCCAAAUUGAUCUCUCAUAACUUCUGCUAUCUUAUCGGCCCAAUAGGCAUCGGCAUCCUGCCGAUGUGCGGGUUGAGCUUCUGGCACCUGCUGAUAAGCUUCCAUAUGUCUCUGGGGUGCACGAUCUCCAGGGAACAUAGCAUUGGCCAUAGCCUGUUGGCCACCGAUCUACUAAGCAAGAUUCAUCGGGUGAUUGGCUAGUCCUUGAUUCUGAAAACCAACCUCAUUUGUCCCUGCUAGAAUCCUACAGCCUGAUGAUUCUGUUGUGUCAUUUGUGGAAAGACAAACUGCUCUGUCCACCCAUUGUUGGCAUUCAUCGACGCAGGCGCUGCCGAUGACUGGUAAUUGGGAGUCAUCAUUGGAUAGACAUAUCCUGCCUGAGUCAUAAACCUCUGGUGUAUCGGAAGUGGAUCCGCCCAUGCAUUAGGCAUUUGGAAUGUUGGCAUCUGAAAGUUCCCUGUAAUAGGCCUUGCAGUAGUGGUAGUUGAGUACUGAGGGUUUUGAUUCAUCGGCGAAACUGGAGGUGCCGAUGUCUUAGGAGCUUUUCCUGCCAAGUCAGCCACUUGAGAUGUUCCAUAACUAUUUGUAAAAAAAGUCUGGAGACAUACCAUAUCCCCACCAGUUGGGAGGAACUUGGCAAUUUUGGAACACGGACCCUGACAUUGCCGAUGUCGAUAGAUCUGUGUUGAGUUGGACCCGUCCUUCUGAUGUUGCUGGAUUAGUCCUCAUUGGUGUAGAUUCCUCAUUAGUUAUCCCUAAUAUGCUUGGGGAAGAAGUAACUUUUGUACUCGCAAUGGCUAGAGGCACCGAUGGAGCUAUAACCGAUGACAACCCAUGCUGGUGAUAGGCUGGGCCAACAUAUAAAGGUGGUGCCUGCCCUUCCUUGAAAGUUCUAGACACAGUGUUGAAAACAGUAUUGGACAACACAAUGGAUUGAUUGAUCAAAGCACGAUUAAUAGCAUUGUCAUCCAUAUCUUGCAAUUUACCAGGAUUGGCUUCAAAAGUGAUCUGUCGAGGCAUUGGCAGUUCUUGCUUUGGGAUCAUGUCACCGCUCCUAUUGACACUAAAGGAUUUCAAACAGAGCAGCUUGUACUCCUCCAUAGCUUUUGCCAUAGCUUGCUUCUGCUCAUCCUUGAGAUCAGCCUCCAUCACAGCAAUGAUGUUCUCUGUGUCGAACUCAGUAUUAGACAUGUUGAUCUUGAUGAUAGAUCUGUCCCACUGGGCAUGCCAAAAGAUGUGUUGAUUGUUGACACUUGCUAACACCACUUGAAUACUAGGUUGUCAUCCCCAGCAUGGCACUAGAGUGUAC